ACAACGUUCGCCAAGUGCAGUGCAUCAGCUUCAUCGCCUACAAGCCCCCAGGCUUCUAAGUGUGAAAAAUUUGCAAAGCAUUUGUAGCCGCCACCCCACUUUGUUUGUUUGUACUUAAACUACAUUCCCAUUUGUUUUUGCUUUUUGAGAUUUCAUCAUCCUGUAUUUUUGGUUUCUGUUUUCGGACUUCAAUGGAAAUUAAUGGAUGAGAACUAAUGAAUAAGCUAUUGUGUUGUGUUGCUUUGUUUCAAAAUAACUUCAAUAACCCAUCGUCCUUGCAUUUCUCUCUACUGGGCUGAAAUUAAUCAUUUCUAAAUUUAAGUUAAUUAAUUGUGUCUCUAAAUGAUGGUUAACAGGGGAACUCUGUGUUAUUCAAGUGCACUGCUUAGUUUAGCUGAGCUUGGCCUUACUUUGUCACAAGUCACAAAUCUGAUGUAUGAAUGUUCUUUAUACUUUGGUCUUCCAAGAAAUGAAGUUCAAGACACAUAGUUUGUAAACAUGUUGCUAGGAAGCUACUGAACUUUCAAAACCAAAUAUGAACUCGAUAAUUCUUGGAAACACAGAUAUUUUGUAUAGUAUAUAGCAACAAAAAACCACUAAGGAACUGCUACCAAAUCGUUUUGUUAUUUAUGUGCAAAGAAAGCGAUAUCAAAUUCAAAUUUUUAUUGGUUUCAGAAUCUUUUCUUUCCAAGCAAUAACCACCAACUGCAACGAAACCGUUUUGUUUGUUCCAUUUCUCACUCUCCUCACUGCAAUGUUCAAAUUCUGAUUUGGAAAACAGCACAUAAAAACACAAGAUUUGGUCAUGCUCUGGUUCUACCAAAUACUACAUUUGUUUCUAGAAUUGCCAGAAUCUGAUCCUUUUGCUGACAAUUAAUCUCUAGAAGAUUCUUUUGCUUGUAACUUGGUAGUUAUGGAUUAGCAACUGAUAAAUAAAUCAUUUAGUGGGCUCUAUGUUGUGAGUAGUGAUAGGUAACUUAUGUCGACACCUUUUAGUAGAUUGCAUUAAUAUUUAGACUGGACCCUUUUGAUAGCUACAUUUGUGAACAAGAAUACAAUACGAUAAAGAAAUAGAUAAGAAGUUUCACCUCCUAUACUCCCAUGACCACAUCAUGACAUAUUCAAUGCCAAUCGUGAAUAUACAAAUCAAUAGGAUUUGUUUUCUUCCAAAUAUUUAUUUGUGGACGUGAAUCUACUCACCCUAGAAGCAAGUUUCGUUAAAUUUCCUUUGUUUAAUAACUUUUUGUGAACAUUCAUUCUUUUUUAAUUCAACUUUUAUAUAAAAAUAAUUAGACUCAAAUUCCUUAAACAAGGUCUCAAGUUCAAAUUUUGUGAAUGAAAAAUAUAAUUAAAAGAAGAGACAUAAUUGAAGUAGUCAGUCAAGUUAUGACAAAGCCUUACAAUUCACAAAAUAACUAAAAUAUUAUAUCAAUCAACUUCAUUUUAAUGGAUAGUAGUAUUAUUCUUUUAAAAUACAAGUAAAUGUUAACUAUAAGAUAAUCUUUAUGGUAAUAUAUUACAAAAUAUAAUAGUUAAGGGUCUCUUUGGGGGAUUGUUAGUUGUUAGUUUCAUUUGUUUUUAAAAUAACAAUCAAUUUUUAGUUUUAGUAUAAAAAGUUUUUAAAACCAGUCUUUAAAAUUUGAUUAGUUUUCUAACUAUUAGUUUUAAGAUUAAGUCAUUUUAAAAUUUUCUAAUCUUUUUAAAAUUAAUUUAAGAGUGUAUUUUUAUAUAUGAUGAUAACGACACCAACAACAACAAUGGUGGUAUUUUUGGUGGCGAUAGCAAAGUCAAUAGUGAUAAUAACAGUGUCAAUGAUGGCAGUGAUACUAGUGGUGGUGUUGGUGUUGAUAGUUAUAAUGCAGUAUUGCUAAUAAUGGUAGUGAUUGAUAGUAAUGGGAGCAGUGAUAGUGUUGACAACGAUAGUAAUAGCGGUGAUGUUGGUUGUUGGUGUCAAUAACAAUGGUGACAGUGUUGAUAAUAAUAGUGAUUGUGUCAAUGAUUAUGAUGAUGAUCAUAAUGACGACAUAGAUGGUGGUCCUGGUGUUAGUAGAGGCAAUGAAAAGUGUCAUUAUCAAAUGUAGAGAGUGUGUACUUUUUUAAAAUUAAAAUCAAAAUUACAAAUAUUUUUUGCCCAAAACUUUUGGUUUUAAAAAUUACAUUUAAAAAUAAAAUAUAAAAAACUCACAAUUACGUGACCAAACCCUAAGUCUUUUAAAUCAAUUAGUAUUCUAUAAAGAAAUAGUAUUUUUGAAGUAUUUAUAUAAUUUAAGUAUUUACUUAUUCUUAGAGUGAAUAGAUCCCUUUCGUUUGUUUUAUUCAUCAUACAGAAUCAAUAAUACAGUGGAAUCCUUCUGAAUAUUUUCUUUUAUAUAUAUAUAUAUAUAUAUAUAUAUAUAUAUAUAUAUAUAUAUAUAUAUAUAUAUAUAUAAUGUACCUGGAAAAAAUAAUCUUCCAUUAGUGAGACAGACAAAUAUAACCUUAUUUCCAUAGAGCCUGCAAAAACCUAACUAUCCAGUCAAUAUUUUAUAUUUCCAUAGUUUUUCUGACAAACCAACUUCUUUAAUAUAUUUUUCAAAAGUUUUCAAAUAAGUUAUAUAACAUAUCAUAAUAUUCAAGGUUUUCCAAGAGGAAAUUUAAAAAUUGUUAUUUUGACAAGAUAAGUGCUACAUAAUUGUGUGGUCUAUACCGACUAAUGAGUCAAGGCAUCGUGACUAUGUCGUAACAAAAAAGGUAAAGAAAAACAAGUCAUUAUCAUAGCAUUAUUUGAAGUUGAAGAAUAUUACGUAGUGUGAUAUGAUUUAUUUAUGACUGUUUUGGUUGUUUCCGUUGCGUUUUAUGAAUGGAAGAUCAAAUAGCUAGCUAUAAAAAGACCCUAAACAGAUAACAACCUAUUGGUAAUUUUUUUUUGUUUUAGGCUAUUCAAUUAGAUAUAGGCUCAUAUAUGUAGAUUUUAUAAGUUUAAGCCACAAAAAAUAUAUUUUUAUUAAAACAAUAAAAAGAUAUUGCCGUAGUGUUUAUACGAGAAAUGGCGCAUAGUGAGGUGCUCGAUCGAGUCUCUAUCAAUUUGCUUUUGAUGUGUGCAAAGGAAAAGAAAAGAGAAAAGAGGAAAGUUACAAAGUGAAUGCUUAGAUACUUAUAUCUUAAGUAAAUCCUUGUGUCUUUAUAAUAAAGUUGGAUAAAGACACAUUAACACUCAUCUUAUUUUUUUAAUUCCCUGAGUAUUUAACUCAAUUAGAUACUUAAAGAUUUAAAUUUGAGGCUGUUAUUAGUUAAAUUAAAAUAAUUUCACAUAAAUUGAUUCAAACACAUAUUAUUUGACAUCUUAAGAGAAAAAGAAAAAAAAAUGAAAUGUAAACAAGAUAAAUUAUAUGAUAUGAUAAGAAAGAAAAGACAAAAAUAAAUUGAAGAUGUCAAAUAAAUAUCCAUGUAUCAUUAUUAAUUAAGUUUCAAAAUCAAAGACUGAUACAUGAUUUUUUUUUUAAAAUUCAAAAUAUAUCUCAGUGAAAACUAUUUAAUGUUUAAAAUAACAUUCAUAUAUCAAUGUUUUAUUUGAGCACUAGUUGUUUUGAAUUUAUUUUUGGCAUCUCUCUCAUUUCCUUUUUCUUGAUCACUGCUUCCUUUUUCCCAUUUAUUUUCCCGACAAAACAAUUUUAGUACAACACAUCCUACAUGCACCAUCUAAAGGCUCUCUCACAAACCCAGUCUAAUUAAGGACAAAUUAAUACGGAGAAAUUAAUUAGUUCUCGACUACUACUGUAUAUUUAUAAUAUUGAUUAAUCUUUACCAAACAUGAUACGUAUUAAAGUUUUUUAAUUUAAGAAAAAAUUAAUAAUGCUAAAUUGUAAACACUCUUAGAUUGCUUAAUAAUUUAUUCUCUUAAAAAAUUAUUAGAUGUCCAAAACCAUCCUAGACUCUAUUAAAACAAGGCCACUUAUAUAAUAAAAACAUAAUAUACAAGACUAUUAAUUUUUUUAUUAUUAAUUAAAAAACCUGAAUAUAUAUAUAUAUAUAUAUAUAUAUAUAUAUAUAUUAUCGGUAAAUAUUAUUAGUUUUUGUUAACAGAGAAAAUCAAAUUUAUGACUUUUUUUUUUCUUUUUCCAUCUCCCAUAAUCUUCUAAUUCAUCUUAUAUUUUCAAAAUUCUGAAAAGGUAUCAUACAAAUUGAUUCAGGCCAUAGAGAUGUAGUGAUCCGAAACUACUUAAUAUAUAGUUUCUUCCACACUCACGGCACUCAAAUAUUUCAUUUCCUCACACAUAGACUGCACCUCCCCCCUCACACACUCACACACUCACUCAUUCACAACACCACACUGACUUAUUCAUAUUCAUCCGUCACAUGAAAGGCAAUGGCAAGCACACACACAAGUUACACAGCAAAUCCAAACUCUUCAGUGGCCUUAUUUGCACCAUGCAACCAUAAUAUCCACCCAUUAUAGAUCUUAUAGACAAUAGCAUAUAUAGCCACACCAUAUGCAUUAUGAAUCCAUGGAACAAUCAUAUAUCAUUCGUGAAAAAAAAGUAAAACAAGUCUUCAAAGCUUUUCCCAACCAUAGAACUUCUCAACCAAGUCUUUAAACCUUCACGUGAAUCUGUCAUCAAGACAGCCCCUAAAUUAAGCUUGAGCCAUCUGUGUCAUACACGUAUAAGAGGUCACGCAUGGUUUACAUCAAGUAAGAAAAGAAGCUAUCAUAAAGAUAUUACUUCUAUUUUUUGUUGUUGAAUAAGUCUAGGGUAUAAUAUAUUGUUGAUUUCUCAAAAUAGUUGAGAACGAUAGUUUUAGUUCUUAUUAAAAUUUAAUAUGUUUUUAUUCUUUAUAUUUAUUAAAAGUGACAUGAUUUUAAUUCUUUCAUCAUGAACUAAAAACACAUACAUCUGAAUAAAUAUAAGAACUAAUAACACACACACACACACACACACACACACACACAUAUAUAUAUAUAUAUAUAUAUAUAUAUAUAUAUAUAUAUAUAUAUAAUUCUAUUUGUAUUUUAUCUCUUGCUUGGUUGUCGUGGUAAAGGCGUAAGGCAUAGCCGCAUGGAUAUGAACUUAUCAUAGGGCUCCAUUGAAUCAGAUCAGUUUAAACUUAAAGCUUUUGAAAAUUAUUAUUAAAAAAAUGAAGUUUUGAGGACAUCAAAAUUACGUCACUGAAAGAGAAUAAUGACUUCUUUUAACUUUUUUUUUUCCCUGUUGUAAACUUAGGAUUUUCAAAACCCGAGUUCCAAAUUUGCAAUGGUUUCUUGUUUUUGAUUCGUAAGUGGAUUACACAAAUUUCAUUUUGACGCAAACUGUUGGAUUAUUUUAAUAUUAUGUUCUAGUUGUAAUUAAAAGCCAUUAGGAUUAAUUUAGAAAACUAAGAAUAAAUCUAUAAUAAAUUUCUCUUAUCUUUUCAAAAUACUCAUUAGUCUUUUUAAAAAAAACCCACACCGAAUAGUAUUUUUUAGCCAUAAAAAAAAUAAGGGAACGAAAGACUGAGGGAGGAAAGCCAUUUUAAUUAAAAAAAUAGAAAAUGAAAAAAAUAAAUUGAAAACACAAGAAAAAUAUCGGGCCAGAAAAUAAAUAUGAAUUAUAAUAAUCAAGAGCUUCAUGCAUGCUUAGUAGUUUUCUGUGCAUUAAAGAACUCUAGAGAAAUUAUGUGUUAUGAUCUAUUCUUACAAAAACAUAUGCCAUAGCCUGUGAACGGGAUCCGUGUUCAUGGUCUCUUGUAUAUGCUUUUGUUCUUUAAUUGUUAAUAAUUAAGAACACAUGCCGUAGUGCAAGUUUAAAUCAUAAAGAGUUAUGGAUACCCAUAAUAUUCUAAGAGAUAUAAAAUAAAGAAAUAAUUAAGUUUUUCAUAUUUGAAAUAUAGUUUAUUUUUAAAAAAUUACUUAACAUUCUUUUUUUUCUCUCUAAUACCUAAAAAAAUUUUGCAUUUCAUUUUAGUACUUGUCGUUAGUCCACAUCCAUUAAAUAAUGAUAUAGCAAACGGAGUAUCACGUCAUCACACCUAAUUACUAAACACAUAUGCACAAACAUUCACAUCAUUAAUUUUUGUUUUUGUUUUUUUAAUAUUAAAAAAUGAAAGCCAAAAAGGAGAGGGGGAGUCGUCCGUGGUGGUGUGGGAGGCGCGGCCACCACCGUCUUGGACACUCUUUGGAACUUCACCUUCGUCGCCGCCAUCGUCACCAUCUUCUUGAGCUAUCCACUGGAUAGGGUCCAUCGUCAAGCGAUGAUUUCCCACAGAACAAAAAAUCUGCUAUGCUUCACUUUCUUGCUUUUGCAUUUUCUUGUGGAAAAAAAAUCCUCACAACAAAAAUAGGUUGUCCUUUUCUUUGAUCUACCAAAGCUUUAAAUUUUCCUUAGGUGCGUACUUCAAAUUCUUCUUCUCCUACUCCUAACUGCUCCUUUUUUUUUUUUUUCAAAUUCUCUGUGCGUUUCUAAGGAUUUUGCAUGUUUUGUUCUUCUCUUUGCUGUGUGUUUUGACUUUUAUUGUUUGCGUGUGUGGCAGUUUGGUUUGUUUGUGAGUUUGGAGUGUGAUGCCACCAUCGGCGGUGAUCACGGAGGAGGAGGGGCAGAGCAAAGAUGUCUUCACUGAUAUUGAACUCGCGGAAGUUGAAUUGCCAGAUUUAGGGGCUCUCUGUGCCCCAGGUAAGGAGGUUCCUGUAGUUAUACUCGUCCACGAUUUCACAUAUCAACGCGAACUCCUCCUUGAGGUUAUCAUUCCAAACUUCCUUGAUUUGAACCGAAUCGCCUUUUGGUAAAAUCAACAUAUCAAACGAACAAAUCUGAGUAGCAAAGUGAGAAUCACAAUCAAACCCCCCAUAUCUGUAACAAAAACAUGCGGAAACAAUUCAGAUCUCAAAACCUAACAAAUCCAAAACAAAAAUCGAUGAUAUUUCAUUGAACGAGGAAACAAAUAUAAACAAAAUCAACAAGCCGCGAUACAUAAAGAGGAUUUGAGUGAGUAGAGCUUCGAAUCGGGGGCAUGCAAUCAAGCUUCGUAUCGACGACGACGACAACAACGAAGGCAGAGUUCCAGAGAGUGUCCAAGACAGUGGUGGUCGCCGCCUCCCGCACUAUAACAUCCCAAUUUCGUGAAUUAAAUUAAAAAGGUUUUUCAUUUAAAAUAGAGUUUUAGAAAAAAAAAUGAUGAGGUUUUUGUAAUUAAAUAAAUAAGGAGAAAUAACUUUAUUAAAAUAAUGGUUUGAAGGAAAAUAAAAAGGAUAUUUGAUUUAUUCAUUUGAUAGGAAAUAACAUAGAGUAUUUGUUAAUAAAAUAAUAAAAAUAAAAAAUAGAGUAAAUAAUAAGCUAAGAGUACCUAGCUAUAAAUAAAGACAUGCUAGGUUAUUUUUCAGACUGACGGUAGUCUCUGUGGUUUCUCUUCCUUUCAGUUUCUUUUUUCUUUCUCCUCCUCCCAAAACUAUUUUUCCCGCAUACACUCAAGCCUAUCUCAAUAAAAUUAUGAUCUCGGACUCGUUAAACGUUGGAUCAUUGUGAAAUUUGAGUACUAGGUUUAGAACUUAAUUCCAAAUAUUCUCACCGUUGGAAUUUGCGAAACUAUAUUGGAGCUGAGAGAAACUCCCUUCGUAUUUUAGCUUUCUCUUUUCCCGCAGAGACCCGAAACCUAUCCCGGUAAAACUAUUAUCCUGGACUAGUUAACCGUUGGAUCAUUGUGAAAUUUGAACACCAAGUUUGAAAUACAUUUCCGCAUAUCUUCACCAUCGGGAUUUGCAAAAUGAUUUCUGGGGAGGGAGAAACACUCAUUGCACGUAGACAGUGGAAUGAAGGAUUCAAAUUCUUUUCCUUCUCUCUAAUAUUUGGAAACCUUAUCAGAACAACCAGAGAAAAAGCUUGAGGAAUCUCAGGAAAUUGUUAGAGAUUCCACUAUUGCUGUCAGAAUACACACGUGAGCCCGCUUAGAGGUAAGGGAUGAGUUAUUCAUAAUUGGAGAGUAGUGAGAACAUGUGUAGGGAUCCUUAGAGUAUCAAUUGGAAUGAGUUUUUAGGUUGUUUUUGCAAAUUUUGAUUCUAUCUUUACAAUUGUAACUGUGAAUUAUAUAUUUUUUUACGAACCAAUUGAUGUUCCAAUUAGAAAUUGCUGUGAAAUUCAUGUGUUCUUGUGUUGAGUGUGAACCUUAAAAAUUGAGUUCUUUUUAUUAACGUAAAUUAUACUCUAAAUAAUAUUCUUUUAACGGCUUAUUUUAUACAAAUUAUUAUCUUGUUCUGUAUUUUUCCACAACGAUAAUCAACAUGUUAUGUGUUUAUAUAUAUAUAUAUUGUAAUACAAAAAUAAUAAAUUAAAGAAAGUUGUAAAGGUUAAUGUCUAGUAGUAAUUUCUUUUGAUGUAAUCUUAAAUUAAUUGUUAUAGAAAUUCUUUUUGAUUGAAAAUAAUAUAGUUUGAUUUAAUAUAUAUAUAUAUAUAUAUAUAUAUAUAUAUAUAUAUAUAUAUAUAUAUAUGUUUUGUGUCAUGCAAAUAUUAUUAUUGUGUGAAUAUAUAUAUAUAUAUAUAUAUAUAUAUAUAUAUAUAUAUAUAUAUAUAUAUGUUUUGUGUCAUGCAAAUAUUAUUAUUGUGUGAUGUGUAUAUGAGUUAUGAGACGUGAUAAAUUAUUAUAAUAAUAUUAUAAUAUUAUUGUUGAGAUCAAGUAUAAGUGUAAAGUUAGACAUGUGUUACUUUGUGAAAUACACAUGAACAUGUGAUGGUGGAUUAUGAUAUUAUGAGAUGUUAAGUUGUGGUCAUGAGAUUUGGUUGUGAAUAAGUGUGUGUUUAACACUUGAUGUGAUAGUAUUUGUGUUGUGAGCUAUGAAUUAUACAAUAACCCAAUCAGUGUUUACCUUGAGAAAAAGUGUUUAUGCGUAGUGUUAAAGGAAAAGUGUAGGUUUCCUAGUUAGGAACCAAUGUUAAAUUGUAGCGCAAUGUGUUAAACGUGUUUGAAACAUGAGCGUGAGGUCAUGAAUAUUGUAUAAUUCAUGAGCAAUGUCUGCAUGCAAAAAUUGUUUUAGGGGUUGAAACUGAAUCAGGAAGGUGAGGCCCUAACGGAUUCUUCGUAGUCUAGGCCUUGAGGGUAAAGACACUCAGUUUGAGUGCUCCUUUAAGCCUAUAUUGAUCUCAUAUGGUUGGAGCAUUCUCACAAAACAGAGUUAUCCUGACUGGUCACCUUAUGAUUUUACUUAGUGAGAGUGACCUGACAUACCCAUUGUAUGGUGUGACUUGUUUGUACUCCUAAGUGCCCCGGGGUGGUUUUUCACUGACAUGGUACCACAUUGCAUAUAGACUUGAGUCUUAGCAUAACUAUUGCAUAACGCUUGCUAAUUGUUUACUAUGAAAUUGAUGAGUGUUAUUAUGUCUUGAUCAGAGUAUGUGAUUCAUGUGUAAUGUGAUUGAUGAUUGAAAAGUGAAUUUUAAAUGACAAAGUGGUGGAAUUACGUGAGUUAUGUUUAAAUAAGUUAUAUCUCAUUUAUAUGAUAUGUAUAUCUAGUUGUCUUGUUUCUCUAUUAGUUAGAAAUGUGAUAACUCACUCCUCGUGUGUUGUUUGUGUUUGAAUCUUGUGAUGAUCUCGAACUUUGUGUUCGGGGGAACAUAUGACUAGGUGGAUUGCUUUAAGGAACCUUAUGCUGAAGGAUGUCGGGACACAAUACUCUGAUAGGACGUGACAUCACGGCAUAAGUUUCUAUAUUAAUUGCAUGAAGUCUUGAACGACCUUGUUUUAAGUCGAGAUAUUUUCGUAUUUAUUGGACAAGUCAUUUUAUGAUGUUAGAAAAGUAAAUGUGAGCCUUUUACAAUUUUGAAAUGCUUUUAUUUAAAUGUGCUUUAAAAACUUUUAAUUAAUUCUAAAUUCUUAUUUCUUUUAUUAUUAGUACAUAUAUGUAUGGGGUAGAGGGUGUCACACGUACCGCCACGAACGACUCUCCCUCUCUUUUUUGGCUUUCAUUUUUUUAAAAUAAAAUAAAAAAAAAUUAAUGAUGUGGAUGUCCGUGCCUACAUGUUUAGUGACUAGGCGUGAUGACGUGACACUCUAUCUGCCACUUCAUCACUCAAUAGAUGUGGACUAACAACUGGUACGAAAAUGAAACGCAAAAAUUUUCCUAGUAAAAAUGAUAAUAUUAGGUAGUUUUUUUAAAAAUGGAUUAUAUUCAAGGUAUGAAAAACUUAAUUAAGUCUAAAAUAAACUAUCCUUUUUGUUAUUGUAAAAUAAAAAUUUGAAGACCAUCUAAUUCACCUCAUAAUCAGUUUCAAGUCCAACCAAUUCUAUUCAUCCAUGCUUCACUCAGGUUCUUUUGAGACCUUUUAAGAAAAAGAAAAAGGAAAUGACGAGGCCCUUAUUUAGAUGUAAUAGAGGUGUUUAAAAUUAAAAAAAAAGAUCGUCAGCAAAAAAUUGAAAUGAAUGUGCAUGCAAAGUUAAAACCUAAAAGAUUAAUCGAUCAAUGAUGGAACACCCAAAUAGUCGUAUUUUAGUUUCUGCCAAGCUCCAAAGGGAAAAAGCAUUUUGUAAAAUCAGUCAAUAAGUUAGUAGAUAAAUAUAAAUUGACACAAAAAAAUAUAUGUAGGUAUUUGAGGUAAAAAGUGAUUAAAAAAACGAGUGAGAAUAAAAGAAAGCUACUAACUUAUAAACUAGAGCUUAUUUUCGUAAGUUAAUUGAUACAGUUUAUGAAAAUAAACUACAAGUUAAUAAAAUAAACUUAAACUUGUGUACUAAACAAACUUAUAAGUUGAUUAAAGUAAUUUGUAAGCUAUUAGAGUAUCAUACGAAAACAUUUAGUAUUCAUUCAGAGUCGCAAGUUGCUAGUUUUGGAACUUGUAUUUAGAAGUUUCUCUCGGUGCUUUAAAAAUUUGGAGGUAUUUAUGGUCUCAGAUUAAGACUUGUCACUUCAUAUUAAUUUUUGCUUAAUAAUUGCAUGUUGUUCCUUUCCUUUAUUUCAUUUUUGUCAUAUAACUAGUUACACUAUUAGAAAAUACACCUUCUACAUCAGUUAUUUAAGACCUUUUACAUUGGUUUUUAACCGAUGUUGAAAGUAUUAUCGUUAACAUUGGUUUUACAAAACCGAUGUUAACGUAAAAUUGACAACAUUGGUUAUCUAAAUAACCAAUGUUAUAUAAUAAGAAUUACACCAAAAAAGUGUAUGAAUGUUGAUAGGUGACAUUGAUUUUUCCACAAAACCGAUGUUAACUUAUAUAUUAACAUUAAGACCUUUUACAUUGGUUUUUAACCGAUGUUGAAAGUAUUAUCGUUAACAUUGGUUUUACAAAACCGAUGUUAACGUAAAAUUGACAACAUUGGUUAUCUAAAUAAUCUAUAAGUUAACAUCGGUUUUUACAAAAACCCGAUGUUAACGUGUAGAUUAACAUUGAUUUUUCCACAAAACCGAUGUUAAGUUACACAAACAACAUCAGUUUAUAGAAUCCACAACUGUAUAACAAAUAUGCUGAGACAUUGACCACCAUGUGCAAUUUUGGAGAGAUCUUCGUGCUUGAUGUACAAUGGGAAGUCUGGAUUAAACACCCCGAACACGGUAGCAUCCCACAUAACCUAGAGAGGCUUCAAGAAAAGCUGUGGGAUGGUCAAUGUCAUCAAAUACAGGGGAUCAUUGACCUCAGGAUCCGGCCUAUCUGGAGGCUUUGAUGGAGACACAGUUGCCUGUUUAUCAAACAUAGUGAAAUAACAUAAUUUAAUUACAGUGAACAAAUCAACUGAAAAAAGCAUAUAAUCAUAGUAAAAUACUUGUUCUAAUACACGCUUCACGAGAUAUGUCGGCCAAGCAAGGAAAGUGUUCAGUGCCUGCCCCACUAGUUGAACCUCGUCAAUGGGUACAGGAACGGGAGCCUCUGCAUCUUUAACCUUCUCAACACCAACCUUCACGUGGCCAUGCAACAAAGGGAUGUUGUGAACAACUGUGGAUCCCUCAUAAACUUUUCCUAGGACAACCAGGCGGGAAGGAUUUUCUUCGAUGUACAGCCCGCAUUUGUCUGAGUCACCCGUCUUUGGAUCGGUCGGUGAGGGAUCAACGCAACUCCCUUUUGUGCUAACACAGGCAGCUAGGGGACCAACCUCAGGCUCCAGAGGCAGUGCAAGUCCCUGUGAUUGCAUCUGUGACUGAAGCUAGGACUACAUCUAGUUGAAGGAUGCCAUGAGCUGCCAAGUCACUUUUUCUGUGAUUGACUCCUCCAACUGGUCCCUGAUUUGUUGAGUGAGCUGCUCAAGUUCUUUGGGAGGGAUGAAGGAGGAAUUGCGGGAGCUUUGUAGAGUGGAGCCGAAGUAUUGCUUAAUGGUGACACCGGCUCUAGCAGCAUGCACACGGCCAGGGUGUUCUGGUCACCCAAUGGUAGCAAUCAAGACAUCCUGACGACCAUGGGGGACAAACGAACCCUGUGACGCCUGCUCCUCCAAAGAAUCUUGUACGUAACACAUAUAUUUGUCCAAGGCAUUCACAUAAUAAACAAACAUAAUUACAAUUCUUAAUUUACAUUUGACUUACAAUCUUCUCAGCGAUUUCCUUUGCGGCCUCAGAUGUCAUCUACCCAGUUUUCUUGGUGUGAGCCAUCUUCUACUUCACGUGUCGUCUGAUGGGAGAUGGAGGGUUAAUGACGCCCUUAGUGCUUCCGGACUGAGCAGCUUCCUCUAGUUUUUUCUUUGUCUUCUCAACCAUUAGCUUCUAUUCUAAAUAAUCAUAACCCCCACAAGACAACACGUGGGGGGUGGUGUUUUGCUUCUAGAUGGCCCGUGCUUUUUUCCGCACAUCCAGCAAAAUUCAAACAUUAAUCAAAAUGAUUUCUACAAUCUAUUAUAAGAACUGAAUUUUUAGUGGAAACAAUUCAAAUUACAAAGUACAUACCUCCCAUGAGGGAUCUCGGCGGGUCUGACAAAACCGGACCCAUUUCUCCUUGCUAAUGUCGUACUUUCACAAAUAGUGUCGUCCACACCGUCCUUGUUGGCUGCAAGUGCCCAUUUCCUGGUCAAAUCGGAUUUAAACUGCCUCCACUGCUUGCCCACCGUCUGAAGACUUUCUUCUUUGUCCUACUGUCAGAAGAUUCAGGGAUUUCAAAUUCCACUUGACAAACAAUAAAUUAGGUUUUAUUGUUAGUAAAUUAUAAAUUUUGGCUACUAAACAAAAUCAAAGAAGAAAACAAACAUACCUGAAUAUCCUCCCAUAUCAAAUCCUUCUGAGCCGCAGGGACUUCCUUCCAGGUCUCGUAUGUCACGUCGACCUUAUCACGAGCGACAAUCCCCAAAUAUGUUCUUAAUUUCUACUUUUAGGGACCGUCGGCCUUGCCAGUCGCAGGAUCAACGUGGACCACUGGUCUGCACACCGGUGUUGCUGUCAACCCAUUUACAUUUGAAAACACACACAGUAAAUUUGACAUAGUUAAGCUCCCAAAUUUCAUUAAUGAACCCAAAGUAAGGGAUGGAAGCUACACAGGGAUUGUCAUCAUGCACACUUGCGAAGUGCUGACAUUCAGCCCUUAGGGUGACCUCGCUGUUUUGCAUUGUACUUUUGUCGUCUUGUGCUUUUGUGAAAAAGGAAUACUUGUUUAUGUUGUAUCCUUGCCAAGUUAUAACAUUUCUUUUAGGCCCAUCUGCUAGCUUUCUAAAUGUUUAUGAAGCAUUUUCAUCAACAAAGAUUGUAUCUUUAAACCAAUCAGAGAAAGUCUUGUUAUGCUUUUUCAAAACCCAAUUCUUUGACAUUUUUGGAUUAUUUUGUUUGACUAAAGCUUCAUGCUGAAGUGUGUAUGACAAAACUUCAUUACUGUUGUUCAACACAUACAAGUGAGCUUGUAAUAAAUCUUCUACACUUGGAGUGAUAACAUGCAGUCCUCUUGAACCCUUACCACCCACUCUGUCGUUAUGACGAGACUUAGAAAGGCCAAUAGGUUUAGCCUUUUCAAUGUACUCUGAACAAAAUUCAAUGGCUUCUUCUGCAAUGUACCUUUCAACAAUAGAUGCUUCUGGAUGAUGUAGAUUCUUGGUAUACCCUUUUAAGAUCUUCAUGUAUCGCUCAACCAGGUACAUCCACCGCAACUAAACAGGACCACAACAUUUGAUUUCUCUGACCAGAUGAACAAUUAAGUGAAUUAUGAUGUCAAAGAAAGCAGGAGGAAAAUACAUCUCCAACUGGCACAGUAUAAUUGCAGCCUCAUUUUCCAAGUCAUCAAACUUGACAGGAUCAAGGACUUUGCUACAUAUGGCAUUGAAGAAAAAGAACAGGCGAGUUAUGACUAACCUGACUUUGUUAGGCAAAAUGUCUCGUAGGGUCACGACUAACAAUUGUUGCAUCAACAUGUGACAAUCAUGAGACUUUAACCCUACUAGCUUAAGCUCCUUCAACUGCACAAGGCUCUUAAUAUUUGAAGAGUAUCCUUAUGGGACUUUCACCCGACGCAGACAUUGACAAAAACUUAUCUUCUCCUUUCUGGACAAAGUAUGACAAGCUGGAGGCAAAUAUAUUUUUUUCCAUCAGACCUUGGAUGCAACUGCAAUCGUAUACCCAUGUCAGCUAGAUCAUUAUGGGUAUUCAAACCAUCUUUCCUCUAGCCUUGAAUGUUAAGGAGCGUCCCAAUGACAUUGUCACAUACAUUUUUCUACACAUGCAUAACAUCAAUACAAUGUCUAAUAUCUAGAUUAGACCAGUACGGAAGAUCAAAGAAAAUGGACCUCUUCUUCCAUAUGCAAGUCUUACUUUUAUCCUUCUUUUUCGUGCUCUUGACUUCUAUUAAAUGCUUUUUUCAAUCGCCUGUAAGGGUGAUGAGGUUUUAGAAAACGUCGAUGCCUAGUGUAAACUGUUUUUCUACCAUGUUUUAGUUGUAUGUAGCUUGUGUCUUCUUCACAGAUGGGGCAUGCAUAAUGACCCUUAACAUUGUAACCGCUCAGAUUCCCAUAUGCUGGAAAGUCAUUAAUGCUACAAAAAAACAUUGCACGCAUUUCAAAAGUCUCAUUGCGAAACCCAUCAAACACUAAAACCCCCUCCUCCCAAACCUUUCUCAGGUCUUCAAUCAACGGACUUAGAUAAACAUCAAUGUCAUUUCCUGGCUGUCUUGGGCCCGAUAUUAUCAUAGACAACAUCAUGUAUUUUCGCUUCAUGCACAACCAAGGAGACAAAUUGUAAAUUACCAGUAGAACUGGCCAUGAACUGUGUUGAGUGCUUAAAUUGCCAUAUGGAUUCAUUCCAUCACUGGCUAAUCCUAGCCUAAGAUUUCUUGCCUCUUUGCCAAAAUCCGGAUACAAACCAUCAAUCUUCUUCCACUGGGAGCAAUCAGCUGGAUGAUAGACCAUUCCAUCAGAGUUUCUCCCAUUUGCAUGCCAGGUCAGGUCUUUUGCGUCGUCUCCAUUUGCAAAAAGACGCUUAAACCUUGGAAUGAUGGGAAGAUACCACAACACCUUUGCUAGAGGGCCCUUCUUUGAGUUUUCAUCAGAACUACAGUCCUCAUCAUCCUUCACCUUGUGCCGUGACGCCCCACACGUAGGGCAUUUGGACAUUUCUUCGAAUUCAUGCCUGUACAGUAUUUAAUCAUUCAGGCAAGCAUAAAUCUUCUGAUACUCCAUACCCAUCAGACACAAUAUCUUCUUGGCCUGAUAGUAACUUUUAGGCAACGUGUUUUCCUCUGGAAGCAGCUCAUGAACUACUUGAAGCAGUGAAGUAAAGCUUUUGUCCCUCCACCUAUAUCUGGCCUUGACAUUAACCAAACUUAACACCACCGACAACAACGUCAAGGAAUUCUUGCACCCCGUAUAUAGAGGCUUCUGUGAAGCAUUUUGCAAUCCUUCAUACAUAGGGGCAUGUGCUUGCUAAAAAGACUCUUGCCCAAGGUCACGAAUCAUAUCCUCCAAACGAUCUCCCAUUUCUACAUCAAACGGUUUAGAUUGGGACCCACUCUACAUGUCUAUCAAUUCACCAUGCCAUAUCCAUGUUGUGUAAUUCUUCUUAAUCCCAUUACACAAUAGAUGCUCUCGUAUGUCGUCCAGUAGUUGUCGUCUUCCGUUCAAACAAUUGAUGCAAGGACAAUAAUAUUUUCCAUCUUCAUCCGGUCAACCUCUUUCUGAAGAAAAUUGCAAGAACUGCUCGACGCCUUCCUCAUAUUCUAGGCUGAUGCGACUUUCAUUCAUCCAACUUUGAUCCAUCUAAGUAAUAACUCCGUGAUGCUCACAAAGUUAUUCAAUGCAUGAAAAUCUCACUUUUUUAUUAUAGGUGUGGCCCUAUCCGAUUCAGGAGGACAGUCUUUUAUGGUAGCUUCAUACGUCAGGGGUAAUUCUAUUUUGUUAAAUUUGACAAAAUUUUGGCAGCAUUUCGCAUUGGUCUCCAAGUACACGAUAUGAAAUUAAUUUCUUGAUAAUCAAGUAUGGACUCAGAGAACAACUCGAAAUGCAUUGUACAGAAAUUUCAUCAAAUUAAACAAAAUAAUGUUAACCUUAACGCAUGAAUCUACCAUAAAAAUAUCAGUCUCUCCAAACUGUCCAAACAAACAAUUCAAGAUUGAAUACAAUGAUUAAUGCAAACUGUCCGCAAGAAUCAUUGCAUUCAGUCUCAAACGGGAAUCUAAGGUUCACUCAUCAUGAACACAAUUUGUAUAGCAUAUAUCAAUUGUCAUUAAUGACAAUGAACAAGUAAUAAAAAUAUUAAUUGGUAACAAACAUUUGUACCUGUGAUGAUGAACAACACGGUCCUAAAUGAAAGCAAGAAUCAAAGAUAUAACUCAAUGACCACCUACGUCAAUCAGCAAACUGAUAUAAAUAUGUGACAAUGAGUAGGCUUAAAGUUUAAAUUUGCUUUAAGUGCUUCAUCAAAUGAGUAGGUUGUGUGUGUGUGUGUGUGUGUGUGUGUGUGUGUAAAUAUGUGACAAUGAGUAGGCUUAAAGUUUAAAUUUGCUUUAAGUGCUUCAUCAAAUGAAUAGGUUGUGUGUGUGUGUGUAAAUAUGUGACAAUGAGUAGGCUUAAAGUUUAAAUUUGCUUUAAGUGCUUCAUCAAAUGAGUAGGUUGUGUGUGUGUGUGUAAAUAUAUGACAAUGAGUAGGCUUAAAGUUUAAAUUUGCUUUAAGUGCUUCAUCAAAUGAGUAGGUUGUGUGUGUGUGUGUGUGUGUGUGUGUGAAAGUUGCAAUCUUAGAUUUAUAAUGCUCUAAAAUCUGAUAGGAAUAUAGAUAAAGCUGUAUUGUUGACAGCUGUGUAACUUACUUAACAGCUUGCUGCUAAUUAAUAGUAAAUAUUAUAGAGAUUCAAACCUAGCUUCAGCUUUCACAAUGGUGACAAGGGCUUCCCAAAAGCAAGCAGUAGAGGUACUCCCUAUGCCUUGCAGCUAAAGCAGUUGCAGAGAAGCAAGCAAAAGCCAAAAUAGUUGCCACAAAUGCACUAAUGAUAAGGCUGCAGAAUGAAGAAAAAUGACAAAACAUCAUUCAAAACUCAACACUAGUCACAGAAGCAACUGGCCAUUAAUCACAAAGCAAUUAACUCAACAAAUACCCCAAUCACAAAUCAAUCAUUUUCCCCUUUCCUAACAACAACUACUUUCUGGUUUCCUCAUUAAGUCCUUCUUUCCUUAUAAUUGACAAACUUGAUUCACUAAAUGCAUGCAAUCUACUCUUUAAAGGUUUAGUUUGAUUUCUCACAUUCAAUUAGUUUUUUGUGAUCUACUCACAAAACCUUAGAAUAUGCUUUCCCUGGUCACAAAGAGUUUGAAACAAUGUCCAUUUAUGUUAAUGAUGUUAUCCUAGUUAUAGGUCCAUCUUAUCUAAACCACAGGAUUGGUAAUUUGAGUAAAUUACGCAGUAAAACUACAAAACUGGAUCAAUCAAUAGAGAGAACCAUGCUCAAGUUGCAAUGAAUGAAGAUAAUACGAAGACAAUGCUAAUGGUACAUAGACUUCUUGCUUAUGAGUAAAUGGCUAAUGGUUCAUUGGAUAAAUGGAUAUUCAACAAGAACAAAGAGGAGUUUAUGUUGGAUUGGGAUACAAGGUAUAACAUAGCACUUGGAACAGCAAAAGGACUUGCUUAUCUACAUGAAGAUUGUGAGUCAAACAUUAUUCAUUGUGACAUCAAACCAGAAAACGUGCUCCUAGAUGAUAAUUUCAGGGUCAAGGUUUUUGAUUUUGGUUUGGCUAAGCUCAUGACACGUGAACAAAGGCAUGUGUUCGCAACACUUAGAGGCACUACAGUGUAUCUUGCACCUGAGUGGAUCACAAACUGUGCCAUAUCAGAGAAAAGUGAUGUUUAUAGCUAUGGUAUGGUGUUGGUAGAGAUCAUUAAGGGGAGGAAAAACUAUGAUCCCAGUGAAACUUCAGAGAAAUCCUAUUUCCCAUCUUUUGCUUUUAAGAUGGUGGAAGAAGGGAAUGUGACAGAGAUUCUUGACUCAAAGGUGGAAACUUAUGAAAAUGAUCAAAGGGUUCACAUUUCUGUGAAUGUUUCAUUGUGGUCCUAAUCAUAAAUAUUGCUCUAAUUAUAAAUAUUGCUUUAAGUAGAGACAUGGUCCUAAUCUCUUACAUAGACUAUGACAUCCUAAGCCUAGGAGUACCACCAAAGACAAACUUUAAGGCAAUCCUUACUUCUCAUAUAGUUUUUAUUUCAUUUUUAGUGAAUUCAAUUUAUAGUAACAGCUAACAAGGUUUUAGGCUAAGCAAUCCAAAACAAAAUGGGAUAAAUACCUUGGUCUUCAGAUUUCACCUCAAUAAACACAGCUGAUGCUUCACGUGGUUGCAACUUUUGAACCAUCUCUGCAGCUACUUCCUACAAGAAACAACACAGAUUAUAGACAAUUGUUAAAUAUAUAUUGUAGACAACUAUAUUGUGUACACAACUGUGUAGGUAAAAGGCUAUUUUGAGUGUGUGUGUGUGUGUGUGUUAGGUUGAGUGUGUAUACAACUUUAUGUGUUGUCAUGUUGAGUGUGUGGGAAGCUGAGUAUCUAAUCCUUAUCCAAAGGUAGCCUUCCCCUCUCUCUCUCUCUCUCUCUCUCUUUCUCUGUACUAUAUGUGUGUGUGUGUGUGUGUGUGUUAAUAAAAAGCUAAUGUAUGCUGAGUGUGACAAUUAUCUCCACUCAUUCAAAUUCAAGUUCUGGAGUAUCUCAAAUCCUUAAGCAAUGUAGUCCUAAAUUUUCAACAACAAUGAUGGGUAAAUAUUAGGAACUAGAAUUAAGUUAGGGCUGAAAUUAACAAUGGGGGGACAGCACAGAUGAUGAUAGCGUAAGUAUAGGAGCAGUAGAAAAAGCAAGGGAUUAUUUUGCACUGAUGAUGGAUAAGUAUGAGAUCGAGCCAUCGUGCAUAAGUAGAAGCACAAGUUUUUGGCAAUUGAACCAAAUGAAGGAAGAAAUCCAAGAAAAAGAAGCAAAGGAAGAAUCUCAGCAAAAGGAAGAAAAGAUGCUGCCAAACCCUACCUGGAAAACUCAAUCAGGUUGCUGCAAAAUCAAUUUGCAAAUCUGGACCUAUAGUUUUUAAGCCACAAACUGCAAAUAUCAUAAGAAAUUAUGCAACCUACAAGCAAAGGAGAAAUGGUAAGACUUUCAUUUUUAGUUGUUCAUGACUCAACUAAAGAAUCAGGAUGCAAAUUUGAUUACACAAAUUGAAUAUAUUUCAGAUUUAGAUCUAGACAGCUAUUCUCCUAUCCUCUAACAUCAAAGAUGUUUAUUCUUUAAGAAAAAGAACAGAAAAAAAGGAAGCGACAACGCCCAAUGCUCUCCCUUAUGUUGUUGGAGAGGCUUGUCUCUACCCAUGUUUACAGCAUGUAAAUUCACAUACCCCUCUUCAGUGACUAGGAAGUUUCUUUAACAACACAGAGAAACAGGUUGAGGAGAAAAGGGCCAAUUGCACCUGAGCAAAUGUUCUAUUCUGUUUGUUACUAUUAUACUUUUCUGAUGUGUAUUCGGUUUAGUAAUAUGUGUAUGAUAUCACAACAUGUCUAUAUUUAUCAAUGUUUCUUGUUGAGUUUGGAGGGAGUUAGGAGGGAAUAGCUUGAUUGAUAUUGCUUGUGGUGUACUGCUUUUUCAGAGCAUUUGGUUAUAAGUAUUUGAAACUAAAAAGGAAGCAUUUGGUUAUAAAGAAGAUAAAAAAAAUUGAAAAUAAAAAGGAAGAGUGCCAUUUAAGUGUUGAAAGCUUCCACAGUGUUGGGUUGUUUUUGGCAGGUAGGAAGAGAAGCAAGUUGCAACAAAUGAUAAUUGGGAGUAAAAAAUUCAAAAAGCAAACUCAAGAAACAUGUUCUAAAUCCUAUGUUAAACCGGAUAGCUCAUUCAUGAACUUGAUUUCAAACAUGAUCAAAGGAUGCUCACAAUCAACUCAAGAUGAGGAAAAGUCUUUGGCUCUUAACCUUGAAAAUCCUAAUCAUCAUCUUCAACAGCCAGAUCAGAAACUUCUCAAGUGCAACAAGAAUAAAUAUUUAGAGCUAAAAAAUGCAGGGUUCAGAUCAAAUUUUUAGUCUAUGGUUGGUGCAAAAUUUAAGAAUGUUGGAACAAGAAUGUCUCAAGUCGGAAAGGCUUCUAAAGAUUUUGAGCCAGGUACCAAGGUACAUGGAAUUGAUGCCACUCCAAUAACCUUCUAUACAAAGAACAAUAGCCUUUACAGACAGUAUUUUCAAUCAAAUAAGUUUGAAAUAUCUGAAGGGAGAUUUGAUGCCUGUCCCCCAUUACAGUCGCAGAUAAGACCUAUAAAUUCUCUCAACAGUCAUCAACACUGGAAAAAUAACUCAACAGAGAAUGAAAAAUUGUUACAACUUGGAGCUAACUAAGGAGAAAGAAGGAAUGGCAUUACUAUCAUUACAUUCACCUUCAACUAAACAAAACAGAAAUGAUAAUGAGAAUGUCAAGUCUUGUGCAAUGUAUGAGAGUAAGGAAAUGUGUCAUAGAAGUGAUAAUGUGGAAGGUCUUUGGAUAAAUCGUUUUUUUUUUACCAAAGUCAACUUCCCCCUUGGUAGUUUUUGAUCACCUUAAUGAGAGAGGUGGUUCUGAAGUUCAUUCUGCGUCAAUAUAGAGGAUUCCACUAUCCUUAAGGAUGAUAAGGGAAAUCAAUAUCACACAGCAAAGAUGAAUAAGUUCAAAUCCUUUACAUAUUUCCCUGGAUUGAGAGCUGCAGGGCCAAUGGUGUCCAUGUUUGCAAGGAGAUUAGGUUCCAUAAAAAAGGAAGCAUUUGGUUAUAAGUAUAAACUGGAUAAUAAUUUAUUAGAGAUAAACUAACUAUAUCUUAAUUAACAAGUAUGAUAACAUAAAGUAUUAGCAAAGCUACAUACGAAUCAAGUGUUGCAGCCAAGGCACAACUUGAGGUAGCCAAAGCUAGAUAUACAACAGUUGUUUCAGAUUUAAUAGGUGUGAAAGAGGAGCUGUAAGCAUUGCACAAAGAACCUAUUUCCUUAGUGACUGAUAGAGAUGUAGCUAUUAAGAAAGCUGGAAAGUAGAUUACUUGCAGCUCAAAAGGUGAAUAUCAAACCAACCAUCAACUUCCAGCUAACAUGUGCUUAUUUAAAACUGUCAACGAAGUAUUGCAGCAUUAAUUUGAUAGAAAUUGAUCAAGAACAAUGAUUACACAGAUAACUUGGCAGUUUUGGCUUACACCAUAGCCAACAUUUUUUUUUCUUUUUUGGGACUUGGGUACAUGAAAAUUUAUGGGGAGGAAAAGUUGUUGCAUUCCAAGUUCAUGACAUAGCACAAGCCAUUUGAAAUGGUACUUAAAGUUACACAUGACAUGCCAAUGGGCCUCAUUUAGAUAAAUUUCUCAACAAACACUUAUAGGAAAAAAAAUAGGAGGUAAAAUGAAUGAAAUUUCUCCCUUAAGUGAAAAUCAACUUGUGCACCUAGCUUAUGGACAAAUUAGAUUAGGGAGCUUCUAAAAAAUUAAUGGGAGAAGUUUAAUUCAAUAAACCUCUUUAUUUUCUUAUCUUAUAAAUGCUUGUUAAAAAGUUUAUUCAAACUGGGCUUAAGUAGAUAAAAUUUGAUCCUACUAGUUGAAGUUAACCCUCAUUAACAGAGUCUACAAUUUUUGCUAAAUAAAGCUACAACUGAAACUACCAAGACAUGUUAAUUGUACCUCAGAGAAAGGAGAUUACUUGCAGUUCAAAAGGAGAUAGAGGCUGCAAAGCCUUCUGAAAAUUUGGCAAUAGCAGCAAUUAAAGCAUUGCAAGAAAAAAAGGGUUCAAAUAAAUAAUAAAAUUACAAACAUUGCUUUCAUUAGUUUCAAUCUGAAUCAUUCAUUCACAAAAUUCAGUUAAGAUUCGCUUUUCUUAAAAUCUCAUUUCUCCCUAGAUAUGCUUUGAUAUACAAGUGUGACUUCAAAGUAGGUUUAAGGGCAUGCAAAUACAUAUCCAAACCCACUCUCACUUCUGCAAAUUGGUAAAACCCAAACUCACUCAGCCAAAGCAUACUUCUCCAUCAAAAUCAGGGCAUUGGAUAUGAGUAGCCAUGGUUUAAAGAUUUAAUAGCCAUACCUAGAUAAAACACUCUGAUUGUAAACUUCUGGUGACUCAGAAAGAGUAUCACUAAUUCCUAUGGAUAACGAGUGUUGUCAACUUUCUGGUACCAUCUUCAAUUCCUAUGGAUAAAAAUAAAAUGCAUAUGCUUGUGAUAUUCUUUUUAGAGAAGAAUGUAUUAGGGCACAUUAACAUUAGGUAUGCAGUUUGUUGCUCAUACAGUUAUUCACAAAUCCAAGUCUCAUGCACAAAAAUCUGGAAUUCUCAUACAGUUUGCUGCUCGUAGAAGUUGAUUUAAACUCAAUUAGAUACAUACCUGGCAGCCACUUGUACCUUUUUGUGAAGAAACUAAUAUGGACUAGUAGGUCCAUACUAGAUCUUAGCCUAAUCGCACCCGCACGAUCAACUAUCCAAUGCCCUACGGGGUGCACCUUUUAUACAAGAACACAGUAAGGGUAAGGGAUAUUGCGUUAAAUAUAAAAUACCCUAGCCAUGUUUACUUCACUAAGUGUGCGAUAGAUGAAUGCAAUCAAAUAUUUAUACAGGAUUAGACGAAACAUACCUAGGUAAGGUGGCGAAGGAGAAGAAGCAGAGAGUUGUGACGAUGCUCAAGCUUAGAUGAAACGAUGCUUAGAUGGAGAACAAAGAGCUUCAAGGUAGAUGGAGAACAAAGAGCUUCAAGGUAGACGAAGAACAGAGACCUUAGAUGGAGAAGAAAAGAGAGCGAAAGCUUAGAUGGAGAAGAUGAGAGCGUGAGCCAUAUCUUAACUUAUCAAACGUUAACAUCGGUUUUGUGAAAACCUGAUGUUAACAAACUUAUGUUAACAAACCGAUGUUAACUAAUUAAUGUUAACAUCAGUUUUCCAAUAACUGAUGUUAAUGUCACUUCAUUAACAUCGGAUUUUCACAAAACCGAUGUUAACGGAUACACAGUAUUUACAAUUAUGCCACCGCGUUUACGUUAACAUCGGUUUUGUUAACAACCAAUGUUAAGCCGCCGAUGUUAAAUAUGCCUUUUGUAGUAGUGUUAAACUAGCUUAACUAUAAGCUACUAUUGAGGGUUUUCUCCUAGCUGCAUCAUUAGGGUUUUUUAGAUCCUAAGGCUUCCAUGUUUGUUUUUCCCAUGUGGUUGUGGCUCUACCUAAGCUGAUUUGCUGCCUUAAUUUGACACCUUCUACCCCGAUAUACAUAUUUAUAUAGUAGAAUACAUGAAAAUGCAAAAUUACAUAAAAUGAUUUUAUUCAAUAAACAUAAAAAAGCUCACGUGGGUAAAAUGUUAACAUUCCCGUUAAUCACAAAAUUAAAAACUUAUCAAUUGAGGGUAUGAAAACAUUUCCAACUCAAAACAAGGUUGUUCAAGUUUACCAAAGAACUCAAGUUAAGUAACAAAAUAAAAAAAGUAAAAUGACAUGUUUGGAACAUCAUGCAAUUAAAACAGAAACCCAUGCCCCAAUGUCACAUCCUAUCAUAGUAUUGUGUCCUAACAUCUUCCAGCACGAGGUUCCUUAAAGCAAUCCGCCUAGCCAUCUACUCUUAUGAACACAAGGUUAGAGAUCAUCACAUGAUCCAAACACAUACGGAGUGAGUUAUCACAUUCCUAAACAGGUAAAGAUAGCCAAAGGCUUAUAUAUAUAUAUAUAUAGUAUGAGUAUAACAAGUUCAAAUUAGAACAAUUCAUAUCACUUUAUCACUCUUUGCAUAACAUCACUUGUCCCAAGGAUUUAAUCAUAUUCCACACCUUCACAUUAAUCACGUGUUCAAAACAACAAAUCUCAAGUACAACAUAACAUCUCACACUCACACAAUUCAUUAUCCACCAUCACGUAGCAAGCCACAUGGAUCAUUACACAGGUGUUAUGCAACAGAUACACUAAGACUCACUUCUAUAUGCAAUAUGGUACUAUGUCAGUGAAAAACCUCAUCGGACGCUUAGGAGUACAUGACAAGACAGACCACAUACUGGUAAGUCAGGUCACUCUCACUAGGUAAAAUCAUAGGGAGACCAGUUAGGGUCACCCUGUUUUGCGAGAAUGCUCCAACCAUGUGGGAUCGACACAUGCUUAAAGGAGUACUCAAACUGGAUGUAUUUACCCCUAAGGCCAAGACUCCGAAGAGUCCGUCAGGACUUCUCCCUCCUGAUUCAGGUCUAACCCAUAAAACAUUUUAGCACGCAAACUCUAUCUAUAAACUAUACAAAACACACGACUCCUCAAUUGUUCUCAAAAUAAUUUGAACUCAUUGUGCUUCAAAGUGAUUCAACUCGUCGAGUUCCCACAGUGGACCCCAUCACAAUACUCGUCGCACAUUUACUCGUCGCCCUUAAAGGGUCUUAAAAUCGUGUGAUUUUACAGUUCAUAGCUCAGACCUCAAUGCACACAACAUCUCAAUACAUGUGUGAUCUCUCAAUUUAACACAUACUCAACUUAUCACAUACACUCAAUCUCAAUCACAAUGUUAUAAUCUCAAAGCAACAUGUUAUCACACCUUACAAAUCAUAUACAUAUCACAUAAUAUUAAUAUAUACAUGGCACAAACACAUACUUUACCUAUAAACUAUGCAAUACACACAACUACUCAAUUUUUUUUAAAAUCAUUUUAACUCGUCGCACCUCAAAGUGAUUCAACUCAUCGGAUUCCUACAGUGGAUCCCAUCACAAUACUCGUCUCACAAAAACUCGUCGCCAUUAAAGGGUCUUACAAUUGUGUGAUUGCACAAUUCAUAGCUUACAACUCGAUACAUACAAUAUCUCAAUAAACAUGUAUCUUGCAAUUCAUCACAUAUUCAAUUUAUCACUUACACAAUAUUUCAAUCACAAAUUCACGAUCCUAAUAUAACAAUUUAUCACACUAAUCUAGUAAAUCUUGUUCAAAACACAAACAAAUUAUACAAAAAUGUUUCUCGCAACAUGGGAGAAAAACCCCUCGAACAAUUUCACAUACUCAUAUAAAAAUAAAAGGAAUCAAAAUCAUAGGUCAAAAACAUAAAAACACCAACAACACUCAAUUUUAUCAACCAAUUCACAUCAGGGCAUCAAUUGGUCCAUCAAACAAAAUAAUAUCAUAAUUAUAAUUGUAAAGGAAGAUAUACAAUACAGUAAACAUCCCAAAAUAAACUCUAAUUUGAUCCUCUAAGAUCCCUACACAUGUUCAUUCUAACCCAAUUGCGAUAAACCCAUCAUUUACCUCUAAGCGGGCUCACUGCAUAGUCCGACAGUGAUAACAGGGUCUCUAGUGAUUCUGUAAGAUUCCUGAAGCUUUUCUUUUGGUUUCUCUGCUAGGUUUUCCAAGCAUUAGAGAGAAGGAAAAGGGAUUGGAGUCUCAAUUUCACUGUCUCUGUGAGAGCGGUAUGUCUCUCUAAAAACAUUAUAUCCCAAAUACCAACGGUGGAAAUGUGUGGAAAUGAGUUUCGGAGGGGGUGUCCAAAUUUCUUAAUGAUCCAACGGUUAAAGAGUCUGAGAUCAUAGUUUUACUGAGACAUGUUUGAGUGUAUACGAGAAAAAGAAAGAGUUUUGAGAGAGGAAGAAGGGAAAACGAAUUUGAGAGGAAGAAAGAGCGUAAGGACAUAUCAUAAAUGUAAAAACUGACCUAAUAUAUCUCUAUGUAUAAUUAGGGUACUUUCAGCCUAUUAUUUACUCUAUUUUUCUUUAUUUUAUUAUUUUAUAAAAAUGAACUUUAUUUUACUUUCAUUGAAUAAAAUAACCAGUUAAAACAUUCCUUUAUUUUCUAAAACAUCAUUUAACUCUAUUUAUUUUCUAAUACUAUGAAACUCUUAUUUUAAUUAACAAAAACCCUUUUUCUCUCAUUUAUUUAAUUUCUAAAAACUCUAUUAAUUUUUAAAUAAAUUUCUUUUUAUUUAUUUGACAAAAAAAUGGGGUGUUACACCUAAUAUCAUAUUUAUGCCUAUUUGGUACUUAUGAAAACGACAUCAAAUGGAUCAUGGAAAGAACCUUGACCUCAUUGAUGAGGAAAAGGACAUAUUAGAGUUGUCAGAACAGGAGGAAACAAGUCAACUGGAUAAAAAGGAUGUGGAAGGCUAUUAGCUCGUUGGCAAAUUCUUGAAGCAUGGAUCGAUGAACGUAAGGGUUUUCAAAGCCACAAUGGCCCAAGCAUGGAAAAUGAAGGGAGGACUAGAGGUGAGAGUUGUGGAGAAGAAUCUUUUCACCUAUUGUUUUUCCAGAAGAAAGCAGAGACAUGGUUAUGAGGCUGGCUACAUGGAAUUUUGAUAGGAAGCUAGUGGUUCUAAGUGAUCUUGAUCAAGACAAAAGCCCUAGCAUGGUUUAUCUAAAUUGUUGCCCAUUCUGGGUAAGGAUUUAUGAUUUGCCCCUUAACCUGAGGGUCAAAAGAGUGGCUCAAACAAUUGCAAACACCAUACCCCAAUUUAUGGAGUGGAAUAAGAAUGAGCAGAAUCGGUUGGGUCGCUUUGUAAGAGUGUGAAACCUCAUGGAUGUUAUAAAAUCUCUACGGAGGGGAACACAAUUGAAACAAUGGACGUUGCUACGCAACCUCACCGAGAGACAUAAAUUCCUUAGCUGAAAUUGAUGUGGGCUUGGGAGCCCAUGAGCAAUUUGAUCUUUGUGGAGACUUCUUUCUGAUGAAGGUCUUGACUUGGUGUUCUUUAUGGAAACCAAGAAAAAGGUUACUGAACUGAAUGGUUUGAGAUAAGGGGUUAAAAAUAUGAUAAGGGGGGUUGGUUUUGUUGUGGGGUGACUACAUUGAGGUUGAUAUCAUCUUUUCUCCCAAAACCAUAUUGACGUGUGAAUUUUUGUCCAUUCUCAACAAAAAAAAAAAGAUUCCAAUUCUCAAGUGUGUAUGGCUUUCCUGAGGGGUCUCACAAACACUUCACCUAAAAUUUUAUCUGAGAUUUACAACAUGAGAAUGAAUCCCCUGGGUUAUGUCUAGGGGAUUUUAACAAAGUUCAAAGCCCAAAUGAAAAGAUUGGGGAAAUCCAGUGUGUAUGAGUCAGGUAAAAAAUUUCAAUGACACUCUUAAUGAUGUUAGCCUAAGUGACUUGGGGUAUUUGAGCUAUAAAUUUAUUUGGACAAAUAGAUGGAAAAAAGCCCAACAACAUACAAGAAUGCUUAGAUAGAGUAGUUGAUGAUGCUUAGUGGAGGAGUUGGAGGAAAGAAAUGUUAGGUGUACCAUCUGUCUAGAUUCGAGUCGGACCAUUGCUUGAUCUUUGUUUAAUUCUUGGUGCAAAAAAGGAGGAGGAAAAGAAGGGCAAACAUCUAUCAUUUUGAGCAAAUAUGGUUAAAGGAUAUGAUUUAUGGUAUCUUAGAAAUAGAGGCAAAGCAAAAUGAUCUCCUCCUCAAAGAAGAGUUUUACUGGUCCAAAAGGUCCAGAGCAACAUGGUUGGUCCAAAAGAAACAAAACCAAUACCAUUGAGAAGGUUAAGGAUGGCAAUGGUGACUUCAAAGAUGAUGAGAAAAGAAUUGCAGGUAUUCUAAAUAAUUAUUUCUCCACUAUAUUUUCUUUAUUAGUAACAACUGGGUGCAUGAGGUAUCCUACAUGGUUGGAAUACGAUUAUAUGAUUAAAUGAUAAAUAUUUUAAAUGGAAAGUUUAGUGGGGAGGAAGUGGAGUAAGCAUUCUUUCAAAUGCACCCAACAAAUGCUCUAGGCCUUGAUGGCACCCCUACAUUAUUCUAUCAACAAUUUUGGGACCUUGUUGGUCUAGAUGUCAAGAGGUUGGUGUUAAAUAACUUUAAUGAUGAAGGAGACCCAACCACAAUAAACAAAACAUUGAUUGCACUCAUCCAAAAAGUUAAAAGACCCACAAAUGCAAUUAGAUUUAGACUAAUUAGUCUUUGUAUUAAUGUCAUCUUCAAAAUUGUUAAAGACUAUGGCUAACAGUUGAUGAUGGUUCUUCCUUCCAUGCUCUUAUUGCUUUUGAAUGCUUCCACUAUACGAAGAAUAAGAGAAGUGGAGAUGGAUUUAUUUGAUCAAGGCCAUUUGCAUGGUCUAAAGAUAUGUAUUUCUGCUCCUAUUAUUUCACACUUGUUCUUUGCAAAUGACAACAUUAUUUUUACAAGGCAACACUAGAGGAGGCAAUGUGUCUAGUAAGUAUUCUAAAGACUUAUGAGGGUGCUUCUAGACAGAAAAUUAACCUAGAUAAAUUAGAGCUCUCGUGUAGUUGAAAUGCACCUAGUACUAGAAUUGAUGAACUAACAAUGCUUCUUGGAGAAAAGGCGGUGGAGACCUAUGUGAAAUAUUUGGGUCUUCCUACGUUGAUAGCAAAAUCCGAAACCUAAGUUUUCAAAUUUGUCCGAGAUUGGGUCUGGAAAAAACUCAAAGGUUGGAAGGAGAAGGUUUUGUCAAAGGCGGGGAGAAAAGUGUUGAUAAAAUCUAUGGUUCAAUCUAUACAACCUAUGCCAUGGGUUAUUUCUUCUUGCCACUUUCCACUUGUAGAAAGAUAGAAAGUCUCACAACCCAUUUCUAUCGAGGGAGGGGAUGUUGAUGGGAAGAAGAUCCAUUGGAUGAGCUGGAAAAAUUGACUAGAAAUAGGAACCAUGGAGGGCUUAGAUUCAGAUUUGUUAAAUCCUUCAAUCUAGCCUUACUAGCGAAACAAUAGUGGAUACUCAUUUUCCACCCAGACUCCUUAGUGGACUUUUUUUUUACCAAACAAAGUGAUUUUGUAAAAUUAUAUAGCAAAUUUGGUAUUUUCAAAAACUAUUUAUCAAAUAUGAGUAAUUUUGACUUUUGACAUCAGUUAUAAUUAAUCACCUAUUUCUGGUAAAUAGUUUUCAAAAUCACCUAGUUUGGUAUAUAGUUUUACAAGAGCUAGUUUGUUAAAAAAAAAAGUCUUCCUUAAUAUGGCUAGGGUUUAUAAGGCAUGUUACUUUCCUUCCAAGUGCAUCCUUGAGGCCACGAAAGGUUCUGAUAGUAGCUAUAUGUGGAGUAGCUUACAAAAAGCAAAGGGGAUAAUUGAAUAUAAGGUUGCAUCUGGAGUUUUCGAGAUGGUUUGAUGACCUCAAUAAAAAAUGACACAUGGAUGCCGUGUGUGCCCGGAGGAAAGAUUCCACUUUUUGAAUAUGUGGAUAUUCCUGAUGAAAUGAAAGUUUCGGAGUUCAUUAAUGUUGAGUCGGAUUGCUAGAAUACUUAAACUUUAAAAUUAACAAAAUUAAGACUAUAAUAUUAUUAUUUACUUUUUAAUAUCGACAUUGUUUAACAAUUGUCUAAAAAUUUUACCUAAUUUUUUAUAAUAUAAAGUAGGAAACUUUUGACGUGCUUUUUUCCUCUUGAAAUAAGGGUAUUUUCAACAAUUUUUUUAUAGUUAUUUCAUUAUUUCAUUUAUUUUUUUUGGUGAAUCUUUUAUAUAAUACAAAAUAAGAAAGUUUUGGUGCACUUUUUUCCACCCAAAAUAAGAAUAUUUUUGACAAUUUUUUUGGUUACUUAUUUUUUAGUUAUAUUUUUGGUGGAUGAAUAAAACUGAAACAUUUAAUAGAAAAUGAGUUUUAAAUGCAUAUUUAUUUAUUAGGUAUUGAAAGAAAGAUAAUAGGUUCUAAAUGAGUUUUAAAGCGUAUUAAUAAGUAUUUAAAUUCAUUCAUUGGUUUAUUAUAUUUAUAGAGAUUUAUAAUAUCUAUGAAAAUAACGGCUAGGUGCAUUGGGUCCAUGUUUUGUUAGAGGCUAAACAUGCUUUAGUUAAGUAUCUCUUUGGAACUUCAAAAUUUUACAUGUCUUUGAUGUUGUUCUUGAUUGUAUUUAUCACGUCAUAAGGGUGAAUUUAACUUCUUCAAAAGCUUUUAGACUUUAAUAAUAUUUUCAUUAAUGAAAAAACUAUUAUAUUUUUUUAAAUUGGAAUUUAAAAAUAAGAAUAUCAUAUAUUUUAAAAAUAUUAUUUAAAAUUAAUAAGAAAGUUUUGACACACUUUUUUUCACCUAAAAUAGGUAUACUUUAGACAAUUUUUUUGGUUAUUUCAUUUUUCUUUUAUUUUUUGAUAAAUAAAAAGAGAGACAUUUAAUAGAAAAUGAGUUUUAAAUGGAUGUUUAUUUAUUAGGUAUUGAAAGAAAGAUAAUAGAUAUUAUUGAUGUCAUUAAUGAAUAUUUAAUUUGAAUUCAUCCAUCAAAAUAAUAUGAAGUGCAUUGGAUUCAUGUUUUGCGGGAGUCUAAACAAGUUGUUGAUGUUUUAACUAAGUAUGAGCUGGAUCUUUAGAAUGCUAAGCAAGUCUUUCAUGUUGUUCUUUUACUGUAUUUAUCAUGUCAUAAGGGUGAAUUUAGGUUGCAUUAGUUUUUUUAUAGGCUUAUAACCUUUAAUAAUAUCUAUCAUUAAAAAAAUAUCAUGUUUAUAAAUUUGCAUUUGAAAAUUAAUAAUAUCAAAUUUAAAAGAUAAAAAAGAACUAAAGGUAUUAAUCUGUCAUUAUAGAAUCAUUUAUCAAUUGUAAUUAUAUAUUACCCUAGCUUGAUGGAAGAGAGCUAUGAAGGAAAAUGAAAAUAGUGGUAGCUUGAUCACCCAUUUACAUUACCCUUAUGUUUUAUUGUCAUUGGAGAAUACUUUAAAAAUUAAUAUUUGAGAAUAAUGUCUAUUGAAUGUCUCAUAUAGGAAUAGAGUGAUGUUUAUUAGUGUCCUGUAAUUCUUUUUCUUAAACAAAUCAUUUUGCUUAACUUGCUAAGUAGCUUUAAAUGAUUUAGCUUUUUCCACUUGAAGAAUUAUUCAAGAUUAGAAGAUUUAAGAGGAUUGAAAUAAUACUAAGAUUCUAGCUCAUUGAAUGGAGAAAAAUAAUUUUUGUUGCCAAGAUGUUGCCAAGUAUCACCAAAAAAACCCAACUAGCUUGUUUUUAUUGUUGUUUCCAAACCCUGCACAUCAACUGCUUAUGUUUUUGUCCUUAUGAACUAUGUUUUGUUUAGCCAUCUAAAUUUAGAAAUGAACUUUCUUUUUUGCAACCUUUUCUUAAUAACAAAAGCACCCUUGCCUAGUUGUUAAAUUUACACAAAAGUCUAGUACAAACAAAUCGUUGAGGAUACGAUCUUUGUACUUUGAAAAUACUACAUAGAUUGGUAUGCUUAUCGAUGAUGUAACAAAGCCCCACCCCCAUGGUGGCUCCUCUCCUUGUGCCGCCUACAUCAAGCCCUCCCUUGCCUCUGGAAGCCACCACCACCUUGUCAUGUGCAAAGGCUACGAGUACGACUUCCACCCAGCCACCACCAAUUAAUUAAUGAUAUUUGAUUAUAGAAGUCAUUUUAAAAAUAUUUGCAAAAUAUAUACAUUAAAAUUUAAAUACGGUUAUAAUUUAUCCAAUAUAAAAAUUUUGGGCAUCACACAGGUACAAGAACUAGAACAAUAAUAAAAGUCAGUAGUUGACAACAUCAAUCCACUAAUUUAAGAUGAGAGAGAUGAUACCUACAAAUAUACUUUUAAAAAUUGAAUUUAUAUUUAUAAAAUUAAGAAAAAAAGACAUGCAUAUUUAAUUGGGUUAAAAAGUAAAGAGAAAAAAGAUAUUUCAUUAGGACAUACUAUUGGGUGGAUUUUACAAUAAACCCACUCAACAAAUUGUUCACCAGUAAACUAAUAAUUACAACCAUUAAAUAUAUUUUAAAAAAAAUAAAUUAUUCAAAUUCAGAAUUAUAGUUAAUUUAUCUAGUUAGUUAAAUUUAAUUAUUCUUAUAAUCCAAUUAGAACACCACCAUUUCUCUGAAGAGAAGACCACACCACCGUGAACACUAUCAUACUCUCACUUACUGAAAUCAAAACAAAACACCACUAUCUUCUUUGUCUCAACAAAAAUCAAAACCAAACAAAAUUUGAUUUAGGAAUUUCUUGUUUAUUCAACAAGCACAAUCAAAAUCAAAAUCAAAUCAUCAGCAAAUACAAUCUUAUAAUCAAAAUCAAAUCAUCUACAUAUGUUGUGGGGUGUGUGUGGGGUGAUGUGAGGUAUUUACGGUAUGGUUUGGCUUCAUUUUUGAUUGAAAAGUCAUUUGAGUCAAACAUAAAAAUUUAAUGUUUUCAGUUUGGUUUGGUUUGAAUAUAAUAUCAAAUUCAAAUCAAAUCAAACCAAUCUUUUGUUGUCUGAUUUGGAUUGAUUUUUGUGAUUUUUAAUAUUUUUAAUUUUAUCUUUAUAUGACCUUUAAAAAUAUUUAAUUUAACUAACAAAAAAAAAUUGACACUAAAACUAUCAAACAUUCAAAACCUUAUUUAGACACUAUAGCCCAAUAGUAGCUAAUAGCUUGGUAUACAUUUAAAAAUUUGAUGUAUUUUGACUUCUUGUAGAUAAAUUAUAUGAAGUAUAAACUAAUGCUCUAGUCAAAACAGUAGUUAAGCUCAAAUUACACUUAAAAAUAUUUGUUUUUAUUUUUUAAGUGAUUUUUAGUUUUUAUUUUAGAUCGGAUUGGAUUUGAGCACCCUUAAAAAUGACAUUACUUUACAAAAAAAUGGCGACAAAACGUCACUUUUUAGAAACACAUCAACACUUGGUUAUGCAUUUAAAGGAUUGGUAAAAUGCACAAAAAUUAGGAAAAACAUAAUAGUAUAAUUUGUGGGAAAAAAACUUGAGUUAUAAAAUUCCCAAAAUAAUAAUAGCUAAGUGGUAAAAUGUACACUCAAGCCAUAAAAAUAUAAUAUAAAACUUACCUAGAAAAGUGAUACAAAGAUGUAAAAAUGAUUAAUCCUUUAAUUUAUUCAAAUAAAGAACUUUAUUUCAAAACCAACAUAUUAUGGGAAGAUAUCAGUUGGAGUUGCUACUUUCCUCCUUUCCUUAUUAAUGCAUAUCUCUGGGUGCUUUUGCAUGACCAGGUGGUGCUCAACUCUAGGUCCAUUGUGCCAAAUGUCACCCAACAGGUCCUUGUUAUUACUUGUUCAAGUGCCUUUCUAAGUGCCCUUGUCAGGACCGGGUACUACACAUGCCCCUAAGCUCUAAGGCAUGUGAUAACGACUGUUGAAUCGCUUCAAAACAAAUAAAACUAAGAAAUUUUGUAAUACAUGAGUAACCUAGGCCAACUCAGAAAUACGAUUCAAUUUGGUUUCUACUUCAAUUCACUAAUAAAGAGUAGGGAGAAUUUCAACAAAUAGUUUGAAGGCAAGGUAAAGGAUUGCGAAAACUCAAAAACAAAAUUGUAGAAACAAAACAAAUUUUUUGGAAACAAAAUAACAUAAUAUGAAUCAAGUUUAAUAGCAUCAAUCUAAUUCACCAAACCAAUGCAAAUCGAAUCAUCAUAGUUUUGCAGAGAAUGAUCAUGUUGUGAAAGUUCAAUCAAUGUCAUUAGAGUUAGUUCAAUCAAAUUAAUUUCUAAAUUCAUUGAGAUCGCAAAUUAGGGUGGAGUAUCAUCCAAACAAUUUUUUAUUAAAUUUCAAAAUUAGGAAAUGAAUACAUUACCUAAUUCGUUUUCAAUCCUAAUCAUAUUCAUAAUCAUGAAAAUUUAAAAUAGGAUUGAAGAAACAUAUGAACAUUCACACAAAAUAGAAGUACUAAACCAGAAUUCAAAUUUAGCCUUGCUUGGAGUGGAUCCUAGGAUUGAUUGAGUGUUUUACCUUUCAUGAUCAUCGCCAAUGGAAGAUUCAUGAAAUUUUUGCAAGAAAAAGGAAGAAUAAAAGUGAAAAGAGGAAGAAGAAUGAACAACAAUUGAGAGAAAGAGAUAAAAGAGUUUGAUCUUAAAGCUUGCACAACAAGUAACUAAAUUUGUUUUUGUACAAAAUGAAGUAACUAACUCACUAACUAAAUAAAUUCUACUAAUAUAUAUAGUUACUACUCAGAAGGAAGGGAUGGGUUUUGAUUAGGCUCAUCUAAUCUACCUAAUUAAACUAAUUACACAAAGCACAGUCCAAAUUCGCAACCUAAUUAUUCAAGUGUAGAGGUUCUGACUUCCAAACUUAAUUUGACCCUCGAAAUAGUAGAAUUGGCCCAAGCUUAUUUCUGACAAAAUUGAAUCUCUCUUUCUUAGCUUUCUAGGGACUACUCACAUGCUCCAUUUGGAGUUAUGUAGUGCCUGAUAGACCUUGCACAAGAUAGAUAGGUCAAGUAAGUAAAAAAAAUCCAAAAAUAAGCCACAAUUAUCAAUUAAGCUCAAUCAUUUGCCUAAGACCAAAACUGAGUUAAGAUAGGAAAAUAGGAGUCAAAGAGAGAGGUAAUGUCAUAUGAGUAGAAGUAUUUGGUCCUAGGUCCUUUAAGCUAAGUGCUAUCGGUAGGUCUUGAUUUUGAACUUUUGGAAGUUGCAUUUCUCUAAUAUACCCUUUUUGCAUUCAAAAUCAAUUUUGAUUGAAAGUAUUAAACAAAAUUGAUGAAAAAUCACUUUAAUUGUAGUUACUCCAAGGCUGGAAAGAGUUACCUACAUACGGACUAACCCUUAAAGCUAAGUUAAGCAUUGUAGAGUGAAACAACCAAGAUGUGGCUCUUAAGCAGUUGUGAUCUUGCAUUGACUAGCGAUGCGGCCUAAGUUGUGGUUAUAAAGCUUAGACAAUCUUCAUCUUACAAGAGACUUUAUGGUGUUGAAUUAGGUUAAAAAGCCCAAAUUCUAAAAAUAAUUUCCAUAAAAAUCAUGUUUUCGAUAUCGGAUAUUGUAAAAAAAAAAAAGUUAAAACUAUUGUGCAUUUUGUUCUCUUCUGAACAUACAUAAACAACAUUCUUCCAAUUUAAAAAUAAGAUGUUGUCACGUGAUAUGUGAGGAAGGAAAUAUUACAAUUAGUUGAAACAACUGUGCAUUUUGUUCUUUUCUGAAUACACUUAAACGCCAUGAUUUUAAAUUGUGAUCACGGUUGUGGUUGCAAUUGUGGUGUGUCAGAAAAUCUUUACCCUCAAGGCCUAGACUUUGAUGAAUCCGUUAGGACCUCACCUUUGUUAUUCAGGUCCAAACCCUAAAACAAUUUUUGCAUGCAAACACUGCUCAUGAAUUAUACAAUACCCAUGACCUCACGCUUGUUCUCAAACACGUUUCACAUAUUGUGCUACAAUUUAACACUUCGAGUUCCUAACUUGGAACCCUACACUUUCCUUUUAACACUUUGUGCAUAAACAUUUUUCUCAAAGUAAACACCAAUCAGGUUAUUGUAUAAUUCACAACUCACAACACAAGUAUUGUCACAUCAAGUAUUAAUCACACACUUAUUCAUGACCAUAUCUCAUGUCCACAAUUUAACAUCUCACAAUGUCACAAUCCACCAUCACAUGUUUAUGUGUAUCUCACAAAUUAAUGCAUGUUUAACUUUGCACUUAUACUCAAUCUCAAUAACAAUGUUAUAAUCUCAAAUCAACAUGUUAUCUCACAAUUCAUCAUAUAUUCAAUUUAUCACUUAUACACAAUUUCAAUCACAAUUUCAUAAUCUCAAUAUAAUAAUUUAUCACGCUAAUCUAGUAAAUCUUGUCCAAAAUACAAACAAAUUAUACAAAAAUACUUUUCCCAACAUGGGGAGUAAAACCCCUCAAACAAUUUCACAUAACCAUAUCAAAAUCAAAGUAAUCAAAAUCAUAAGUCAAAAACACAAAAACACCAAGAGCACUCAAUUUUAUCAAUCACUUCCCAUCAGGACAUCAAUUGGUGUGUCAAACACAACAAUAUCGUAAUUAUAAUUGUAAAGGAAGAAUUAUAAUUCAAUAAACAUCCCAAAAUAAACCAUAAUUUAAUCCUCUAAAGAUCCAUACACAUGUUUAUUCUAAUCUCAAUUGCGAUAAACACAUCUCUUACCUCUAAGUGGGCUCACGUGUGUAGCCUGGCAGUGAUAGUCUAGUAGUUUCCUAAUUGCCAUAAACUCAUCACUUACACAAAUUUUGUCCGAGACAUUUGUACAAAAAUUAAAAAAAAUGGUGGUGAUGCAUGUUAAAAUACUAAAUGAGUUAACAUAUUGAAUGAAUAGUAUCACGCUAAAAUUUUAGAAGCAUUGAAAUGAGAAGGAAAAAUAUUUUGGGGUGGCCAAUUUCAUAUUUCAAAUAUUUUAGAAGGAUAAAAAAUAUAUUUUAUCCAAUAAUUAAGUUAUAUAUUUUUUAUUUAAUAAAAUAUUUUUUUAAUUUGUUAGAUAACUCUAGAAUUAGAUUUCUUCAAAAAAAAAACUUUAGAAUCAAAAGAUUUAAUGCAUAUAUGCAUAUAACACAAAUAUACCUUACCAAUGAAUAAGAAAAUUGAGCAUUGAUUUGGCCAAAUAAAAAGUAAUACAGAUUUGUUUUAACUGAAUUAGAUAUAAUAAACAACAAAAUUUAAAAAAGAAAUUUUUAUUCCAAAAAUAAGUCAAGCAUUAUCCAAAAUACUUGCAAGGGAAAAUUAAAUAUGAGAAAUAAUCAGUAAGAUUCUAUAUACAAUUAACAACAUGUAAUAAAUUAAUUUUUUUAGCUUUGGACAAAUGAUCUAUUUAAUUUUUUAUCUUCAUUUUUUGGUUUAUUUUGAUCUUAUCUUUUAGAAAUUUUAUUAUGAUCUUUUAUGUUCUGAAAAAGAAUCAAAAUGGUCCUUUCGUCAAUGCAAAGAUAACGUCGUUAAUGAAGUAAAGAUAUUAAUGGCUAAAAAUUAUCACAAAAUAUAAUUUCUUAUUUUCUUUAGCUUUCUCCUUCCCUUAUUCCCUUGAACCAAAAAAAUAAAAUAAAGAAUCAAAUAGGCCAUUUGAUCUUUUGUUUAAUAUACCUAAACAUGAAUCCAUUAAUUAAAUGAUUUGCAUAUCUGUUUGUCAAAUUUUGAACUUGCAUAAUAUUUUUUAAAUUAAAAAUAAAAACAAUAAGUGUUCCAAAAAUUUGUACUCAAUUUUUUUUAAUAUUUUCAUUGAACAUAAAAUAAAAGACAUAAAGAUUUUUUUCAAUGACUUACAUCAUUUAUCAAAAAAUGUUACCAUCUUCGCUCUAUCCAUUCUUUUAAGUAACCCCCUAUAAGAUAAAGAAAUUUAUCAUAAGCCUUUUUGCAUUUUAUUAUAAGCAUUAUAUAAUAGAUUGGAAAGAAAAUUCAUAAACAGAAUGAAAACCUAUAAUUAUUCUCAAUAUAAAGUAUAUUAGACAAGAUAAAUUUAAGUAUUGAAUUACCUUUCCUUAUAUAUUGUGAUAUACUUGUCUAUCAACCAUAUUAGAAGUAAUAUGAUCGAGUAUCUUGAUCUUCACCAUCUUUUACCAAAAUAUUUAACCCUUUUUUUAUGUAACUCUUGAUAUAGUAACAUAUAAUUGUCCAUGAAAAAAAUUGAGGCAAAAAUAAUCCAACAUGUUUUAAAGAUUGUUCUUGAAUCUUGUUGAUAGUCCUUGCAAAAGAAGUAGCCAAAUGAAAUUGCCUCGGUUGGAACUUGAAAAGGAUCCUUGCAUUAGAAGGAGUUAAUGAAAGUCUUGGAAUAAACACUUUGAGACCAAUGUUGCUUCCAAAUUUAACAUUUCCUUCUAGAACAUAUUCCCCAUUCGUGUGACAAUUAUUAGUCUAGUACCAUUACAUAAUCCUAAUGAUUGAUCAAUGUCAUUUGGAAGACCCGAAGCACUAAUAAUGUUUAAGAACUUUGGAGUAUGCACAUCAUCUGGCCUAUUAAUCUCUUCAUUUUCUGAUGAAGGAGUAUCUAAACUUAGAUUUUUCUUUCCUCCCCAAACAUCAAUGACAACAUGUAACAAUUUCAUUUUUUUGCUAAAACAACCUUGACUCUAAAAAAGGAUGAAUCAUGAAUAUUUUCUAAGAAAGAUGGAUAUAUAAGUAUUACUAACAAUGGAUUCAAGAGAGUUGGUGUCACUUCUAAGCAAAUCAUGGUAUGUGUGGUUUCCUAUAUUAUAUGUUUAAAAGGGACCAGUUUGGGGAUUGUAUUUUGUAUGUUUCUUCCUAAUACUGGUACCAAACAUAGUAAUUCAAAUUAAUUUUAGUGCACCCCUAAAUACCAUUUGGACAUUUACUUAAGUAGAAGAAGCUACCUAAGGAACAUAAUUUUUUUAAAAUUAGUUUAUUUUCUAUAGAUGAUAGUGGUAAAUAUUAUCAUGAGUUGUUUGAUGAUUGUCCAAAUGGAAAUCAAAAAGCUAUCUAGGAUGGAGGUGUUGGAAUUGUGUAAUUUUGUCACAUUGCAUUUUGGCAUAAUUACCAAUAGGUCUAUAGAUCUGAUAAUAACUUUUUUACUCAUUACUUGGUCAUUUUAGGUUCUCAAACACUUGGUUAGAUUCAUUGUUUUGGUUAAACUAAAAGAUAUUACUUUCAUUCUAAAAUGUUUGCUUUUUUGUCAUUUUAGGGACAUGUUUGACUGAAAUCUCCUAUCACUAGUGCAAAAUACACAUUUUAUAACAACUUUUUAAAUAAAAAUUGUUUUAAAAAAUAAUACGGUGGUACUUUCAUAAUUAAAAACAGUUUUUAGAUUGGUUAUAAGAGAACAGAUAUAAACCUAGAUUUUAAAUCGGUUAAAAAUGAAACCGAUAUGAAAGGUUAUCUUUUUAAACCAAUUCAAUUUAUAACUAAUGUAAUUAAAGGGUGUUUUUAGAUUAGUUAAUAAAGUAACUGAUGCUAUAAGACAAAAUUGAUUUUAAAAAGGAUGUUUUUAAAAUAAUCUAGGCAUUAAUUUCAUAUUAUUUUUUAGAUUAGUUAUAUAGGGAUCUAUCUUAAAAACUAAUCUAAUUUAAAAGAUAGUUACCAUUGAAGACCGGUUGAAAUCUAAUGUUAAAUGUCAAAGUUUUUAUAUUUCCUGCAUAGGCAUCGGUCGUACAACCAAUAUAAAAAGUCAUUUUUUAACCUAUGUAAAAAAGUGUUUCUUGUAAUAGUGUACCCUUUUUGUGCUCCUAUCAUGUAUAGAGAUUUUAAUAUCACUUACACGCAAUGAUGAAUCCAGAAAUUAAGUCGUGGGGGCAAUACACAUACAAAAUUUUGUUGCAUUAAAAAUAUUACAUGUUUUAUUUUUAAAAGUAUAAAUAUUCAUCGUAAUUGUUCUUUAUGAGUUUUUGUAUUCCAAAAAUAAUUGAUAAUUUUCUCAUUUUUCAUAUCAAAAUUUUUAUGAUAGUCAAGAUCUAUCAGUUGAUGAAGAAAAAAACCAUAAUAUAGCAUACUAACUACAACAAUAUACAUAUUUUGCACAAUUAGUUUUCAAAUUUGAGUGCAAUAAGCUUUUAGAUGGACAAAUAUCCUUAGAAUAUGAGUCUUAGACAACAAGGGAAAUUAGGAUUAAAAAAAUAUGUUGUUUGAUGAUAAAUAAGUAAAUGUUUAUGAAAGCGUUAGAAUGAUUAUCCUUUAAUUUAUACAUUUUGCACAAUUAGUUUUCAAAUUUGAGUGCAAUAAGCUUUUAGAUGUACAAAUAUCCUUAGAAUAUGAGUCUUAGACAACAAGGGAAAUUAGGAUUAAAAAAAUAUGUUGUUUGAUGAUAAAUAAGUAAAUGUUUAUGAAAGCGUUAGAAUGAUUAUCCUUUAAUUUAUACAUUUUUGCACAUUUGCUAGAUAAUAAAUAACUAAAUAAAUAAAAAUGUUUUUUUAAGAAAAAUAAAUAAAAAUAUUAAAUAUUGAAAAGUGGGAAUAAAAAUAAAAAAGAGAAUCCAAAUAUUUAUUGUUUACACAUUUUUAAUUUAUAUUAAGAUUGAAAUUAUAAUUAUAAAAUCAUAAUAUUAUAGGGGGGCAAAAUAGUACUAUAUAUUCCGUCCUUGCUUUCAUGUUGAUGAUUUCUCUCAAGCCAGCAACACUUACAUUGGAAAGUUGAGGUUAGUCUGAUCUUUCUGCUCUUGUUUCUUUAAAUAUUUGAACUAUUGGCUUGAUUUGUAAACAUUAAGUGCUUAUAAUGGCAAUUGAUUUAUUACUUGCUGCAAUAAUAUAACCGGAAUUUGUAUAUUUUUACUGCAUUGUGUUUGUAAAAUUUAAUUUACAUCAAAUUGUGAUUGUCUUUUUGUUGCAUUAUUACUUGAUCUGCUUCUUGUCCUUGUCAUUAGUGUGCAUAUUUCCUCUCUUGCAAGGUACCAUAUAUAGUGAUGUAUUGUGUUUAAAAAAACAGCUUAUGUUCCGCUGCAUAAUUUUAUGGUUUGCACCUUUAUUUGUUCUUUAUAUCAUGAAUUUAACAUGCUACAGCCUUGAUAGGGUGUGGUCCAACUUCAUGUAUUGAUUGUUAGAUGUAGUAGUCAAUACUAGAAAAUAGACUUUUAACAUCGAUUAUUUUUUACUUUCAACAUCGGUUUUUAUCUAAUGUUGAAACCAUCGACGUUAACAUUAUCCAUGUUAAUAUCAGUUUUCAAAAAAUCAAUGUUAACAUACACUACACAACAUCGAUGUUCACAAAAACUGAUGUCGUAUAAUAAGAAAUAUACAAAAACAGCAAAAACAACAUCGGUUUUGGUCAAAACCAAUGUUGUAAGAUGAAUAAAAACAUCGGUUUUGAAAAAAAACCGAUGUAGAAAUUAUUUUUACAACAUCGAUUUUGCUCAAAACUGAUGUUGAAUAUGCUUACGACAUUGGUUUUGGUCAAAACCGAUGUUGUAAGAGCACUUUCUACAUUGAUUUUAGACCAAUAGAUGUUGUUUUUUUUUUUUUGCAAAUUUUUAUAAUAUUUUGUUUGUUUUUACAAUGAACCAACCAUAACCAAUUUAUAAAAAAUAUAUUAAUUAUAAAUUAAAAUAUUUAAAAAUAUUAUUUUCAUUACAAUGUUACAUUACUUACAAUUUCAUAAUAUUAAUCUAGAUUUAUAAAAUUUAUUUUAAGAAAGCAAGAUAAUUUCUCUAAAGGUCAAUUGUCUCCAAGAAAAAUAAGACUGAUAUGAUAUCCUAAAUGUCUAGCUGCAAAGCUCUUAUAAAAUCCACAGAAGAGAUGAUAUGAAUAUGUAUAUAAAAGCUAAUAGAAUAAAUAUAAAUGUAUAAAUAUGUAUUACAUAGGAAGGAUGAUACCAAUUAAUUAAUAAAUAAAAAUAACUCUUAUUCCAAAUUAAAAAUAGAUAGAAAAGGUUUAAAGAAAGAAAUUACCUCUACAAGAGCAACAAAGGAUGUCAUCAUCAUGGCAAAGGCUUCACCUGCAUCAAAUGUAAGUGCUCCCCUUCGAAAUGGAUAAGGAACUCGUAUCCUACAAACACAAAAUACAUGUUGAAUACAUUCCCAUAAGCUUCAAGUCAUAAGGCUAUGACUAAAUAGUAAAUUAAUAGUGAAUAAUAAAUUAAUAUCUCAAGGAUGCAAUAGUCUUGCAUAAAAAUGUCAAUUAUGCCCAUGCUCUAAGCUUGAUUAUCAUAGGGAGUUCAACAUCAAUAACUUGAAAUAUUAUAAAGAGACAAACAAUUAAUCAAGAUCAAUAGCACUAAUUGCACAUGUGUUAUUAGAUUUUAAGGUUGAUACUAAGGAUAUAAAAACAAAAAAAAAUCAUAAAUUAAAAAGAGAAAUACUAGCUUUUAUAUUUUUAACAUAAUAUAUGUUUUUAGUUUAAUGAACAAAUUUAAAUUAAGUUGCAUCCUUGACAUCAAAACCCCUUAAAUUUACACAAUGUUUGGACUUAGGGUGGCUCAAAAGUUGGUAGAAGCUAGUUAAUUGGACUGUGUCAUUGCGCAGACUUUGAAUUCACUUUCACAACAAUGUAAUAGUCAAGUAUCUGAGUGUAGAUAGAAUAAUCACACCUUCAAAGGACCCUUUUCACUAGCUUUCUCUAGAAAGUCUCCUCCACCAAAAUCAACCUUUUUCCUUGGUUCAAAAUCAACCAUCUCUGUUUCGUGAGUGUGCAAAAUCAAAGUCCAAAAGUGAACAAUUAUGACAUUGAAUGACUAGAUUAUUUAUUUACUUUUCUUUUCUAAGUGUUUCUUUUAAGUCCACUAUGGACAUGGAACAUUGGGGGUGGGGGUGGACUGGCUUUUACUACUACCGGGUAAGUUCCAUUUAAACACUUAAAAUAUGAAUUUAGACUUUUCAAACUGUUCAGGACAACCACCAUGUUUUUUUUGCAUAAGUCACACUUUCAUGUACUAAAACAAGUCAUUUUAACUUCAUUCGCUCCCCAAACAUUAGGGAUUUCAUGUACUAACCACCUAGCACUAAAAAGAUGCAACUGUUGGUCAAGUGGCCUCAAUAAAUUAAGAGGAGGGUGAAUUAAGUUUCAAAAUUUCUCACUAACAAACUUUUAACCUGAUGAGGACAUGACCAAGAGCAAGGGCAAGGAUCCACUUGAUGGACUUGGAGGACCUAUGACAAGGGCUAGAGCAAGGAAAGCAAAAGAAGCUCUUCAACAACUAUUGUCCAUACUAUUUGAAUACAAGCCCAAGUUUCAAGGAGAAAAGUCCAAGGUUGGGAGUUGUAUCAUGGCCCAAAUGGAGGAGGACUAAAUGACACCACUUUGUCUCAAUUUUAGAGUGUUUAGUUUGUCUAAAUAAUGGCCCAAUCCUUGUAAAGUUGGCUGACCAAAAAUAUGUUUUGGGUUAAUCAACUAAAGGGGCUUUAGUUUGGUUUAAUUCAAGUUGUAAUAAGGGCCCAAUUGGCAACUUAGGCAUCAACCUUUGGGAGACCAAAUGGUGAUUGGCUUGAUGGCUUUUAGGGUGACUUUUGGUUGCCACAAUUUCAGUUACACUCAGCCAUUAAGUUCUUUUCAUUCCCUAUGUUAAUGGAUCAUUACUAAAUCUAAGUGGAUUGUAUUUUCCUUUAAUGAAACAUAUGUAAAAUCUGAUGGUAAAGCUUCUUUAUAUGCUGAACCAUUUUAUCAAUAAAGACAAGUUAAGUUUUAUUCAGAAAAAUUAGAGUUUAUCUCUUUUAUCUUAGUGAGAGUGAUUCUCCUAAGUUCUUGAGUGAUUCAAGAACACCCUGGCUAUAUCAAAGGAAGUUCACAUCCUUUGUGUGCUGCCCUCGCCGGAAUGAGUGAUUCUUUCCUUCCACCAUUUCAUCUUCAACCUUAUUCUUUCAAACCACAAUUCUCGAAAAUCCAAUUCUGCCCAAAAUUAUCUUGUGACAUAAUUCUUGUUCUACUUGCUCAAAUUAAGUGAUUCUUGAGCCUAAAUUGAAAUUCAAAACGAGAUCUUCCACCUCGUUUGGGAAUCACCUCAUUUGGAACUCUGUAGCUUGAGUUAUAGUCAUUUCUAUAUUUCUGUCCAGCCGUCACUUCACCUACAUUUUUACCAUCUCAUUCAUCCCUUUUAUGUCAAGAUCCACCUUAUUAAGGCCUAAGAAAUUAGCCACUGCCCAACCCUUGAAUCUUGCCAAUUUCCCAUCCUUUUCUUAAUCAAUUUCCAAAUUUUCCAUCAAGGUUUAAUCCUAGACGAUCUUAAGUCAGCCCUUGUGCAAUGAAGGUUCAUAUCAUAACCCCCUUCUAAAUGAUAGGCUCAGAAUGCAAAACAAGAAGCAACAAUCAAUUUAAUAAUGUUUUUUUAAACAUGCAAGACAAAAUUUAUUGUAAUAACAUAAAUGAGAUAAGGGAAGAGUGAAAUGCAAACUCAAUUUAUAUUGGUUCGGCCACUUCCAGUGCCUAUGUUCAGUUCUCAAGCAAUCCACUUGAGAUUUUCCACUAUCUGUGUAAAUCCUUUAUAGACUUUGAACACACCUUGAGAUCCCUCACCCUUGUGUUCAAAGAUUCUCAAGGAGACAAACCGUCUCUUGAUUACAACUGACUUUCUGAGAUGAACAGAAAGAUUUCUCUCCUUUAGAGUGGAUGAUACAAAUUGAAGAUCCUAAAGGAAUUUCUCUUUUUUAGAGAUGAUAAUACAAAUUGAAGUUCCUAGAUGAACUCUCAAUAGAUUUGCAAGUGUUUGCCCAACAGUUGUUGAGAGAGCAUUUGAUAAUUAAGUUCUCUUAGAAUAUCUCUCUCUUGUUUUUCGAAGUCAAACACACAUAUAUAUUGGCCCUUCGUGCCUUUUCAAAAUGGUUUGAAGAGAUGUGUCUUUUUAAAAAGUUUUUUCUAAAAUUCUUCACUGGUAAUCGAUUACUCAGUUAUGUUUUGAAGAGUCAUGUCUUUUCAAAGUGUUUUCUGAAGUGUCAUUGCUAGAAAUCGAUUACAAACAUCUGGUAAUCGAUUACAUGAUUCAAAAUUCAAAUUCAAAAUCCUUUUUAAAAGUUUUUUUUCAAAAUUGUCUUUUGGUAAUUGAUUACACUGCCUGGUAAUCGAUUACAGCUUUUAAGUUUCAUAUUCAAACUUUUCUGAAAGCUGUUAAAACUAUUUUUGCUUUUGGUAAUCUAUUACAGCCUCUGGUAAUCGAUUACCAGAGAGAAAUACAUAUUUUUCAAAAUGUAAUAUUUACUUCAAAACUUUAUAAGAUAUUUGAAAGCUUAAGUCUUUUAAGGCCAAACCUUUGCAACCUUUUUAAGAGAUUCUUUUAACAUAUAAAGGUUUAUCGUAAAUCGUUUCUCUUGAUUUCUUGAUCUUGACUUGAAUCAAUGUUGAAUAGCUUUAAUCUUUUGGCAUCAUCAAAAUCUUCAUACAACAUAUGCACUUACAAUAUCCCUUUUUUUGAUGAUGACAACAAUCUGAAAACAAGAUAAACGAUAUACGAUUUGUAAUGCUUGCACUCACUCUUACUCCACCUUAAAUUUGCAAUUUAUUGCCUAGUUUUUAGAUAAGAUCUACCCUAGUUUCUCUCCCCCUUUGGCAACAUCAAAAAGCCAAAAAGACUGGAGUAAAUAUCAAAGCCACAAAAUCUAGAGCAAGCAUCAUAACCAAAAAACCAAUCAUCCAUUGCAAAACAAAAACUAAAUAUCCAAAGCAAAGCAUAAAUCAAAUGCUAAAUAUCUAAAGCAAAGUAUAAACCAAAUGCUAAAUAUCCAAAGCAAAACACAAAAUUAACCAAAGUGCUAAAUAACUAAAGCCAAAUACAAGGCAAAAAGAGUAAAAAUGUCUAGAAAAUUAAGAACGUAAAAUACUAGAAAUGUCUAAGAAUCCGCAGGAGGAUCAAAGCAACGUUGAAUGAAGCUCAUGUCGUCUUCAAGACAUAUGAUAUGGGAGUCCAUGGCAUCAAAGCGAUCGUCGAUAAAAGCUCAAAGAUCCCGUAGCUCAAUGAGGACGUCAUUCAAUAAGGAGGAAGAGGUAUCUCGUUGCGGUGGUGGAGAGGGUGUGUGUUCAUCGAGAAUGGGAGGUGGCAGGUCUUGCUUAUGAACCCAUUGGCCAUCCAUAUCCUUCCAGUAUCCGAAAGAAGUAACAACACCAGCACCAAUAGCAAAAGAUCUUUUAACCUUAACAAAAGGCUCAUCCUCUAAAGGAACAUUGAAAUGUUGAAGAAACAAAGUAACAAGAUGAGGAUACAGAAAAUGUGCAUUGGCCAGUAAUGCCUUAUGCAUAUGGUACCAAACAAGAUGGGCCCAGUUAAUUUGGCAACCCGUUUGAAGAGCAAUAGCAAGAUUAAAUCCUACUCAGAGGCCUGAGCAAGAUUGGUGGACCGGGGAAGCAAGACUUGACAAAGGAUAUAAUGCAUGAUGCGACACUCAAAGGUGAAUGAGCCAGCAAGCAAUCUGUCGGUCAUAUCAGCAUGGUCAUUACAGAUCAUUUUACAAGCAUCAUGACUAGAAUAAACAUGUUUUCAAUCAUCAACUAGAGUGCCCUCAAAAGGAACACCCUGACUGCUUAGUUUAGUAAGAGAAUAAAAUAGAGAUUGAUCAACAACAAUAGGUAUUUGAUGCACCUCAGAGAAAAUGACUCCAUCCUGAAUUUUCAAAUUAUUAUAAAAGACUCUAACUAAUUCAGGAUAAUACAAAAAUGGCAUAGACAUAAACUCAACUAAUUCAAAAUUUUGAAACACUUGAUAGCAACCAAAGGUUUCCCCAUCAAAGAAUUUUACAUCUAAAUACUUAGGAUCGAGAAUGACACGAUUGGAGAAUUGGGAAUAGUACCUUUGAUGCUGGUCAUUAGAAGAAAACAAAGUUAAUGACCUGUGAGAUGAAAAAGAAGGAGGAUUUGGUGCUGGUGGGUCACCGGAUGUGUCGUGGCGACAUUGGCCUACAGCGGUGGUGGUGGAGGAGGAUCCCUUUCUCUUCUUUGAGGAUUCUGCCAUUUUGAGCUUGUUUCUGAAAAUUUUGAUCAGUGGGUUUUGUAGAGAAUUGAAAAAGAAGAAAUUUGAGCUUUGUUUGAAGUGAUUUGGACAAGAAACGAGAAAGUUAUGGAGAUUUGAAGUAUUGAGAAAAAGGGGCGCCGUCAAGGAGAGUGAAAGAAAAAAGGGCUGCACAAGGAGAGAGCAAAAUGCAGUAUUUAUAGACAGGGACGAGCUGUAAUCGAUUACAGCUCAUGGUAAUCGAUUACAGGCGUAACCUGUAACUGACCAAGCCCGCUGGUAAUCGAUUACAGCCUAUUGUAAUGGAUUACAGGGAGUGGUAAUCAAUUACCAGACCCUAAAAACAUGGAUUUUUCAUAAAAAUCUAACUAUUUUUCACUCACAAAACACACAUUUAGUAUAACAAUCAUCAACAACAAUCAACAAUCAAAAUAUACAAUCAAACCAAGUAUAAAAAAUUCUCAAACACAGACAUCAAAGAUAAUCAAAAUUUCAAGAACAAUCAUCAACAACAAUCAACAAUCAUCAUAACUAUCAAAACAUAAUUAUCAAAGACAAUCAAAACUCAAGUGAAAACAAUCAUUAAACCUCAAUCAACAAUAAUCAUUAAAAACAAACACAAUCAUCAAGGGCAAUCAAAAGUUUAACAAUCACAAGAAAAGAAAAUAAUAAACAAACAAAUUAAUUAUUUAUCUAAGUCAUUGAUAUCUAGGAGUCCUAAUUCUCUUCUAAUAGCAAAUAAGGUUUCUUUGGGGAGAGGUUUUGUAAAGAUAUCACCUAACUGAUUCUUUGUGUCAACGAAUUCUAGUACACAAUUCCCUUUUUGAACAUGAUCUCUCAAGAAAUGAUGCCUAAUCUCAAUAUGCUUGGUUCUCAAGUGUAGAACAGGAUUUUUGGAUAGGUUUAUUGCACUCGUGUUAUCACAUCGAAUGAGAAUAUGAUUAAGAAUUAAUUCAUAGUUAGAAAGUUAUUGUUUCAUCCAAAGUAUUUGUGCACAACAACUGCCAGCAGAAAUAUAUUCCGCCUCAGCAGUGGAUAAAACAACACUAUUUUAUUUCUUACUAUGCCAUGAAACUAGAGCAGAGCCAAUGAAAUGACAGGUUCCACUAAUGCUCUUUCUAUUAGUUUUGCAACCGACAAAAUCAGAAUAAGAGUAUCUUAUUAGAUUACAAGUGGAACUUUUAGGAUACCAUAAUUCUAAAUUAAUAGUGCCUAAUAGAUAUCUCAUGAUUCUUUUAACUACACUAAGGUGAGAUUCUUUGGGAUUUGCUUGAAAUCGUGCACACAUACAAAUACUAAACAUUAUAUCAGGUCUACUUGCAGAUAAAUAAAGAAGAGAUCUGAUCAUACCUCUAUAUUUCUUUAUGUCUAUUGACUGAUCGGUUUCAUCUUUAUCCAGAUAGCAAGCAGUACUCAUUGGAGUAGUCAUAUGUUUAGCAUUUUCCAUCCCAAAUCCAUCAUUGACAUUCCAAAUUCAUUUUGCAUAUCUUGAGAGAAUUCCCUUUAGAUAUGUCACCGAUAAUGUUAUCAAGAGGGUGGUAUCUAGAAGUUCUCCACCCUUUUGGAAGAUAUGCACUUGAUUUUGUUUCAUCAAUUUGAAAGUCUUCAUCAUUUCCUUUUCCUUUGCCUUUGUGAUCUUCACCAUGAAUAUGCAUUCCUUCUAAAGAAUUUGAAAUAUCAUCUAGAGUAUCUUUUCUUGGCAAAAUUAGGUUAGUUUCAUCAAAAGCAACAUGGAUAGAUUCUUCAAUGAUCAUAGUUUUUUUGUUAUAAAUUCUAAAUGCUUUACUGUGCAAGGAAUAUACCUUCAUUAGAUUUUGCAUCAAACUUACCAAGUUGUCUUUGCCGUUGUUUAGCACAAAACAUUUACAUCCAAACACAUGAAGAUGAGAAAUGUUCGGUUUUCUAUCGUUGUAUAAUUCAUAUGGAGUUUUCUUUAAGAUUGGUCUAAUUAAAGCUCUAUUCAUAAUAUAGCAUGCAAUAUUUACAACUUCAGCCCAAAAAUAUUUAGGAAGGAUUGUAUCAUUAAGCAAAGUUCUGGCUAUCUUUUUUAAAAAUCUAUUUUUCCUCUAAACUACUCCAUUUUGUUGAGGGGUUCUAGGUGCAGAAAAAUUAUGUUCAAUGUCAUUUUCAUCACAAAAUGAUUCAAAAUCCUUAUUUUCAAAUUCUCCUCCAUGAUCACUCCUAAUUUUGAGAUUUUUCUUAUUUUGAAUAAUUUUAGCAAGUUUCUUGAAAGCAUGAAAAACAUCUCUUUUAUGAGUGAGAAAUAAUGUCCGUGUAAAUCUGGAGUAAUCAUCAACUAUAACAAGAGGAUAGUAGUUUCCUCCAAAACUCAUAGUUCUAGAGGGACCAAAAAGAUCCAUAUGCAAAAGUUGUAAGGGUUGAGUUGUAGAUACAAUAUUCUUUGAUUUGAAAGAAACCCUUACUUGUUUUCCUUUAUGACAAGCAUCACAUAAUCUAUCUUUUUCAAAUUUAGGUUUUUGUAAACCAAUAACUAAAUCUUUAGAAAUUAGUUUAUUUAAAUGUUUCAUGUUUAUAUGGGCAAUUCUUUUAUGCCAUAACCAAGGAUCAUCAUCUUUACUAAGAAAACAUUGAUCAUGAUUUAGUGUUCUAUCUAAAUUUAUCAUGUAAACAUUAUUUGAUCUAUAGCCUAUAUGUUUUAUAUUUCUAUCAUGUUUGUUUUCAAUAACACAAUUAUGAGAGUCAAAUAAUACUAGAUAAUCUUUAUCACAUAAUUGACUAAAACAUAGUAAAUUGUGCUUAAGACCAUUAACAAGUAGAACAUUUUCAAUGGAGGUAGAUGAAUUCGUACCUAUUUUUCCAACUCCAAGGAUUAUACCUUUAUUGUUGUCGCCAUAAGUCACAUGUCCACUAUUCUUGGGAGAAAUAUGAGUGAACUUUGAUGCAUCUCCCGUCAUGUGUUUAGAGCAUCCACUAUCUAUGUACCAACUCUUCUUCAAAGAAACCUCUUCAUCGCUUUCAUAAUUUUUGGCCAUUAGACUCAGAUUUAUAACUUCAUUUUCUGAAUCUUCGGAUGAAUGUUGUCUUCCUAAGUGAUGUAUGCCUUCUUUGCUUUCUUAUCAUUGAAGGUUUUCUUUUAAGAUCUUUCUAUUCUUUUCUUGAAACUCGGGCAAUAAUCAACUCUCAGAUGUCCUCUUUACGAAGAAACUGAAAUCAUCAUCUUCCUCUAUUUCAUUCAAAUCUUCUUUAUUACUUCCUUCUUGAAUUGAAGGUGAAGCUUUAAGUGUGAUUCCUUUCUUUUUCUUAUCAUUCUCCUCAUGUUGAUUCAGUCUCAUUAGUUCCAUUUCGUGUUCUUGAAGCUUUCCAAACAAAGUUGCAAGAGACAUGUUAGUAAGAUUUCUUGAUUCUGUAAUAGCCGUUAUCUUUGAUUGUCAUUCCCUGCUUAAACAUCUUAGAACUUUAUUAAUAAGAUCCUCAUUGGGAAAUAUCUUUCCUAAUGAUGCAAGAUGAUUUACUAUGUGUGUGAAUCUCUUUUACAUAUCUUGUAUAGUUUCAUUUUGAUUCAUUCUAAACAAUUCAUAUUGAUGGGUUAGGAUAUUUAUUCUAGACCUUUUUACAUCCGUUGUUCCUUCAUGGGUUACUUGUAAGGUAUCCCACAUUUCUUUUGCAUUCUUGCAAUUUGAUACUCUAAAAUAUUCAUCCAUUCCUAAUGCAAAUGUAAUUAUAUUUUUGGGUUUUAAAUUAUAUUGUACCAAUUUCUUUUCCUCUUCAUCCCAUUGUUCCUUAGGGUUUUCUAUAGUUGCAUUUCUUGCUACCAUAGUAGGGAUGUAAGGACCAAUUUCUAUGGCUUUCUAGAUGUUUAAAUCAAUAGCCUCUAUAAAAAUUUGCAUACGGGUUUUCCAGUAAUGAUAACCCACACUAUUGAAUAUAGGAGGUCUAUUUAUAGAGUUCCCUUCGGGAAAUAAAAAGUUUGAUGAGGCCAUGACUAUUCUGGAAGUUUCUAAACCUUAUACAAGAAUUAAGCUCCGAUACCACUUGUUAGUCAAGUGGCCUCAAUAACUUAAGAGGGGGGUGAAUUAUGUUUCAAAAUUUCCCACUAAUAAACUUUUAACCCCCUUCUAAAUGAUAGGCUUAGAAUGCAGAAGAAGCAGCAAUCAAUUUAAUAAUAUUUUUUUAAACAUGCAAGACAAAAUUGAUUGCAAUAACAUAAAUGAGAUAAGGGAAGAGAGAAAUGCAAACUCGAUUUAUAUUGGUUCGGCCACUUCCCAUGCCUACGUCCAGUCCUCAAGCAACUCACUUGUGAUUUUCUACUAUCUCUGUAAAUCAUUUACAGACUUUGAACACACCUUGAGAUCCCUCAUCCUUGUGUUCAAAGAUUCUCCAAGAGAUAACCCGUCUCUUGAUUAAAACUGACUUUAUGAGAUGAACAAAAAGAUUUCUCUCCUUUAAAGUGGAUGGUACAAAUUGAAGAUCCUAGAGGAAUUUCUCUCUUUUAGAGAUGAUAAUACAAAUUGAAGUCCUAGAUGAACUCUCAAUAGAUUUGCAAGUGUUUGUCCAAGAGUUGUUGAGAGAGUUUUUGACAAUUAAGUUCUCUUAGAAUAUUUCUCUCUUGCUUUUCGAAGUCAGACACACAUAUACAUAGGCCCUUCGUGCCUUUUCUAAAUGGUUUGAAGAGAUGUAUCUUUUCAAAAAGUUUUUUCUAAAAUUCUUCACUAGUAAUCGAUUACAUGGUUAUAUUUUAAAGGGUCGUGUCUUUUGAAAGUGUUUUCUAAAGUGCCGUUGCUGGUAAUUGAUUACAAACAUCUGGUAAUCGAUUACAUGAUUCAAAAUUCAAAUUCAAAACCCUUUUUAAAAAGCUAUUUUUCAAAAUUGUCUUUUGGUAAUCAAUUACACUGUCUGGUAAUCGAUUACAACUUUCAAGUUUCAAAUUCAAACUUUUCUAAAUGUUGUUAAAAUCAUUUUUGCUUCUGGUAAUCGAUUACAACCUCUGAUAAUCAAUUACUAGAGAGAAAUACAUAUUUUUCAAAAUGUAAUAUUUACUUAAAAACUUUAUAAGAUAUUUGAAAGCUUAAGUCUUUUAAGGCCAAACCUUUGCAACCUUUUUAAGAGAUUCUUUUAACAUAUAAAGGUUUAUUGUAAAUCGUUUCUCUUGAUUUCUUGAUCUUAACUUGAAUCAAUGUUGAAUAGCUUUAAUCUUUUGGCAUCAUCAAAAUCUUCAUACAACAUAUGCACUUAAAGCAAGAUGGCAACAGAGUAAAUUAUGCAGCAAAUUUUAACCUUUCAAGGUCUCCAACAUGACUUUUUAUACAUUAUUUAAUCACCAAUAGACUAAGGAAUCGUCUGAUAACCUUUGCAACACUAACCAUACCUCUGAGCACCUUAAUUUUAUUAUUUUAAGGACAAUUUAAACUACAAGGCAGCAGUUGCGACUCUAUUAGGAAAAUCAUUAAAUAAAGUCAAGAUAUAAUCUCAAGAUAUCAAAUACAUCAUUGAGUUAUCAUUGAAUGGUCUCAUGACAACACCUUAUAUGUAGGUUAUCAAUAUAUCUAACAUGAGUCGAAGUCAUAUAUAAAAGUUAUUUGGCAACAAGUUCAUCUGCUUAGGAAAUGCACUUAAACCAAAAUCGAAAAUCUUUAUAUUUCCUAGUGAAUCAAGUAAAAGAUUUUCAAGCUGCACAAGGAAAAAAGGAAAAUUAGAAGAAAUCACCAUAAGGGCAAUAGACAACUUUUCAGAUCUCACGCAAUGCAAACCUUUAAAUCUAUGUGAUAAACUCCGUUACAGUGGCAAUAAUCUACAUUGUCAAUAAGUUGUUGGAAAUAUCUUCUAGAGUCAACUUCACUAAGAUGACCAUGAUAUAUCUGCACAAUCAUAUUAUUCACCAUCAAACAUUUCCAAUAUCUCGAAUGGUGAUUAAUAAAAGCCACAAUAAAAUCCACACAAAAAAGGUUCCAUCUUGAGCUACUCACAAUUUUAUAAACAAUUCACCACCCGUGAUGAACUCCAAUAUGAUAUAAAUCUUGGUACAACUUGCAAGAACCUGAAGUAAACAACGUUUCACAACAAAAACAAGUGCUUGUGAGUGGCAUCAACUAACGAGAGAAACAUUAAGAAUUACUUCUCAGAGCAAAUAUUGAGUCGGCAUGGCUCUUCGUUUAAAACAUUUUUUUUUCAUUUAAUCAAGGAAGAUUCUCAAAUAUCAGAAUAUGAUUUUAGAACUAUCCCUCACUCCAAAAGUCCAAACAAUCAAAAUAAAAAAGAAAUUCUAUAAUUCUGGUUUCUGCAUUGCACACUUUUCCCCAACCCUAAAAGCAUGACAUGAUUCAAAUGUUAUUCACAAGCUUUGCAUUUUUUGGGUUUUAAUUUAUUAGUUUAUUAUUAAGUGUCUUCUUGGCAGGGAAAUAGAAAAACGAAAAGAGAACAACAACAACAUCAUUCUUUGAAAAUUAAACCUGUGUUGUUUAUGGAGAUGCUCGUGCAAAGACCUCACAUGAUUAUGGUAAACAUGUGCAUCCCCAAUAAUAUGGAUAAAAUCACCUGGAAUGAGAUCUGACAAGAAGAACACAUAGUAUAAAGAUUGAUUAUUUUAUGUUUAAAUUACUUUUAAUGUUGUAUUUUCUCUUGUGAUAUUAUCAAAAUCAAUAAGCUUCUGAACCUUGAAUCUACCUAGACUGGAACUUCAAUUAAAAACUUAUUGAUAAACUUAUGAAAACAACUCUAUCAAAAAAUCUAUAAAAAUAAUUGAAAAGUGCAAAUAGGCCACUAAAAUAAUCAAAUUAGUUAAGCAAUGGAAAACCUUUUCUAUACAGAGAUAAUCUAUAACAAUUUUUUCCAAAAUUUGUCAUGAUUUCUUAAUGUUACCAUGCUAGGUAGAUGGAAGUUGAUGAGUCCAUGAGAACCUGGAACAGUGCAAAUAAUGUCUAUGAUAUCCCAACAUACAUAUUUAUAUAAUAUCAUACAUGAGAAUGCGAAAUUAAUUAAAAUAAUUUUAUUCAAUAAACAUAAAGGAACUCACAUGGGUAAAAGGUUUACAUUCACGUUAAUCACCAAAUUAAAAACUUAUCAAAUAAGGGUAUGAAAACAUCUCUGGCCCAAAACAAGGCCAUCUAAUUUUAACAAAAGAAAACAAGUUAAGCAACAUAAUAACAUAAACUAACAUAUUCAGAACAUUAUGCAAAUAAUAUAGAAACUCAUGCCCAAUACCACAUCAUAUCAUAGUGUUGUGUCUCAGCAUCCUCUAGCGCGAGGUUCUUUAAAAUUAUCCACCUAACCAUCUGCUCCCACGAACACAAGGUUCAAGAUUAUCACAGGACUCAAACACAAACAACACACGGGGAGUGAGUUAUCACAUUCCUAAACAGGUAAAUCUAAACGAAGCACAUAUAUAUAAUAUAAGUAUAAUGAGCUCAACUUAGCAUAAUUCACAUCAUUUUACCACUCAUUGUGUAACUUCACUUGUCCCAAGGAUUUAAUCACAAAAUCAUUUUCAUACCUUCACAUUAAUCAGGUGUUCAGAACAACACGUCUCAAGUACAACACAAUAUCUCACACUCACACAAUUCAUUACCCACCAUCACGUAACAAGUCAUAAUAGUCAUUAUGCAAGUAUUAUGUAACAGAUACACUAAGACUCAAUCUUAUAUGCAAUGUGGUACCAUGUCAGUGAAAAACCUCGCCGGGAGCCUAGGAGUACAUGGCAAGACAAACUACACGCUGGUAAGUCAGGUCACUCUCACUAGGUAAAAUCAUAGGAAUACAAGCUAGGGUCACGCUGUUUUGUGAGACUACUUCAACCAUGUGAGAUUGACACAAGCUUAAAGGAGCAUUCAAACCGGGUGUAUUUACCCCAAGGUCUAAACUCUGAAGAGUCAGUUAGGACCUUUCCUUCCCAAUUCAGGUCCAACCUAGAAAACAUUUUAGCACGCAGAUUGUAUCAAUGAAUAGUAAAAAACACACGACUCUUGAAUUAUUCUCAAAAUAAUUUUAACUCGUCGUGCCUCAAAGUGAUUAAACUCGUCGAGUUCCCAUAAUGGAUCUCAUCACAAUACUCGUCGUGCAUUAACUUGUCACCCUUAAAGGGUCUUACAACCGUGUGAUUGUAUGGUUGAUAGCUCACAACUCAAUGCACACAACAUCUCAAUACAUGUGUGAUCUCUCAACUUAUCACAUACACUCAAUCUCAAUCACAAUGUUAUAAUCCCAAAGCAACAUAUUAUCACACUCAUGAAUCAUAUACACAUCACACAAUAUUAAUAUAUGCAUGGCACAAACACAAACUUUACCUAUAAACUAUGUAAUACACACAAUUACUCAAUUGUUUUCAAAAUCAUUUUAACUUGUCGCGCCUCAAAAUGAUUCAACUUGUUAGGUUCCCACAGCGGAUCCCAUCAUAAUACUCGUCGCGCAUUAACUCGUUGCCCUUAAAGGGUCUUACAGUUGUAUGAUUACACAAUUGAUAACUCACAACGCAAUACAUACAAUAUCUCAAUACACAUGUAUCUCACAAUUCAUCACAUAUUCAAUUUAUCACUUACACACUAUCUCAAUCACAAUUUCAUGAUCUCAAUAUAAUAAUUUAACACACUAAUCUAGUAAAUCUUUUUCCAAAACACAAACGAAUUAUACAAAAAUGCUUCUCACAACAUGGGGAGUAAAACCCCUCAUACAAUUUUACAUAAUCAUAUCAUAAUCAAAGGAAUCAAAAUCAUAGGUUCAAUAAUCACAAAAAAAAAACCAAGAGCACUCAAUUUUGUAGAAGCAAAGCUUCAUGGAGAAUCAAAGGUAAUUUAAAGGUGUUUUGAUGAUAACAAUGAUGAUAACAAAAGAUGAUGACAAAAGGUGAUGACAAAAAGCUCAAAGAUCAAUCAGAGAACAACUCAGGUGAAUCAAGAACAAUUCAAGAGUUCAAGAUAAGAAUCAAGAAGAAUUCAAGACUCAAGAAGAAAGUUUAGAGUCAAGAAUCAAGAUUCAAGGUUCAAGAUCUCAAGAAUCAAGAUCAAGAUUCAAGAGUCAAGAGAAGGCUUAAUCAAGAUAAGUAUGAAAAGUUUUUCUCAAAAAUUGAGUAGCACAUGAUUUUUCUCAAAACAUGUUUACCAAAGAGUUUUUACUCUCUGGUAAUCGAUUACCAGAUUGUUGUAAUCGAUUACCAGCAGCAAAAUUGUUUUGAAAGAGUUUUCAAAUUGAAUUUACAACGUUCCAAUUAAUUUCAAAAAGCUGUAAUCGAUUACAAUGUUUUGGUAAUCGAUUACCAGUGCCUUUGAACGUUGAAAUUCAAAUUCAAAUGUGAAGAGUCACAUCCUUUCACAUAAAAGCCUUGCGUAAUCGAUUACACUGAUUUGGUAAUCGAUUACCAGUGAUUGUUUCUGAAUAAAUCAAAAGAUGUAACUCUUCAAAAGGUUUUUGACUUUUUCAAAUUGGUUUUAAGUUUUUCUAAAAGUUAUAACUCUUCUAAAUGGUCUUCUUGACCAGACAUGAAGAGUCUAUAAAAGCAAGGUUUUGUUUUGCAUUUUCAUUCAUUCAUUCAAUCUUGAACACUUAUUCAGACAAUCCUUUAUAAGCCUUGAAUCUCUUUAAACGUCUUCUUCUUCUUUGUACCAAAAGCUUUCUGAAGUUUUUCUGGUUUUCUAAACCUUGAAAACUUGUGUUAUUCAUCUUUUCAUUCUCUUCUCCCUCUACCAAAAAGAAUUCGCCAAGGACUAACCGCCUGAAUUCUUUUUGUGUCUCUCUUCUCCCUUUUCCAAAAGAACAAAGGACUAACCGCCUGAAUUCUUUUGUGUCUCCCUUCUCCCUUGUCAAAGAAUUCAAAACGACACAGUCUGAGAAUUCUUUUGAUUCUUCCCAUUCCCUUAUAAAAAAGUGUUCAAAGGACUAACCGCCUGAGAAUUCUUUUGUAUCCCUAUUCACAAAGUAUCAAAGGUUUAACAGCCUGAGAUCUUUGUCUUAACACAUUGGAGGGUACAUCCUUUGUGGUACAAGUAGAGGGUACAUCUACUUGGGUUUGACUGAGAACAAGAGAGGGUACAUCUCUUGUGGAUCAGUUCUAGUGGAGGGUACAUCCACUAAGUUCAAAGAGAACAAGGGAGGGUACAUCCCUUGUGGAUCUUUGCUUGUAAAAGGAUUUUUACAAGGUUGAAAGAAAUCUCAAGGACCGCAGGUCGCUUGGGUACUGGAUGUAGGCACGGGUUGUUGCCGAACCAGUAUAAAAACUCUUGUGUGUUUGCUUCCUUCUUCCCUACUCUUUUACUUUCUGCUGUGCAUUUAAUUUCCGCUUUUACUUUCUGUUAAGUUUCUCUUCUACUCCUCAUUCUCUUAAUUUAGUAAAAGCCUUAGAAGAGUAAUUUUUUAAUUAGUAAAGGUUUAGGAAUAAUUAAUUCAACCCCCCUUCUUAAUUAUUCUGAGGUCACUCGAUCCAACAAAUUUUAUCAACCAAUUUGCAUUAGGAUAUCAAUUGGUCCGUCAAACAUAACAAUCUUGUGAUUAUAAUCAUAAAGGCAGAAUUAUCAUCAUAAACAUCCCAAAAAAGAUCCCAAUUUGAUCCUCUAAGGACCCUUACACAUGUUCAUUUUAACUCCAAUUGCGAUAAACUCAUUCAUAAGCGGACUCACGUGUGUAGUCUGAUGACAAUAACAAUGUCUCUAGCAGUUCCCUGGGAUUCCUCCCUUUGGUUGUUCUGUUAUGAUUUCUAAGCAUUAGAGAGAAACAAAAGGGAUUGGAGCCUCAAUUUUACUAUCUCUGUGCGAGGGACAUUUCUCUCUCUAUAGACAUUAUUUCUCAAAUCCCAAAAGUAAAAAUGUGCGAAAAUGAGUUCUGAAGAUGAUGUUCAAAUUUCACGAGGAUCUAACGGUUAUUGGGAUUAUAAUUUUAUUAAGACAUGUUUGAAUGUAUGCAAAAAAAAGAAGAUAUUAGAAGAGAAAGAAGGAAAAAAAUUUUAAGACAAAGAUGGAGGGUACAAAUGUUUAAAUUAAGUUAGUUAGGAUACUUACUUUCAACCUAUUAUUUACUUUAUUUAUAUUUUAUUUUAUUAUUUUAUAACAAAGGAAAUUUUAUUUCUCUUUUAUUAAAUAAAUAAUCAAUUAAAACAUCUUUUUAUUCUCUAAAUCAUUAUUUUAUUUUAUUUAUUUUCUAAUAUUAUCAAACUCUUAUUUUAAGUAAUAAAAAAUUCUUUUUUUUCAUUUAUUUAAUUUCUAAAAAAAAUUAUUAAUUUUUUAUUUUACGGAAAACGGGUGUGAGAAUGCCAUUGAGAGUGCUACUCUCCAUAUCUUCUCCGUCCGCAAAACAAACUUAACAUCCUUCAAGCAUUUCACCGGCAAAUAGUCAAGUUCACGAAGUUAGUAUAAGACAAAUUGCAAUCAAUAGGUAAGAAUGCUCAGCUCUGCUCCUAGGUUAACCUGUGCUAUGAAGGUACCCGAAGAAUAAAACUAUAAAGAAGCACAUAAGCUACUAAUUCAAGAAAUGAACAUGUGAAGAGUGGUGAAAGCGAUAACGAAUAGAUGAGAAUCGGAUCGGGGCAGCUAAACGAUGUCGUUUAUCAGAGCUUGUGAAGGGUUUGAUCAAGGCACAUCCCGUGUGUCUCAAAGCCAUGGAACAGUUAAUGUCUCACAUUCUUUUUUUUUUUUUCUUUUUCUUUUUGCACCCACUUUCAGAUUCAAUUGGUGCCUUUCUUGGUUUUUUCUUGUACCCUUUGGGGUUUUAUCAUUUAGCUCCAAAAUGGUACCUUUUGCAAUGUUUGCCAUUAUUUUGCAUUUCACUUUUUAGCAUAAUUUAUUUGUUUCUGAAUCAUACUGAGGAAUGUGGUGCUUGUGGUGUUCAAUUCUCCUGUUUUGGUCUACAUUAGGCAUUCUGACUUCUGAGUUUAGUGAUUUUAGGAAUUUUUGGGAUGUCAUGUGUUUUGUCACCUAAUUUUGAUUUUCAAUGUUUAUUUAAAGUUUAGUGUUUUUUUUUUUUUAAUAUAUACUCUCUCUAGUCAUUAGGCAUUAGAAAAAAAACAUAUUUUUCUCUUAUCAUUCAUUUGAUUGAGGUACUAGUUUCAUAAACUCUUAUUUUUUAUACUAAGUUCCAAAUAUAAUUUGAAAAAAAGUUACUUUUUAAUUAAAAUUGAUGCAAUUAAAUAUUGCUAAGUAACUUUUGUUAGUUAGCGUGAAAUGUUUUUUUUUACUUCUUAUAUUUGAGAUGGAAGGAAAUACAUUUUAAGUUGAUAAGGAAAUGUCAGUAUUUAAUCUUUUAAUCUCCUGAAAAAAAAGUUAUAUAUUUUUAGUUUCUUAAAAUGUGUUAAGUGUAAUAAUAUCUGUUCUUUUCUUGGACUUAGUACUAGUAACAUGAAAUACAACGCCAAUUUUAUAAACAAAAAUGAUACAUCGACACCUUAUGCUAAUGUACUCCUAAAGAGAGAAAGAGAGAACAAAGAGAAACGUGAAUGUGAUAAGAAGAGACAUUGAAAAAAAAUGAGAAGUGCCAAUGAAGUGUUUGUAUUAUAACAGAUGUCCCUAUAUCAUUUUUCUUUUAUAGAUGAGGAAUUAAAAAUAUGAUUUUAUUUAAGGAACAUUCUAUUUUUCUAGGAACAUUUUCUUAUUUACAGGAAUAAAAAUAUACUAUUCAAACUUUUUUUUCCUGCAGGGUGAAAAUUUGAGUAUUAUUAUCUUUUUGACUGUGUUUACAAGAGCGCCACCUGCAACAUUUCCUAGAGCUGAAAAAAAUUAGAAUAUGCUCUGCUCUUAAGCAUGAAUAUUUAUCUGAAUUUCUAAAUAAGCGCAGAAACUGCUUAGUUAGGCUUUAUGUUGACAGCUAAAAUAUUGAAAAUGUUGAGUUCAGUAUGAUUGUUGUACCAUUGUUCUCAAUAAUAUUGAUCAUGUUCAUGACUGAUGUUUAUUCAAUUGAUUGGAGGCUAUGUUAGCCUUUAGUGCUGCUCAAGUAUUUUUAUGUGACAGAUCUGUCAUAAUGAAUAUGGUAUUUCAAAUGCAUGUGGAAUAUGGUAUUUUUCUCUAGUUAUAAUGAAUAUUUCUCAUCUGUAGUCUGUUAUACAAAUGUUUUUAUAUAAUAGAUCUGUCACAUUUUUUUCAAAUGCAUUUGGAAUAUGUAUUUUUCUCUAGUUAUAAUUUCUCAUUUAGCUACUUGCUGAGUGGAUUCAAGUAUAAUCUGACACUCUGAGUUCCUUUCCAUAGAAAAAGUGGAAACUGAAAAGAGGUGUACUUUCUCUCAUUCUCUUUCUUCAUUUUGUCUUGCCCUUUCUGGGUGUGGACUGAGUUCUUAAAUAUAGAACUACUCAUGUGAAAGAUUAUAUGUCUCUGCUCUGUUUCUGAUAUGUGAUAUCUGAUAACUCUUUGCUUAUAUGUAUAUAUAUUAUAUAUGCUGGUUUUAUCAACUUGGUAAGAAUUCUUAAAAUGAAAUGUUUGUUACUAAUAGACAAUGUUAUCAAUGGUGGAUGGUGGAAUGUAGCGGAAAGUCAAAAUUCCACCACAUGAACACAGAAUUGUGGCCUAUGGUGCUGUGUUAUGAGUCACACAUUGAGUAGAGUAAACUACUUGGUGUGGUACAUAGUCCUUGAGGUUCUUCACCUAAUGAACCAGUCUUUUGGGUUGAGCUCUUCUCUUGUGCUUAAUCCUAACAAUUAAUGCUUUUGGAAUGACUGAUUCAUAUUGGAUGCAUAGAAUUAGAGUAGGGUAUUUUUUUUCCAAGUUGCCUACUUUUAAAUAUGCCCUAGAUCAUGUCCACUUAGUUCAUAUGGAUGAUUAAUUUUCAGUAGGUUCUGUGCUUUUGAUCCCCCUCCAUCUCUCGUAUUUGGAUUGAGGGUUCUUGAGUUAAAGGAGCAAGGUGUUAGUAAGGAACAAGCAAUGGCUAUGGCAGAUGUAGUAACGUGAACUGGUUCCUGAACAUGUUAGCUCUGCAAUUUGUUUUUCCCUUGUGUUCUCUUAUCCUCUAAUAAUCCACUUUGGCUUUUUUGCUUCCUAGAUGGAGAGUAUCUGACAGAGAAGAGGGCAAAAAAGAAAGCAUAUACCUGUUUGAGGAAAAAACCCAUAUCCUAGUCCUAUCAAGGAAAUACAAGCUGAGGAGAGGAAAUUGUGAAGCAAUAGAAAGCUGAGUCAGCAGAGAGAUUCAGAGAGGGGGUGAUUGGUGAGAUGUAGAGGGGAAAAGUUACACUACUUUGAAAGUUUGGCUCUUGAACAAAUGAUCUUUGACAAUAACAUUUACUGUUCAGCCACUGAAAAGUUAUUUGUUGUAAAUAAGAAAAUCUAUUUGUUGUGUUAGAUAACUGUAGAGGAAAAUUUUACCAAAAUCUUAUGCAAGUUUUCUGUUUUUCCAGGCCACCCAUGUAGGUUUGUUAGUUGGUACAAAAGAACUAAAUAGAUAAUCAAGAUUUGUAUAUUUACUCUUUUUAUUUUUAUGAUUAUGAGCCUCAUGACCAAAAUAUUAUGCGAUUAAUUUUCAAUAUAAUAUAUUUUAACUUGACUUUUUGAAUGUUAAAAAAUUGAAUCUGUUUUAUAAUAUCAAUGUUCUUGAAGUAUCCAGCCAUAUAGAUAGCUUAAGUGUUCAAGUCAUGUGGAUGUGUCAAGUAAACUGUUUGAACUAACAAAACUUUUGUUAGACUUAGUGAGUAGUGUAGGACACAUGUUGUACAGAUGUCGAGAAAGUGUUGGUGCUAAAAAUUUGUCUAAUCACUGUGCUUAACAAGUUUCAUCUUAUCAUUCAGUAACUAUUGUGUUUUUCUUUAGCAGCCUUUUCCACUACUUUUAUCUCUUGUUCUGUUCUUGUCAUCCUCACUUGUACUCAGGGUCACUUGUUGCAUCUUAUUCUCUUGAUCUUUGUAUGUAGUUAAGUACAUUAUCAGAUUUUGUGGCAUGCAGACACGAGAUCUCUCACCAUCCUUUUAAUUAUUUUCAUCAUAAGCAGCACAUAACACUGUUUGAAGCAAUUUUAAUGUGAGCUCCUUUGGAUGGAUGCUAAUUCCCAGGUUCUAUCUUAAAGUUGUUCUUCUGACAAUGUCAUCCAUUUUUAGCUUUAGGUUGUUAACCAAAAUAGAAGCAAGGUGGCAGCUGUUGCUGAAGAACUCUGAUUAUUUGUGUCCUCUGAUGUACAGAUACUUUAUGGUCACAUAUCCAUAUUUGUAUCGUACUUGUAAUGAAUACCCAUAGGCGUAUAAUAAGGCUGCCUAAGUCGGGUAUGCAUUAAAUCUAGACUGUUUUAUUGAAACUUCUUACAUACACUAUUUCUUUAAAUAGUGAAACAAUUGUUAUCAUUAAGUUUUUUAAUAAAUUCGAUAAGAGAUUGAACACCAAUGAUGUUAGGAUGAUGGAGAUGACCCAUCAAUAGAUAUCAUCUAUAUUAAGAAAUAAAGAAAUUAAAAUAUAAUUUUAUGUAUCACAUUGCACCUAAUACUUGUAUGAGUUGUAUCCAAAGCCAUGAAACAAAAUGUGUCAGAUAUCAGUUAGAUAAGAUUCAGUUCAGCAGGCAGGUUGGAUAAGAGUAUUGCUUAUGUAUAUCUUAAAAGAAAGUUUCCUAUUUGACCGAAUGUGGGUGUUUUUGUCCACCUAGGAGCUUUUUACCAUGUAACCAGACAGAUAAUUGGUAUCUUAAAAUUUCAAAGGGUGGUCCUUCACACCUAAUUUGGAGAUCUAAUUUGUUGAUAUGUCUUCACUAAUAGACUGUAUUGCAAAAUUAGUAAAUUGAAGAUGACAUUACUCAAGUUUUUCAUGUGAGGAAGGAAGGGAGCACAAGGAAAACGGUGAAACCUCACUGAUCAGCAUUUUCAGAGGAACCUAUUAUGAAGCACUCAACUUGCUGACAUAGGCUUUAUGAUCUGCACUAAUCUUUUGAAACUUCAUUUUGUCACAUGUUACUAAGUUGAAAAAGAAAAUAUUGUUUUAGGAGCUAAAGAUGAAUAAGUAGCUAAAGGAAAGUUAUAUAGAAUUUGUAGUAAAAGGGAAGAGUGUAAACAUAUUUGCUUCAGUACACAGAGUGGAUGACUCAAGUGCUGGUUCCAUUACCAAAUUUCAGUGGUUUUGGUUGAAUAUGUAAGUCAGUGGAAGUGGUGCUGAAGAUUGGAGGGAAUGUUUGGAGUACAUGAUUAGAAAAGGGGAGAAUGAUUAAAAGAAAUAGAAAAUUGGCUGACUAAUAUUGGGGAUUCAUAGGAAUGUUGUGUGUUAGUAAAUUGGAAAAAUGUUACUCCAUUGAUAUUUUCAGCAUACCAUUCAUCUAAGAAGCAUAACUGUUCCUUUUUAUAUAUUUUCUGUUACCUUCCUUUCCUUCAAAACAUGGCUUUUGAAUUUUGAACCAUUAACUGAGUUGGAAUAGUGGUAAAAUCAUGUAGAUUUUUGUUUUCGUUUUGUGGGGAUAUGAAUGAGAAAAAUCCUUACAACCAGACAAAGCUGUGGCUCAGAAGAAAGAGAAACAUGCCUCACUGCUAGAAUCACUGGAACUAACAUCUUGUAAACAAACUGUUAUACCAAACUUUCCUAAGGUGCAAUUCUCAACCAUUAACCAAUUUCAUCUCAAACAACACUAUCAGUUCUUCAGUCAUGAACUUCCCAUACUGAAAAUUUGUCACCUAUUUCUUUUAUAGGCAGUGGCUUCUUAUGAGAGUCACACUCUCUGAACUUCUUAUGUAAAACUUGACUUUUCAUUUUGUGCUUUAUAAUUGUUAUCUCAUGCAUUGCCCUUUUAAGAUAAGGUUGUUGUGCAUUGUUUGGUUGAGUACAACGAUUUACUGAUGACCAUAACUAUUUGUGGAUCUUAUAUUUUCAAAAGUGUAUGCUUGGUCAUUAAUCAACCAAGCUUGAUAAGCCCCAUCACCUACCAUCCCCUUCUAUGCCAUAUACACAUUUUGCUUAUCUACAUUGCUACUGUUACUCUCAAACAAGUCUAACAAAUAAUAAGUGAAGUUAAUGAACAUUUUUAGUAAUAUUAUUAUAAGGAUUGGCCAAUGUAAUGGUGAACAGAGAAGCAUGCUUUCAGCUACCCAACAAACUGGAUAAGAGUGUCAGUUGAUAUGGUUCUCUUGUUUUUUUUUUUUUUUUUUCCAAUGCAAAAUCACCUUUAAAAUAUAAAAGAUCACUGUAACAAAGGGACAAAGGGUUUUCACUUAACCCAUGCAUGAGAUAUGAUGGUCACAAAAUAUGUUAGGUUUAAUAUGGAAUGAGGGCACAGUACAAACCACUCACAAAUAAUAUCAAACUCCACCACCAUCACACAUUUUACGUUCUUCCAAGGAAGAGAUAAGAUAAUGAAGCCUCCUCCACGUGUCACUUCCACAUGGUACCUAACGAUAAGGCUACCAUUCAAAAUUUUCCUCACUCGUGUGGCCAAUAUGCUGUAAUGUCAUCACUUAUUCAAUCCAACGGUUGUAACUUCUCAGCAACCAAUCCCCUCCAUUUCACACCAUCGGAUUAGUACUACACAAAUCACACUAUUAUAUAUAGUAAGUUUGAGCAGAAGCUUGGAUAUCUGGCAGCAGAAGAACAAGUAGUUGAGAACUAAGAAGGAGAAGCAAAUGGCUUCCUCAAUGAUCUCUUCCCCAGCUGUUACCACUGUCAACCGUGCCGGUGCCGGCAUGGUUGCUCCAUUCACUGGCCUCAAGUCCAUGGCUGGCUUCCCCACCAGGAAGACCAACAAUGACAUUACCUCCAUUGCUAGCAACGGUGGAAGAGUGCAAUGCAUGCAGGUAUGACAACUCCACACAUAUAAAUACACAAGAGGCACCAAAAUGAUUAUAAUUCAUGUUACAUAUUUAGGCAUGUACCUAAAUGUUACUUAAAUAAACAUGUUAGUCAUAGGUUGCUUAAAUUUUAGUCAUAGGAAAAUUUGCACAUGUGCUAGUUAAUCUGUUAACCCCUUUACUCAAUUUUCAUGCAAAUUAAUUACUAGGUGUGGCCACCAGUUGGCAAGAAGAAGUUUGAGACUCUUUCCUACCUGCCAGACCUUGAUGAUGCACAAUUGGCAAAGGAAGUAGAAUACCUUCUUAGGAAGGGAUGGAUUCCUUGCUUGGAAUUCGAGUUGGAGGUCAAUUUCUUGCAAACACUUUUGGUUUAAUCAUAGAUUUUCUUAUUCUUAGUUUGUUUCAACUUAUUUUCAAGAAAUAAUCGCUUCUCUAGCUAGUGUGCUAAAAGUACUUUUGGAAACAAAACAAAAAAUGGUUGUGUUCCAAAAUUUAAAUUUAUCUAACAGAUUUUUCUAUCUGAGAGUUAUCAAUAUGUAUCAAAUCUGUUCCUAUCUCUGACCAAAUUUUAUUCUUCCAAAACAAGCACUUGGUUUUGAGUUUUGAUGGUUGAUCUGCUUGUUUGCAGCACGGUUUCGUGUACCGUGAGCACAACAGGUCACCAGGAUACUACGAUGGACGCUACUGGACCAUGUGGAAGCUGCCUAUGUUUGGUUGCACUGAUGCUUCUCAGGUGUUGAAGGAGCUUCAAGAGGCUAAGACUGCAUACCCCAACGGCUUCAUCCGUAUCAUCGGAUUCGACAACGUUCGCCAAGUGCAGUGCAUCAGCUUCAUCGCCUACAAGCCCCCAGGCUUCUAAGUGUGAAAAAUUUGCAAAGCAUUUGUAGCCGCCACCCCACUUUGUUUGUUUGUACUUAAACUACAUUCCCAUUUGUUUUUGCUUUUUGAGAUUUCAUCAUCCUGUAUUUUUGGUUUCUGUUUUCGGACUUCAAUGGAAAUUAAUGGAUGAGAACUAAUGAAUAAGCUAUUGUGUUGUGUUGCUUUGUUUCAAAAUAACUUCAAUAACCCAUCGUCCUUGCAUUUCUCUCUAGUGGGCUGAAAUUAAUCUUUUCUAAAUUUAAGUUAAUUAAUUGUGUCUCUAAAUGAUGGUUAACAGAGGAACUGUGUUAUUCAAGUACUCUGCAUAGUUUAGCUGAGCUUGGCCUUACUUUGUCACAACUCACAAAUCUGAUGUAUGAAUGUUCUUUAUACUUUGGUCUUCCAAGAAAUGAAGUUCAUGACAUAUAUAGUUUGUAAACAUGUUGCUAGGAAGCUUCUGAACUUUCAAAACCAAAUAUGAACUUGAUAAUUCUUGGAAACACAGAUAUUUUGUAUAGUACAUAGCAACAAAAAACCACUAAGGAACUGCUACCAAAUCGUUUUGUUAUUUAUGUGCAAAGAAAGCGAUGUCAAAUUCAAAUUUUUAUUGGUUUCAGAAUCUUUUCUUUCCAAGCAAUAACCACCAACUGCACGAAACCGUUUUGUUUGUUCCAUUUCUCACUCUCCUCACUGCAAUAUUCAAAUUCUGAUUUGGAAAACAGCACAUAAAAACACAAGAUUUGGUCAUGCUCUGGUUCUACCAAAUACUACAUUUGUUUCUAGAAUUGCCAGAAUCUGAUCCUUAGCUGACAAUUAAUCUCUAGAAGAUUCUUUUGCUUGUAACUUGGUAGUUAUGGAUUAGCAACUGAUAAAUAAAUCAUUUAGUGGGCUCUAUGUUGUGAGUAGUGAUAGGUAACUUAUCUCGACACCUUUUAGUAGAUUGCAUUAAUAUUUAGACUGGACCCUUUUGAUAGCUACAUUUGUGAACAAGAAUACAAUACGAUAAAGAAAUAGAUAAGAAGUUUCACCUCCUAUACUCCCAUGACCACAUCAUGACAUAUUCAAUGCCAAUCAUGAAUAUACAAACCAAUAGGAUUUGUUUUCUUCCAAAUAUUUAUUUGUGGACGUGAAUCUACUCACCCUAGAAGCAAGUUUCGUUAAAUUUACUUUGUUUAAUAAUUUUUUGUGAACAUUCAUUCUUUUUUAAUUCAACUGUUAUAUAAAAAUAUCUCACUAAGUAGAUCAAAUAUGCAAACUUUUAAUCAACAUUAUGUUGAUCCGAGGAUAAUUAAAUUCAAAUUCCUUAAGAAAGGUCUUAAGUUCAAAUUUUGUGAAUGGAAAAUAUAAUUAAAAAAAAAGACAUAACUAAAGUAGCUAGUCAAGUCAUGAUAAAGUCUUACAAUUCAUGAAAUAACUAAUAUUAUAUCAAUCAACUUCAUUUUAAUGGAUAGUAGUAUUAUUCUUUUAAAAUACAAGUAAAUGUUAACUAUAAGAUAAUCUUUAUGGUAAUAUAUUACAAAAUAUAAUAGUUAAGGGUCUGUUUGGGUGGUUGUUAGUUGUAAGUUUCAUUUUUAAUUUUAAACCAGUCUUUAAAAUUUGGUUAGUUUUCUAAUUCUUAGUUUUAAGAUAAAGCCAUUUAAAAAAAUUUCAAUCCUUUUAAAAUUAAUUUAAAAGGUGAUAAUGUCAACAUAGGUUAUGGUUCUAGUGUUAGUAGAGGCGACCAGAAAUGUCAUUGUCAAAUGUAGAGUGUGUACUUUUUUUAAAUUAAAAUCAAAAUUACAAAUGUUUUUUUUCUUUAUUUUGAAAAUAAAGAUAAAAAAGUGUUUUGAGAUAGUCAAUCAUUUCAACUUCAUUUUCUGCCCAAAGCUUUUGAUUUUGAAAAUUACAUUUAAAAAUAAAAUUAAAAAACUCACAAUUACCUGACCAAACCUUAAGUCUUUUAAAUUAAUUAAUAUUCUAUAAAGAAAUAGUAUUUUUAAAAUAUUUAUAUAAUUUAAGUAUUUACUUAUUUUUAGAGUGAAUAGAUCCCUUUCGUUUGUUUCAUUCAUCAUACAGAAUCAAUAAUACACUGGAAUAUUCGCUUAUAUAUAUAUAUAUAUAUAUAUAUAUAUAUAUAUAUAUAUAUAUAUAUAUAUAUAUAUAAAAUGUACAUGGAAAAAAUAAUUUUCCAUUAGUGUAUUAAAAUUUGAAGAGAGACAGACAAAUAUAUCCUUAUUUCCAUAGAGCCUGCAAAAACCUAACUAUCCAGUCAAUAUUUUAUAUUUCCGUAGUUUUUCUGACAAACCAAUUUCUUUAAUAAAGUUUUCAAAUAAGUUAUAUAACAUAUCAUAAUAUUCAAGGUUUUCCAAGAGAAAUUUAAAAAUUGUUAUUUUGACAAGAUAAGUGCUACAUAAUUGUGUGGUCUAUAGCGACUAAUGAGUCAAGGCAUCGUGACUCUGUCGUAGCAAAAAAGGUAAACAAAAACAAGUCAUUGUCAUAGCAUUAUUUGAAGUUGAAGAAUACGUAGUGUGAUAUGAUUUAUUUAUGACUUUUUUGGUUGUUUCCGUUGCAUUUUGUGAAUCGAAGAUCAAAUAGCUAGCUAUAAAAAGAUCCUAAACAGAUAACAACCUAUUGGUAAUUUAUUUUGUUUUUGUUUUAGUCUAUUCAAUUAUAUAUAGGCUCAUAUAUGUAGAUUUUAUAAGUUUAAGCCACAAAAAAUAUAUUUUUAUUAAAACAAUAAAAAGAUAUUGCCGUAGUGUUUAUACGAGAAAUGGCGCAUAGUAAGGUGCUCGAUCGAGUCUCUAUCAAUUUGCUUUUGGUAGGAAAAGAAAAGACAAAAGAAGAAAGUUACAAAGUGCACUCUUAAUCCUUGUGUCUUUAUAAUCAAGUUGGAUAAAGACACAUUAACACUCAUGUUAUUUUUUAAUUCCCUGAGUAUUUAACUCAAUUAGAUACUUAAAGAUUUAAAUUUGAGGCCGUUACUAGUUAAUUAAAAUAAUUCCGCAUAAAUUGAUUCAAACACAUUAUUUGACAUCUUAAGAGAAAAAGAAAAAAAAUGAAAUGUAAACAUGAUAAAUUAUAUGAUAUGAUAAGGGAAAUACAAAAAUAAAUAAAAGAUGUCAAAUAAAUAUCCAUGCAUGUAUCAUUACUAAUUAAGUUUCAAAAUCAUAGAGUGAUACAUGAAUUUUUUUAUUUUAAAUUCAAAAUAUAUCUCAGUGAAAACUAUUUAAUGUUUAAAAUAACAUUCAUACAUCAAUGUUUUAUUUGAGAACUUUGAUAAAUAAGUAUUUUGUUUCAGGAAUUAUGUUUAUACUUUAUAGUGUAUUAAUCCUAUGACAUAUUGUGUGAUAGUAACGAUGAGAAAGGAAAUAAAAAGGAAUAAAAUAGGAUAAAAAUAUUAAAUUCCUACUAUUAUUUGAAAGAAGAAAUAAAAAGUAGAAUUUUCUUAAUUAAUCUCACAUGAAAAUUAAUAUUUCUCCUCUAUAUAUCAAAAAAAAUAUCCCUGCUCAUGGGCAAGAAAGAAAACAAACAAAACAAAGGGCAACAAACAAGGCAUAGCCACUUGCUUGUGUUGGGACCAAAACAAAACAAAACAAAUGGGUCAUUAUUGUUUAGGGUGGUGGUAAGAUAAGGACUAAACUGUAAUUGUCUGGCUCAGCUGCAUACUUCAAAAAUGUGGUGCACAUGGAAACAAGGGGGAGAAGUGGAGAAAAUGAAGACCAAUGUACAUACUUUCUUCCUCAAUCAAUGUAUCAACAAUAUCAGUCCAUGGCAACGUUGUUUUUCAGGAUGUGACUCUCUCGAGGGCCUAAAGGCCCACCAGGUUCAUCAUUCAUCAAGGUUUUGUAGUUUAAUCAUACAAUUUCAAGCACCAAAGAAAAUGAGCCUUGGUAAGUUUUUUUUUCAUCACCAAAAUGAUAUUUUUUUUCCCUUUCAAAUUCUAUGGUUGCACUUGCACACAUUGGAUUUGACAUGUCAAUAUCAACAACUUUUAAUUAAAUGCAGUUCUUGUAAACAUUCAAUUUCAUCGAAACAAACAAAAUAAAAAUGUACAAAUGAGAACAUUUGAAAAAAAGAAGCAUAACCGAUUAUAAAAGAAGGAAAAGUAAUAUUCAAUCAGAAAAGAAAAUUGUGAUAACCAUCUUUUGUUCUCCCAUCUUAUUUUAUCUUUUUGUCAAAAUAAUUUUACAUUAUCGUUCAAUCAUAAAUCGUUACAGAUAUAAAUUUUAAAGUAAUUAUCAUAAAAAUUAAUAAAUUUAUCAUACAUGAUAAGUUAUAAUUGAAUGACGAUGUAUUUUACAUUAAGUAUAACCUAUUUUCUUUUUUUUCUUCGAUUGUUAUAUUCUUUGUCUAAUAAAAAAGAGAAUAUACUGACAUUAAAAAUAAAAAAAAUAGAAAAUUAUAAAAUAUAACAACACAACAAGAAGAAUGAUUAAGGGUAUGUUGGAUUGCUUUUUGAAGUGUUUCAAAUGGAUAAUUCCAUUUUUUCAUGCAAGUAGAAGCAAUUAUUGCUUGCCAUUUGAGUGAACGUUUAUUGAAGCGAAGGGCAACUUUUUUCCCAUCACGUCCUAGUUGUUUUGAAGUUAUUUUUGGCAUCUCUCUAGUUUCCUUUUGGGGGUUGCUAGGUGCACCCAGCAUUAUUGCUGGUGCACCCAGCACUUAUUGUGAAAAGUCACAAAUGCCCUUGUUAUUUUUUAAAAAAAAAGCAGUGCACCCAACGACCCUUUCUUCUUCCUUUUCCGCGAGCCUCUUCUCCUUCAUUCUUCUUCCUUUUCUGCGAGCCUUUCUUCUUCUCCUUCUUUCUUCUGCGAGCCUCUUCAACUUCUUUCUUCCUCCUUCCUCAUUCUUCCGCGAGCCCAUUUGCUUCUCUAGCACGAGGUGGUUGUUCUUCUUCCGCGCAAGCUGCUGCUUCUCCCUCCUUCGAGUGCGCUUCUUCUUCCAUUCUGCCGCGAGGUGCUGCUCUUCUAUUCUUCAUCGAGGUAAGGUCUAUUAUCCUUUUUCUUGUUUGUUAUUGCUUUCAUUGGUGAUUGCUUAAGUAUUUAGGUCAUCCGCAGUAGAGACAAGUUAGGACCUAGGUGAUCCGCAAAUAGGGUAGAUGAUCCGUAGGUUGUGUUUAUGUUGUGUUGAACUUGCGGAUCACGUUGAUCCGCAAGAAGAAAAGGUUGAUUCGCAUGCUUCCCACAGAUCAAGUUGAUCCGCAUGCUUCAUGCAGAUCAACUUGAUCCGCGGGAAGCAUGCAGAUCAACUUGAUCUGUGUGAAACAUUUUACAUUUUUAAAAGUUUAAAUUAGGUUAUAAUUAAUGAAAAAUGGUUUUUAAUGGUUACUUUUGAAGCUUUUGCCUCAAGUAUGAUAUUGUAUAAUGGUUAUUUAUAUCCUGUAUGGUAGUGAAUAUGCAAUUGAAAAUAUGAACACAAUCUAUUAGGUUGUAGCUUCUCAUGUGCCUAAAAAGGAUUAGAAUCCUUAAAUUUAGACAAGAAUUUGUGAUGGUGCUUGUCAUAUGCCUCAAAGCAGUAAACAUCCUGAAAUUGUUGUGUACUAGAUCAUUAACCAUAAAAUGAUGGUGGUAAGUUUAAAUCACUGAAAUAAUACUCCACCUACAAUAAUACCUCCCAACUACUGAGAAAAUCUUCAUAAGAUUUGGAUGAAUUGAAAAAGAAAAGUAUAUGGUCAGAAUAUUCUAGGAAGGAUAAAAAGAACUGUUGCUUUUCGUUGUCUUGGUGAAUUGAAAAAGAAAAGAAAAUAUCAAGCCAUGAAUGUCAUAAUCCAAAAUCCAAAUAGAUAUUUUUCAAAAUAAUCGGAAAAAAAUGAAAUAUCCAAGCACAAAUUGUCCCUUUUAUGUCUAAUGCUCUAGCAGAAUCAGACCUGAGGGUGAGAGUCAAAUUACUAUAUUAUACUCAAUCAAACAUCAAUAUGCAACUGCAGAGAUAAAUCACAUACUUGAGUAAUAGUUAGGAAAUAAUAGAGCAAACACACUUCAUGCAAAUGAUUGACCUCAACUUGCAAAAAAUUAGAAACAAUAGUUAGAAUAUAUACCCAAAGUAGGUCAAUUAAAAUAGUAGUUAGAAUUCAUGUUAUCCACCAAAUCCCAAAAUGAUGCUAACAAAAAUUAGAACCCUGAAUACAUGAUAUUUGAAUAAAAAAUUUCGAUAAGAAUACAUGAUAUGCAUGGGUCAUCAUAGAACCCAUCAUGCAACAUUAGUAAACUGUCUUGCACAACUUAAAGUCAAUCACACAUUUGCAGAUCAUGGUUAAGACUAGAGGAUUAGGCCGUGCAUUAGGUAGGGUUGGUGCCAAAGGUUUGGGGAGAGGAGGGGAUGGUGAUGAUACUGAUGGUGCUCCCCAGGGCCGAAGGCUGACCGCAUCGGCAAGCAGGUGACGAGUACCAGUCAUUCUUGACGAUGAUGUGCCUGUGGUGCCUGCGAACUCGCCUGCGGUACCAGAGGCAGAGGCUGCUGUAGCUGGGGAUGAGCCCAUGGUAGAUGCUGCCACACAGGACACCGGUGCAGAGACUGACGCACAGGAUACCGGUGCAGAGACUGACGGGGACGAGCUUGAGGGAUUUCUUGGUGGACCCAGGGACCCAUUAGUGCUUACAGAGUAUGCUGACCAUGUUGCGGGCAGCGUAUGGUCUGGACAGGUAUUUAUAAUAUUAAAGUUAGUUAACUUUUAUUUUUUUUUAUUUUUUGGUUACUUAUUGACGUUAUUUGAAAAAAUUGUGUGUUCCUUUGUACUUCAAUUCAGGAACAUCUUGAGUUGAAGUUAUGCUCCCAUGGGAGGAAGGUGCAUAACUUGGGCAGGUCUAUUCCUGCAAUUGAGGACAUGGUUGCUGGGACAGGAUUAAGUCCUUUGAUCGCGUGUUCAAUAGACACCGGCGAUCGGGGACUUAUAUCCUCCUUUGUUGAGAGGUGGCACCGGGAGACUUCUAAUUUCCAUCUUCCUGUGGGGGAGGUUUCGAUCACGCUGGAUGACAUCGCGUCUCUUCUCCAUCUGCCUAUCGUUGGCGCAUUCCAUGACUUCCAGCCUUUGUGCACCGACGAGACGGUGUUGCUGUUGGUUGAGUUACUGAUGGUCUCAGCAGAGGUGGCCAUGACCGAGACAGGCCAAUGUGGUGGACCAUACGUACGCCUGUAGUGGCUACGAGACGUAUACCAGUGCAGAUGUCAGACGCAGCACUGGACAGUUGCCGCUCAUGCUUAUCUUCUACAUCUUUUGGGUUGCACUCUUUUUGCUAAUAAGAGUGCAACCCAUGUUCAUGUCGCACACAUACAGGCCCUACGUAACCUCACUCUUGCUGGGCGGUAUGCAUGGAGAGCUGCUGGCCUCGUCCAUAUGUACAAUCAACUUAAUGAUGCCAGUCUCAGCACCAGCCGACAGUUUGCUGGUUAUAUCACCUUGUUACAAGUAAUUAAUAUGUAUUUCAUAAUUUAAUUACAACAAUGUUUUAAUGACUGUAUAUUUAAUUAACAUGUAUGAUUUUCAUGUAAACCCUAUAGUGUUGGAUAUACGAGCACUUUCCUUCAGUUGCAGAGUGCAAUGCUGAUCCGGACUACGACGAGGUGUUACCACGUGCAUGUCGGUGGAUUGCGACAAAGAAGACUGUGAAGAAGCUAUCUACAGCGACGUACAGGCAGUGCAUGGAUCGUCUGAGGAUCCUGGAUGCCUGCUGGAUGCCAUAUGCGGAGCACCGACCUGUGCAGAACUUUCAUCCGAUUUCGUGCUUCUCUGGAAAGCUCUGCAAGGGGCCUGCUGUUGUCAGAUACAGACUGGAGAGGUUUAUGCACCAGUUUGGCUACAUCCAGUGCAUUCCUGCACACCCUGUCCAUUCAUGGGUGUCAUAUGAUGACAUGGACGAUACGUGGACGCACUACUCAGACCAUCUGGAGGCAGCAGGUGAUCUAUGUGUUGUGUCAGGUCAGUGUGCGCCUGACUACAUAGACUGGUUCUUCGUCAUAUCGCAUCCAUUCAUGACUGCACCACAGACGAAUCCUCCUCGAGAUGCAUAUGCGAUGCAGCCCAGUCAUAUCCCUCAUGAGGCAGCACCGACAUCGACACAUGUGGAUCCUGAUGCAAACGAGCCCAGACAUGCAGUGGUAAGUGUUACUAUUUGGUUAGAUGUAUGCCAUUUACUUCAAUUAUUUUAAUACUAAUUUGUAUAAUUUGUUUGUUUUUUAUUUAACAGGAGGCUUGUCAUGCGAUCGCAGAGGCGUUGGAGCAGCAUCUAAAUGUGCUAGGCACAUCUACACAUGAAGAGGUUAUCCAAAAAUGCCUCAGGAUUGUCAGGAGUGUCACUGAAGACCGCAAUGUGUAUGUGAGGUCUCGACGUAGGCGGUGCACGGAUCAACAAUAGUUUAUUCACACUUUAGAUAUCAUUAGUUUUUGACGAUGUAUUUGACUUGACAUUUUGUCAAUUAUGUUUAAAUUACUUGAUCCAAAAUUUAUUUUGUAAUUGUAUGCUAAGAAAUUACAUAGACCCUAAGAAACUCCAUUUUGAGAAAACAUAAAGACAACUAAAACUUCUCUCCACAAAAACACUUAGGCAAACACAUCCAUGAUCCGCGGCACAAUAAUUUGCAAUAGUAAGCUCCAAAUCUGUUCUAAGAUCGUAAGUUCCUUGAUUAGUUGGUUCCUUCUGCAAAACAACCAAAAAAUUUACAAGCAGACAAGGUUAGGGAGGGGGAGGAAGCAAAUCCUUUUUCAAAAAUAAAUAAAUAUAUGAACUUAAUCCAAUAUCACUUUAAUUGUGACUGAAUAUAAUCACAUUAAUUUAAAAUAAAUCACCUCAAGCAGAAAGGAAAUGUUUUAUUAAACCAGUCAUUAUUUAACAAUAGCAAUGGAUAUUUUUAUAUAGCUACUUCAAAUUAACCUCGCACUAAAGUAGUUACCUGCAUAUAUCAGUGACAACUUUCAGUGCUUGCUUAGACACUUGUUGAUUGUGAUAUCUUCAAAUUAGCCAUUUGUCGCCUUCUCUUGGCUUUCCUUGAUAGAUUAUCCCUAUUAAUAUUUGAUCCGCAUGCAUCCCAACCUUUAGGAAGCCCAAGUAAUUCAUCCUUCUUUUCAAAAAUCUAGCUUCUCAUUGUCAUCAUGUCACUACAAAAGUCAGGGUCAGCAUCCUCUACAUUAUAAUAUUUCUCGUCAAAUGCCUUCUUCAUCAUUCUAUCAUACUCCUGUGGGUCAAAUUCCUCUUCAAUUUCUUCCCUGGACAAUGGGAUAAUAUCAUCACCAUGGAUCCCUGCAGUCUUCAUUAUCUUUUUAACCUUUUCCUGUAUUUCCUGCUUAUUCAAAUUCUUUAAGCGUUUCAACUCCUCCUCCCUCUCUUUUUGUUCUAUAGCCAUUCUCUCCUCUUUGCUCUUUCUCUGCUCUUUCCUUGCAUUCGUCUUCUUCCUCAUUGAUCCCUCCACCUUCCGAGCAUGACCCAACACCCUAUCUUCUGGAUUUUCCUGAAAUCUGUAUUCAUAUUCUUCCUAUCUCUUGAGCUCCAUCUCAUCCUCUGAAAUCUCUUGCAAUUCAUCCUCUCCAACAUUCAAAUUCUUCCCACUCUUGCCAAUCCACAAUUUGACCCAACACCCUAUCAAGUUGAUCCGUUGUUGAUCCAUAGAAGGCUUACGGAUCAACUUGAUCCAUAAACCAAACUCGAUCCAUAGAAGUAAAAUCAACAUACGGAUCAAGGUGAUCCAUGGAAGACUCGCGGAUCAACUUGAUGUUAGAGUUUGUGGUCUUAGUUCCUUUGUCCCACAUUGCUUGGUUUGUAAAAACUUGUGUCUCACUAGUGUUAUAUAUAGAGACACCUUGUAAGCUUUUAUGUGCAAGUAAUAAAAGUUCUCCUAGUGUAGCCGUGGACGUAGGCACAUACAUUGUGUGCUGAACCACGUUAAACUGUGUGUCUUUUUCUUUCUUCCCUUUAUUUCUUUCUCUUCUUUUAUUGCUCUAUACUAACAACUGGUAUCAAGAGCUUUUGGUUACUCCACGGAAUUUCCUUAGUUUAAAGGAAUUAGUGGGAGUCUUCUCAGUUUAGAGGAGGCAGUGGGAGCAAUGGCAUUAGAAGAGGGAAAAAUGAAGAUCGAGAAGUUCGAUGGCAGAGAUUUCAGCUUUUGGAAGAUGCAGAUAGAGGAUUAUCUAUAUCAGAAGAAGUUGUAUCAGCCCUUAUCAGGGGUUAAGCCAGAAGACAUGAAGCAAGAAGAAUGGAACUUGCUAGAUCGACAUGCUCUUGGCGUGAUCAGAUUGACAUUAGCCAAGAAUGUCGCGUUCAACAUCAUGAACGAGAAGACUACUGCAGGCUUAAUGAAGGCAUUAUCAGAUAUGUACGAGAAGCCGUCAGCAGCCAACAAAGUAUACUUGAUGCGCCGGUUGUUCAACCUCAAGAUGGGAGAAGGUAUCUCUGUAACUGAUCAUAUUAAUGAGUUUAAUACUAUUCUUGCCCAAUUGGAAUCUGUGCAUAUUAAAUUUGAGGAUGAGGUGAAGGCAUUGAUUUUAUUGUCAUCACUACCGGAUAGUUGGGCUGCAACUGUUACUGCAGUUAGUAGUUCUACAAGGGAGAACACAUUAAAGCUUAGUGACAUUCGUGACUUGAUCUUGAGCGAAGAUGUUCGCAAGAGAGAUUCAGGAGAAUCUUCCAGUCAUGUUUCCAAUUCAGCAUUGAAUACUGAAGGCAAAGGAAGGACUACCCAGAAGGGUCAGAAUGGUCGAGGCAGAUCAAAGUCAAGAGGGAAAGGUCAGAGAAAAUUUCAAAGUGACGUUACUUGUUGGAAUUGUGACAAGAGAGGUCACUUUAGCAAUCAGUGCAAGGCACCAAAGAAGAACAAGUCGCACAAAAACAAGAAGCGCGAUGAUGAUGAAUCCGCAAAUGCAGCAACUGAUGAACUUGAUGAUGCAUUAAUUUGCAGUUUGGAUAGUCCUGUUGAUUCAUGGAUCAUGGACUCAGGUGCGUCGUUCCACACUACUCCCUCUAAAGAUUUAUUGUCUAACUAUGUUUCUGGAAGAUUUGGAAAAGUUUACCUUGCAGAUGGAAAAUCUCUUGACAUUGUCGGAAGAGGUGAUAUCAACAUCAAGACCUCCAGUGGAUCCCUAUGGACAUUGCACAAUGUCAGACAUAUUCCUGCCUUAAAGAGAAAUUUAAUAUCUAUAGGGCAGUUGGAUGAUGAGGGACAUCACACCACUUUUGGAGAUGGAGCUUGGAAGGUAACAAAAGGCAAUCUCAUUGUGGCUCGUGGAAAGAAGCGAGGAUCUCUUUACAUGAUUGCAAAUGAGGAUAUGGUAGCAGUUACUGAGGCUGUCAAUAAUUCAACCAUGUGGCAUCAAAGACUUGGACAUAUGAGUGAAAAAGGAAUGAAGCUUAUGGCGGCAAAGGGUAAGCUAUCAAGCCUCAAGCAUGUAGAUGUUGGUGCUUGUGAACAUUGUAUCCUUGGAAAGCAGAAAAAGGUCAGUUUCUCAAGGGCAGGGAAGACUCUGAAAGCUGAAAAGCUAGAAUUGGUGCACAUAGAUGUUUGGGGGCCAGCCCCAGUGAAAUCUGUUGGAAACUCACGCUAUUAUGUCACCUUUAUCGACGACUCUACCAGAAAGGUAUGGGUUUAUUUUCUUAAAAAUAAAUCUGAUGUGUUUUCUGUGUUUAAAAGGUGGAAAGCAGAAGUUGAAAAUCAAACAGGUCUAAAGGUUAAAAGUCUGAAAUCUGACAAUGGUGGGGAGUAUGAUAGUCAGGAGUUUAAAGACUUCUGUUCAGAACAUGGGAUCAGAAUGAUCAAGACAAUACUAGGAACACCUGAGCAAAACGGUGUUGCAUAAAGGAUGAAUAGAACCUUGAAUGAGAGAGCAAGGUGUAUGUGGAUCCAAUCUGGCUUGCCUAAAGCAUUCUGGGCAGAAGCAAUAAACACAGCAGCAUAUCUCAUCAAUAGAGGACCAUCAGUUCCUUUGAAUUAUCAGUUGCCUGAAGAAGUAUGGUCUGGAAAGGAGGUAAAACUUUCACAUUUGAGAAUUUUUGGUUGUGUUUCAUAUAUACUGACAAACUCUAAUAGUAGAGAUAAAUUGGAUCCGAAGGCGAGGAAGUGUUAUUUUAUUGGUUAUGGAUCUGACAUGUAUGGCUACAGGUUUUGGGAUGACCAAACCAAGAAAGUUAUCAGAAGCAGAAAUGUUACUUUUAAUGAGAACUUAUUUUAUAAGGACAAAUUUUCUGCAGAAUCUACAUGUGCAGGUAAACUGUCAGAAAUUUCUGAGAAAGCAACACUUGAAGAAAUUUCAGAAAGUGAUGUAGCCAACAGAAACCAGAGUACAGGCGUAGAGGUUGAGUCAGAACCAGAACCAUCAACUCCUCCAAGAAAAUCUAGCAGAAUUUCAGUACCACUAGAUAGGUAUUCCCCUUCAUUGCAUUAUUUGUUGUUAACUGAUGCUGAUGAGCCAGAAUGUUUCAAUGAGGCUACACAGGGGAAUGACACUAUUGAGUGGGAGCUAGCGAUGAAAGAUGAGAUGACAUCCCUUCAGAAGAAUAAGACGUGGUCUUUAACUAAAUUGCCAGAAGGAAAGAAGGCGUUACAGAAUAGGUGGGUCUAUAGGCUAAAGGAAGAAUCUGACGGUAGAAGAAGAUACAAGGCGAGACUUAUGGUGAAAGGGUUUCAGCAGAAACAAGGAAUUGAUUUCACAGAGAUCUUCUCUCCAGUUGUAAAGAUGACUACCAUCAGAGUUAUUCUGAGCAUAGUAGCUGCAGAGAAUCUUCACUUGGAGCAGUUAGAUGUUAAAACUGCAUUCUUGCAUGGGGAUUUAGAGGAAGACAUCUAUAUGACCCAACCAAAAGGUUUUGAAGUGCCAAGCAAGGAGAAUCUUGUAUGCAAGCUUCACAAAAGUUUGUAUGGCUUGAAACAAGCACCGAGGCAGUGGUACAAGAAGUUUAAUGAGUUUAUGAGCAACUCAGGAUUCAAAAGAUGUGACAUGGACCAUUGCUGCUAUGUUAAAAAAUAUACUAAUAGUUAUGUUAUCCUUGUUGUGUAUGUUGAUGACAUGUUGAUUGCAGGAUCUAGUAUGGCAGAAAUUAACAGGUUGAAGCAGCAGUUGGCAGAAAACUUUGAAAUGAAGGAUCUUGGUCCAGCUAAACAAAUCCUUGGUAUGAGAAUUCUUAGAAACAAAUCAGAAGGAAUUUUGAAGCUGUCUCAGGAGAAAUAUAUACCCAAGUUGCUUGACAAGUUUUACCUUGGAGAUUCUAAGACCAGGAAUACCCCUUUGGGAUCUCAUUUGAAGUUUUCAAAGAAGCAAUCUUUGCAAACAAAUGAAGAAAAAUGUUACAUGUCAAGAGUACCAUAUGCAUCAGAAGUUGGGAGUUUGAUGUAUGCUAUGGUGUGUACCAGACCUGACAUAGCACAUGCAGUGGGAGUUGUCAGUAGGUUCCUAUCAAAUCCAGCAAAAGAGCAUUGGGAAGGUGUAAAGUGGAUACUCAGAUAUAUGAAGGGUACUUCAGAGAUGUGUUUGUGCUUCAGAAAAGGCAAUCUCACUUUACAGGGAUUUUCAGAUGCAGACUUGGGAGGAGAUUUUGAUACCAAGAAGAGCACCACAGGCUACAUUUUUACCUUGGGAGGUACUGCUGUGAGUUAGAAGUCUAAACUUCAAGAUAGAGUUGCUCUCUCAACCACGAAAGCCGAGUACAUAGCUAUCUCAGAAGCAGCUAAGGAGAUGAUUUGGCUAAAGAAUUUUCUCAAUGAAUUGGGGAAAGAACAAGAUAAUGCUCCAAUGUUUAGUUACAGUCAAAGUGCUAUAAGUCUUGCUAAGAAUCCAGUCUUCCAUUCUAGAUACAAGCAUAUUCAAUUAAGAUACCAUUUUAUCAGGGAGUUGAUAAAUGAUGGAAACUUAUCUUUAUUGAAGAUCUUAGGAUCAGAGAAUCCAGCAGAUAUGUUGACUAAAGCUGUUACAACUGACAAACUGAGGCUUUGCAUUGCCUCAGUUGGCCUUCAAGGAUAAUUGAAGAUGAAGGCGCUGCACUAGGUAAAGAGUCGAUGAACUCGUUGCUUACAAGGAGCUGCUAGAGUUUGGAACUUAGACCCCAAGUGGGAGAAUUGUUAGAGUUUGUUAUCUUAGUUCCUUUGUCCCACAUCGCUUGGUCUGUAAAACUUGUGUAGGCUUAGUCCCACAUCGCUUGGUUUGUAAAAACUUGUGUCUCACUAGUGUUAUAUAUAGAGACACCUUGUAAGCUUUUAUGUGCAAGUAAUAAAAGUUCUCCUAGUGUAGCCGUGGACGUAGGCACAUACAUUGUGUGCUGAACCACGUUAAACUGUGUGUCUUUUUCUUUCUUCCCUUUAUUUCUUUCUCUUCUUUUAUUGCUCUAUACUAACACUUGAUCCGUAAGCCAAACUUGAUCCGUAGAAGUAAAAUCAACAUACGGAUCAAGUUAAUCCGUGGAAGACUGACGGAUCAACUUGAUCCGUGGAAAACUCGCGGAUCAACUUGAUUUGCACUUGGUUCACGAGUCUUCCACGGAUCAACUUGAUCCGCACAAGGAAAAAAAGGACAUUUUUGGAAUUUUUAAAGGAUGCUGAGUGCACCAACAAUAACGCUGGGUGCACCUAACAACACCCUUUCCUUUUUCUUGAUCACUUCCUUUUUCCCAUUUAUUUUCCCGACACACAAUUUUAGUACUACACAUCCUACAUGCACCAUCUAAAGACUCACUCACAAAUCCAGUCUAAUUAAGGACAAGUUAAUACGGAGAAAUUAAUUAGUUCUCUACUACUACUGUAUAUUUAUAAUAUUGAUCAAUCUUUACCUAACAUGAUACGUAUUUAAGUUUUUUAAUUUAAGAAAAAAAUAAUAAUGCUAAAUUGUAGACACUCUUAGAUUGUUUGAUAAUUUUUUCUCUCAAAAAAUUAUUAGAUAUCCAAAACCAUCAUAGACUCUAUUAACAUAAUAUACAAUGCCACUUAAAAAAAACAUAAUAUACAAGGCUAUUAGUUUUUUUUUAUUAAUUAAAAAACUUGAAUAUUUUUUUUAUCGACAAAUAUUCUUUGUUAAUAGAAAAGAUCAGAUUUUAUGAUUUUUUUUCUUUUUCCUUCUCCUAUAAUCAUGUAAUUUACCUUAUAUUUCCGAAAAAUCUGAAAAGGUAUCAUACAAAUUGAUUCAGGCUAUAGAGAUGUAGUGAUCCGAAACUACUUAAUAUAUAGUUUCUUCCACACUCACGGCACUCAAAUAUUUCAUUUCCUCACACAUAGACUGCACCUCCCCCCUCACACACUCACACACUCACUCAUUCACAACACCACACUGACUUAUUCAUAUUCAUCCGUCACAUGAAAGGCCAUGGCAAGCACACACACAAGUUACAAAGCAAAUCCAAACUCUUCAGUGAUGAACCUUAUUUGCACCAUGCAACCAUAAUAUCCACCCAUCAUAGAUCUUAUAGACAAUUGCAUAUAUAGCCAUCAAAGCUUUUCCCAACCAUUGAACUUCUCAACCGAGUCUUCAAAGCUUUUUCCAACCAUUGAACUUCUCAACCAAGUCUUCAAACCUUCACGUGAAUCUGUCAUCAAGACAGCCCCUAAAUUAAGCUUGAGCCGUCUGUGUCAUACACGUAUAAGAGGUCACGCAUGGUUUACAUCAAGAAAAGAAGCUAUCAUAAAGAUAUUAAUUCUAUUUUUUGUUGUUGAAUAAGUCUAGGGUAUAAUAUAUUUUUUAUUUCUCAAAAUAGUUGAGAACGAUAGUUUUGAAAUAUUUUAAAGGAUAAAAACAUAUUUUACCUAGAAUUCUAUUUGUAUUUUAUUUCUUGCUUAGUUUUCGUGGUAAAGGCGUAAGGCAUAGCCGCAUGGAUAUGAACUUAUCAUAGGGCUCCAUUGAAUCAAAUCAGUUUAAACUUAAAGCUUUUGAAAAUCAUUAUUAAAAAAAAAUGAACUUUUGAGGACACCAAAAUUACGUCACUGAAAGAGAAUAAUGACUUCUUCUUCUUCUUUUUUUUCCUGUUGUAAACUUAGGAGUUUCAAAACCCAAGUUCCAAAUUUGCAAUGGUUUCUUGUUUUUGGUUCGUAAGUGGAUUACAAAAAUUUCAUUUUAACGAAAACUUUUGGAUUAUUUUAAUAUUAUGCGCUAGUUGUAAUUAAAAGUCAUUAGGAUUGUUUUAGAAAACUAAGAAUAAAUCUAUAAUUAAUUUCUCUUAUCUUUUCAAAAUACUCAUUAGUUUUUUUUUAAAAAAAAACCAACACAGAAUAGUAUUUUUUUAGCCAUAAAAAAAAUAAGGGAACGAAAGACUGAGGGAAGAAAGCCAAUUUAAUUAAAAAAAUAGAAAAUGAAUUUUUUUUUAAAAACACAAGAAAAUAUUGGGCCAGGAAAUAAAUAUGAAUUAUAAUAAUCAAGAGCGUCAUGCAUGCUUAGUAGCUUUCUGUGCAUUAAAGAACUCUAGAGAAAUUAUGUGUUAUGAUCUAUUCUUACAAAAACAUAUGCCAUAGCCUGUGAACUGGAUCCGUGUUCAUGAUCUCUUGUAUAUGCUUUUGUUCUUUAAUUGUUAAUAAUUAAGAACACAUGCCGUAGUGCAAGUUUAAAUCACGAAGAGUUAUGGAUACCCAUAAUUUUUUAAGGGAUAUAAAAUAAACUAUCCUUUUUGUUAUUGUAAUUUAAAAAUUUAAAGACCUUCUAAUUCACCUCAUAAUCAGUUUCAAGUCCAACCAAUUCUAUUCAUCCAUGCUUCACUCAGGUUCUUUUGAGACCUUUUAAAAAAAAGAAAAAGGACAUGAUGAGGCCCUUAUUUAGAUGUAAUAGAGGUGUUUAUAUAAAAUUAAGAAGAAGAAAAAAGAUCGUCAGCAACAAAUUGAAAUGAAUGUGUAUGCAAAGUUAAAACCUAAAAGGUUAAUCGAUCAAUGAUGGAACACCCAAAUAGUCAUGUUUUAGUUUCUCCCAAGCUCCAAAGGGGAAAAGCGUUUGGUAAAAUCAGUCAAAUAAGUUAGUUGAUAAAUAUAAAUUAACACAAAAAAAUAUAUGUAAUUAUUUGAGUUAAAAAGUGAUUAAAAAACGAGUGAGAAAAAAAGAAAGCUACAAACUUAUAAACUAGAGCUUAUUUUCGUAAGUUAAUUGAUACAGUUUAUGAAAAUAAACUCCAAGUUAAUAUAAUAAACUGUACUAAAUAAACUUAUAAGUUGAUUAAAGUAAUUUGUAAACUAUUAGAGUAUCAUACGAAAACAUUUAGUAUUCGUUCAGAGUCGCAAGUUGCUAGUUUUGGAACUUGUAUUUAGAAGUUUCUCUCGGUGCUUUAAAAAUUUGGAGGUAUUUAUGGUCUUAGCUGGAUUCAGACUGUUAACUUCAUAUUAAUUUUUGCUUAGAAAAAUUUACAAUAGUUGCAUGUUGUUCCUUUCCGAUAUUUCAUUUUUGUCAUAUAAUUAGUUAAACUAGCUUAACUAUAAGCUACUAAAGUGUCUUAUUGAGGGUUUUCUCCUUGCUGCACCGUUAGGGUUUUUUUAUUGAUCCCAAGGCUUGUAUGCUUGUUUUUCCCUUGUGGUUGUCGCUCUACUUAGGGUGAUUUGCUGUCCCAAUGUGACACCUUUUAUUCUUAUAUACAUAUUUAUAUAAUAAAAUACAUGAAAAUGUGGAAUUACAUAAAAUAAUUUUAUUCAAUAAACAUAAAAGAACUCACGUGAAUAAAAGGUUCACAUUUCGGUUAAUCACCAAAUUAAAAACUUAUCAAUUAAGAGUAUGAAAAUAUUUUCGACUCAAAACAACGUCGUUCAAGUUUACAAAAGAACAUAAGUUAAGUAGCAUAAUAAAAUAAAGUAAUAUGAUGACAUGUUUGGAACAUUAUGCAAUUAAAACAGAAACUCAUGCCUUAAUGUCACAUCCUAUCAGAGCAUUAUGUCUUGACGUCCUCCAACACGAGGUUCCUUAAAGCAAUCCACCUUGUCAUAUGCUCCAACGAACACAAGUUUCGAGAUCAUCACAAGAUCCAAAUACAAACAACACACAUGGAGCGAGAAGUGAAUUGUCACAUUUCUAAACAGGUAGAGAUAAACGAAUAUAUAUAUAUAUAUAUAUAUAUAUAUAUAUAUAUAUAUAUAUAUAUAUAUAUAUAACAAGCUCAACUUAGAACAAUUCACAUCAUUUUACCACUCAUUGUGUAUCAUCACUUUUCCCAAGGAUUUAAUCACAUUUCACACCUUCACAUUAAUCGCGUGUUCAAAACAACAAAUCUCAAGUAUAACACAACAUCUCACACUCACACAAUUCAUUACCCACCAUCAUGUAGUAAGUCACAAGGAUCAUUACACAUGCGUUAUACAACAGAUACACUAAGACUCAAUCCUAUAUGCAAUAUGGUAUCAUGUCAGUGAAAAACCUCGUUAGACAUCUAAGAGUACAUGACAAGACAGAUGACACACUGGUAAGUCAGAUCACUCUCACUAGGUAAAAUAAUAGGGAGACCAGUCAGGGUCACGCUGUUUUGCGAGAAUGCUUCAAUCAUGUGGGAUCGACACAUGCUUAAAAGAGCACUCAAACUGAGUGCAUUUACCUCCAAGGCUUAGACUCCGAAGAGUCUGUCAGGUCCUCUCCCUCCUAAUUCAAGUCCAACCCAAAAAAUAUUUUAACACACAGACUCUAUCUAUGAACUAUACAAAACACACGACUCCUCAGUUGUUCUCAAAAUAAUUUUAACUCCUCGUGCCUCAAAGUGAUUCAACUCUUCAGGUUCCCACAGUGGACUCCAUCACAAUACUCGUCGCACAUUAACUUGUUGCCCUUAAAGGCUCUUACACUCGUGUGAUUUUAAGAUUCAUAGCUCACAACUCAAUGCACACAACAUCUCAAUACAUGUGUGAUCUCUCAAUUUAAUACAUACUCAACUUAUCACAUACACCNNNNNNNNNNNNNNNNNNNNNNNNNNNNNNNNNNNNNNNNNNNNNNNNNNNNNNNNNNNNNNNNNNNNNNNNNNNNNNNNNNNNNNNNNNNNNNNNNNNNAACCCAAUCUCAAUCACAAUGUUAUAAUCUCAAAGCAACAUGUUAUCACACCUCACAAAUCAUAUACACAUCACACAAUAUUAUUAUAUACAUGACACAAACACAAACUUUACCUAUAAACUAUGCAAUAUACAUAACUACUCAAUUGUUUUCAUAAUCAUUUUAACUCGUCUUGUCUCAAAGUGAUUCAACUCGUUGGGUUCUCACACGGAUCCCAUCACAAUACUCGUUGCGAAAAAACUCGUUACCCUUAAAGGGUCUUACAAUUGUGUGAUUGCACAACUCAUAUCACAACUCAAUACAUACAAUAUCUCAAUAGACAUGUAUCUCACAAUUCAUCACAUAUUCAAUUUAUCACUUACACGCAAUUUCAUGAUCCCAAUAUAACAAUUUAUCAUGCUAAUCUAGUAAAUCUUGUCCGAAACACAAACAAAUUAUACAAAAAAAUGUUUCUCACAACAUAGGGAGUAAAACCCCUUAAACAAUUUCACAUAAUCAUAUCAAAAUAAAAUAAUCAAAAUCAUAGGUCAAAAACACACGAACACUAAGAGCACUCAAUUUCAUCAACCAAUUCGCAUCAGGGCAUCAAUUGGUCUGUCAAACAAAACAAUCUCAUAAUUAUAAUCGUAAAGGAAGAAUUACAAUACAAUAAACAUCUCAAAAUAAACUAUAAUUUGAUCCUCUAAGGAUCCCUACACAUGUUCAUUCUAACCCCAAUUGCGAUAAACUCAUCUCUUACCUCUAAACGGGCUCACAUGUGUAGUUCGACAAUGAUAGUGGCAUCUCUAUUGGUUCCAUAAGAUUUCUAAAGCUUUUCUUCUGGUUGCUCUGCUAGGGUUUCCAAGCAUUAGAGAGAAGGAGAAGGGAUUGGAACCUCAAUUUUACUGUCUCCAUGUGAGGGGAAUUUCUCUCUCUACAAACAUUAUUUCACAAAACCCAAUGGUGAGAAUGUGUAAAAAUGUGUUUCAAAGGUGGUCUCCAUAUUUUACAAUGAUUCAAUGGUUAAUGAGUCUGAAAUUGUAGUUGUACGAGGACAUGUUUGAAUGUAUGUAGGAAAAAGAGAGGAUUUUGAGAGAGGAAGAAGGGAAAACGAACUUGAGAAGAGAAGGCAUAGAGACGUAAAUGUAAGAAAUGACCUAACAUGUUUUUAUUUAUAACUAGGGUACUCUCAACCUAUUAUUUACUCUAUUUUUAUUUAUUUUAUAAAAAAAACUUUAUUUCACUCUUUCAUUGAAUAGAUAACCAAUUAAAAUAUCCAUUUAUUUUCUAAAACAUCAUUUUACUCUAUUUAUUUUCUAAUACUAUGAAACCCUUAUUUUAAUUAACAAAAACUUUUUUCUCUCAUUUAUUUAAUUUUUAAAAACUCUAUUAAUUUUUAAAUAAAACUCUUUUUAUUUAUUUGACGAAAAUCUGGUGUUACGCCUAAUAUAAUAUUUAUGCCUAUUUGGUACUUACCAAAACAACGUCGAAUGGAUCAUGGAAAUAACCUUGACCUCGCUGAUGAGGAAAAGGAAAUAAUAGAGUUGUCAAAACCGAAGGAAACAAGUCAACUGGGUAAGGUGGAUGUGGAAGGCAAUUAGACGGUCUUCAUCUUACAAGAGAUUUUAUGGAGUUGAAUUAGGUUAAAAAGCCCAAAUUCUAGAAAAUUUCCAUAAAAAUCAUGUUUUCGAUAUCAAAUAUUGUAAAAAAAUAGUUAAAACAACUAUGUAUGCAUUUUGUUCUCUUCUGAACAUACAUAAACAACAUUUUCCAGUUUAAAACAAGAUGUUGUCAUGUGAUAUGUGAGGAAGGAGAAAUUACAAAUAGUUUAAACAACUGUGCAUUUUGUUCUCUUCUGAAUACACAUAACCACCAUGAUUUUAAAUUGCAAUUGCGGUUGUAGUUGAAGUUCAGUUGCAAUUGUGGUGUGUCACAAAAUUUUUAUAUUAUGGGAAAGUGUGACUUAUGCAGUCACAAUAUGAUUAUGGAAAGUCAAAAUAUCUUGACGUUGCGACCACAAUUGUGGUUGUGGACCACUAUUUAAAAUCAUAAUAAACACCAUCUUAAGGCUCAAAAACAAGGAGGAAUUAUUAAGUAGUCGUGUAUUCAAGUUUUUCAAUUUACAAAAAAAAAAAAAAGAUUAAUAACAGUCAACUACACGUUACAUGAUGAGGCUAACCAGGGAGGCAGUGUUGCACUGGUGAGGAGAGUUGCGUUAGGGUUUCAAAUGAGAGACAAAAGGGGUUCUGCACUUGCAAACACGUAGUAAAUGAAUGACCAGAGAACGCAUAGUAAAUGUUCUAUCCUUUGUAACGAUAAUAGUCCAUUUAGUGUUUGUUAAUACAUUUUACAAGUAGAUAUAAAAUAUAAAAAAAAUUAACACUAUCUUGUGCAUUAUAAAAAUAUUUAUAGAAACAUAUAAAGUAUAUAUAAAAAAAUAAUAUUAUAAUAAUGUUAAAGAAAAUAUAUUUUAUUCAUAAAAAAUAAAAUGUAAAAAAUGCAGAAUUUGAAACUUCAUCUUCUUUAAAUUUCAAUCUCAUAUUUAUAUAAACUUUUUUUUCUUCUUCUAAAAACAAGAUAUUCCCAUGAUGAGAAGUUACUACAUUAAUUCUAUAAAUUAGUUAAGAGAUAAUUUCUCUUUUCACACAUAUCAUUUUAUUUAUAAAGAAAUCAAACCACUCGUAUAUUUAAAAGAGUAAAAAUUACUAGUGGCUACAUCCCAUGAGUAAACUAAAAUUAGCUUAGCUAUAAGUUAAGUAAACUUUUACAGGAACUAAUAUAAAAGAAAUUUUAUGAAUUGACUUAAAAAUAAUUAAAAUUUAAAAAAAAAUAUUUUAUUUUAUUUUUCUAAUUUUUAAUAUUAUUUUUAUUUUUAUUUAUAAGUCUCGAAAAUUAAAUUUAUUAUUUUUAUUAAGAUUCAAUUUAUUAUAUUUAUUGUAUUAAUUAUUUUUAAAUUAAAAUAUUCCUAAUUAAAUAAGAGAAAUAUUACAGUGAUAAAUACUUUAUUUAGAAGAGAAAAAAAAUUAUCGUAAUACAUAUGCCUUUUAAAUAACUUUUUACAUUUUAAGAAACGAAUCUCUAAUUUUCAGUCAAAGUUACCUAAAAAAAAAGAAAAGAGAAGAAAAUCCCUUAUUAAAUUAAUUAACAUUGACAAUGGCAUUUCAUUGUGGUAGAAAAAGUUCCCUUAAAUAAUAAAUGAGUACUUGAUCUACAUUUUCUCUCUCUUCAUUCUCCAACAUCUACGUUAUCUCCUCCAAUUCUUUAAAAUAUUUAUAGAAACAUAUAAAGUAUAUAUAAAAAAAUAAUAUUAUAAUAAUGUUAAAGAAAAUAUAUUUUAUUCAUAAAAAAUAAAAUGUAAAAAAUGCAGAAUUUGAAACUCUUCUUUAAAUUUCAAUCUCACAUUGUAAAAAAUGCUGAAUUUGAAACUCUUCUUUAAAAAAGUUUACAUAUAAAGUUUUUAUUUUAUUUUCAAAUGAACUAAUAUGCAAUAAUUUAUAUAAAUAUGUGUUAUAUUUAAAUGAUAAUCAUGAAAUAAUAAAAUUAAAAUUACAGAAUUUCUUUUAAAAAUUUAGUUUAAUUUUUAAAUGUUUACCUUUUGAAUUUGUUAUUGUUUAUUAAUUAUUACAUUUUUUAAAUUAAAACAUAAUUAAUAACUCAAUAUAUUAUUUUUAAAUAUAUAUAUAUAUAUAUAUAUAUAUAUAUAUAUAUAAUUAAAGAAAAAGAGUUGAUAUUAACCUCGGUUCUUUGAAAAUCGAUGUCGUUAAGCACUUUUUAACAUUGGUUAUUUGAAAACCGAUGUUGUAAGUGUUUAACGACAUCGGUUUUCAAAUAACCGAUGUUCAUGGGACGAUGUUAAAACUCAUUUUUUUAGUAGUGAGGGAUUGUAAUGAUCUCAUACCUUCUAAUAAUUUCUUUGCUACAAAGUUGUUUGGAGUUUGGAUGUUUAUGGCAAAGUAUGUGAAAAGGCACCUAAUGGCCUUUUAAGUUGGCAUUUUCACUUUAAAUUAUUGGUUGAGAGACAAACCCACUAACUAAAUAUUUGCAAGCAAUGAAGAAAAAGAAUAACAAUAUCCUCCGACCUUAUGUGUUUAAUAGAGGUUAAUAACUAACAUAGGCAUAAUAACAUUAUCAAUCAAUGUAGAAAAAGCAUUAAUACAUGCAGCAAUAAUUCUCACUGAUAAAUGAGAAUGCAAAUGUUACAGUGAAAGAUUUAAAAGAACAAUUAGCAACCUUGCUAUGAUACUAAGUGCAGGUUUGAAUUAAAGAAGAGUACAAAAGCCUAUUGAGAGAGGAAUGAUCUCUGAGUUGUCGCUGUUUUCGGGUUAAGCAUGGGAAUGAGUAUGUUGGAGUUGAAGUUGGCUUCGGUGGAUUUUCAAACAAGAGCCUUCGAUAUUUCGGUGUGACAAAUGGUAGAUGAGGUUGUUGCUCGAGACUCAAGAGGGGACAGAUAGGAAGAUGAGGUUCUUGCUUUCAUUUCAGUCUCUGUUGCAAUACUCUAAUUAUAGUCCCUAAUGAUUUGGCAUCUUAGUUGCCAGCCGCAUGUGUCAUGGGUAUGCCAAAUAGGCACUUAGCGUGUCACAUAACACAAAUGUUAUUGUAUGUUGUGCAGUCAAAGGGGAAUAAACAUCGAGAAAAUUUACACUAAUGGAUCAUCAAAUAAACACAUAAGUGAAUCUACACCACAUUUUAAUCCAAUGUGUGACUUCACCUUACACUUAAUUGUUGGAUUGAGGAGCGAGAUGGUUUGCACUUCCAAGGAUUAUUUUUUUAAUUUUAAAGUGUUACACACUUUUAGGGACCAAAAUGAUAUUUAACCCUAUAUUUUGAGUAAUACUUGUAUCUGAAUCUGUAUAACUAAAUAUGUCUUGUCAUAUAAGAUUCUUAAAUUUACUUUAGUAGGCAAACUGGAUAAGAUUAUUGCUAAAAUAAAAGCAACAAAAAUGGUGAAACCUAAUUGUUCAGCAUUUUCAGAGGAACCUGUGAAGGCACUCAUCUUGUUGACAUAGGCUUUGUACUCUGGACUCAUCUUUUGAAACGUUAUUAUGUCACAUGCUACUAAUUAAGUUGAAAAAACAAAGUACAUUGUUUUAGAAGCUAAAGAAGAGUUAUUUAAAAUUUGUAGUGAAAAUGUAGUGUGAAAAGCUAUUUGCAAUUUGCUUCAUUAAUAAAGUGGACAACUCAAUUGUUGAUUUCGUUACUAAAUUUCAAUGGUUUUGGUUGAAUAAGGAAUUCAGUGGACUGAGAAGUUGUGCUUAAGAGGAAGAGAGUGUUUGGAUACAUGUUUUGAAAUGGGAAAGAAUGAUUAAAAGAGAUAGAAAUUAGCUUGUCCAACAAUGCUAUUCUAUUGAUAUUUUCUUCAUACCAUUUAUCUUAGAAGACAAAUGAUUCCUUUUUAUAUUUUUUUCUAUUGCCUUCCUUUCCAUGAUCUUUUUUGUUUUAACCAUUAACUGAGUUGGAAUAGUAGUAAAAUCAUGUAGAUAUUUGUUUUCAUUUGGUGGGGGCGAUAUGAAUGAGAAAAAUCCAUACAACCAAACAAAGUUGGGGCUCAGAAGAAAGAGAAACAUCCCUCCCUUAAAGAAUAACUAAGUUAGAUUUCUUAGGAAAAUUUGUUGAUACUAACAUCUUGUAUACAAAUUUCUAUACCACUUUCAUUUUAAACACUAUUAGUUCCUCAGUCAUGAACUUUCUAUAUUGAAAAUUUGUCGUCUAUUUCUUUUACAGGCAGUGGCUUAGCUUUUCAUAUUUUGCCAGAUUAAAUUAUGAGUUACUCUUUGAACUUUUUAUGCAAUACUUGACUAUUGAUUUUUUCUUAUAGUUGUCAUCUCAUGCAAUGCACUUUUAAGAUAAGGUUACAUUGUUUGGUCGAGAGCAACAAUUUACUUAUGACCAUUAUAUAUUCAAAAUGUAUGCUUGGCCAUUAAUCAACCAACCAUGAUAAGCCCCAUCAUCCACCACCCCUUCUAUACCAUAGGCACAUUUUGCUUAUCUACUUUGCUACUGUUACUUUUAAACAAGUCAAACAAAUAAUAUGGUUUUAAAUCGUAGUUGUGAUUACAGAUGUGAUGAGUCAGAAAAGCUUUACAUUGUGCAAAAAUACGACUGAUGCGAUCAUAAUUACGAUUGCGGUGAUAUGAAAAACCUUAACAUUCUGGUCACAAUUAUGAUUAUAGACUGCAAUUUAAUAUGUAUUACUUAAGCUAAUGAACAUGUUGAGUGUUAGUUGAUAUGGUUCUCUAUAUCUUUUUUCCAAUACAAAUUCACCUUUAAAAUAUAAAACAUUACUGUAACAAAGGGACAAAGACAAAGGGUGCCACUUAACCCAUACAUGGGAAAUGAUGGUCAUAAAAUAUGUUAGGCCAAAAUGCAAACUACACAAAAAUAACAUCAACUCCACCAUAGUCACACAUUUAUGUUCUUCCAAGAAAGAGAUAACAUAAUGAAGCCUCCUCCAAGUGUCACCUCUACAUGGUACCUAACGAUAAGGUUACCAUUCAAUUUUUUCCCUUACUCGUGUGGCCAAUAUGUUGAAAUGUCAUCACUUAUACAAUCAAUGGUUGUAACUUCACAGCAACCGAUCCUCUUCAUUUCACACCAUUGGAUGAGUACUACAAAAAUGACACCCUUAAAUAUAGCAAGUUUGAGUAGAAUCUAGCAGCUGAAGCAAAAGUAAUUUAGAGAAAAGAAGGAAAUGGCUUCCUCACCGAUCUCCUCCCCAGUAGUUACCAUCAUUAACCGUGUCGGUGUCAGCAUGGUUGCCCCUUUCACUGGCCUCAAAUCCAUGGCUGGCAUCCCUACCAGGAAGACCAACAGUGACAUUACCUCCAUUGCUACCAAUGGUGGAAGAGUAUAAUGCAUGCAGGUAAGACAAUUCCAAACAUACAAACACAAAAGGCACCAAAAUGAUUAUAAUUGAUGUUACAUAUUUAUGUAUGCUACAAAAUGUUACUUAAAUUAACAUGAUAGUUAUAGGAAAAUAUGCUCAUGUGCAAGUUUGUUAACUCAAUUUUCAUGUAAAUUAAUUACUAGGUGUGGCCUCCAGUUGGCAAGAAGAAGUUUGGGACUUUUUCCUACCUGCCAGACCUUGAUGAUGCCCAAUUGGCUAAGGAAGUAUAAUACCUUCUUAGGAAUAGAUGAAUUCCUUGCUUGGAAUUUGAGUUGGAGGUCAAUUUAUUACAACCCCUUUUGGUUCAAUUAUAGUUUUCUUUAGUUUUGUGUUUGUUUCAACUUAUAUUUGAAGAAAUAAUUGCUUUUCAUGGUAGUGUGCUAAAAGUACUUCCAAUUUUUUUGUAAGUUUAUCUAUAUCGUGUUUGGUUUCACAUUACAAAUGUGAUUUUCAGAAGCUAAUAAUUAUAGCUUUUACAUCACAAGCGACAUGAUUCUCCAUCCUCAACGAGUUUACAAAUAUGAUAUUAUUGGAUAUUUCGAUUCUAAUAUUCUAUUUGAGAGUUAUCAAUAUUUAUCAAAUUUAUUUGUAUCAUGUGGAAGCACUUGGUUUUGAGUUUUGAUGGUUGAUCUAUUUGUUGUGUGUUUGUUUAUAGCAUGGUUUCGUGUACUGUGAGCACAAUAGGUCACCAGGAUACUAUGAUGGACCCUACUAGACCAUAUGGAAGCAUCCUAUGUUUGGUUGCACUGAUGCUUCUCAGGUGUUAAAGGAGCUUCAAGAGGCUAAGACUACAUACCCCAACUCCUUCAUUCGUAUCAUCGGAUUCGACAACAUUCGCCAAGUGCAGUGCAUAAGCUUCAUCGCCUACAAGCCCCCAGACUUCUA
rnacentral:lncRNA from 1 species